AGCGGUGUUUGAAGAGCAGCGCUGGAGCCCGAGGACGGUUUGAGGGGGGGGGCUGAGCUUCGCCGGGACCCGGGCUGUAGACUGCACCUGAGAGCGAACCUGGUACCUGAGGGUAAGACCUGAGACGUGACCUCUGCAGGCGGAGUAAAAACACAAAGAAACAAAGAGUUUUAUGACGACAUAAAGGGGAACUUAUGUGUGGUAUUGUGUUGGCGUAAUUUCAGGAAUGUUGUUUCAAGUAGCCAGUGAUUUAUAACCGGUUUGAUUGUGUUAAUUCUCGCUGUCAGCUCGGUUUCUCUCUGAUUAUACUCAGAAAUGUUCAGUUUAAUUGCAGCACAUUUCACUUUCUAGCUCUUUUAAUUUACAUUAUUAAUUCAGCUUAAAAUAACAAUAUAUUCUCUCCUCUAACACGAGUUAUUACUGUACCUCUUCUUCUGCAUUUCUCUGUAGAGCUACAGCAAACAGCUGCCUGAUUAAUAAGUUAGGUCCUCUAAAUAUGGCUCAGAGUCAUGUAUCUUUAAAAACUACUUAAUAAUGGUAAUCAAGAUUAUCAACAACGUGGCAAUUAUAUCUUUACACUUUCCUUUCUUAAUUAUGUAUACUUCUUCUUCACCGUGGAUAAAAGGGGCUGCUUUCUCGGUCUCAGGUGGAUUGUUCAUCUUAAGUGUUUAUGAUGGUGUAUUUGUAUCACAGCUACGCUGCGCUCCCUUAAAGUGGCAGUGAGCUGAAAGGGGGCCUGUGCCUCUUCCAUGUGCGAUUCAACCACAAUGGAGGAGUUCCUAUGUUUUAUUUAUUGAUAUGUUUUAGUGGGGGAAGACCUAGUGUUCAUUAUCAUAAAGGCCUCUAGACAUCCAGUCACACACACAAAAGACAUACUGUAUCUUUUAACACACACACAUAUACAGAUCAACACAAGAGGAACAGGCCGCUUUGCUGCAGCUGCGACUCCUCGCCGGCUAACGUCAGUGUCAGAAGCUGACAGUGUCAAAGUAUCGUCAUCUCUGGCACAUAAACUGUCCCUGAAGCUGUCGUUGUGAAAAAGAUGUAAAACACAGGCUUUUUUUUUUUUUGUCUUCAUGGGGGGAAGUUGUUUUUAUUCUCCCCCUCUUUUACUCUCUCUUUUUUUUAAAUAUGUCACAUCUUUUCUGUCAGGGCCCUGAGGCGCCUGGUGGUGCUCGUGCUAGCAGAGGAGCGUUAGCAUGUGCAAACCCAGUGGAUUCUGACCAUACUGUACCUGCAUCUCGUUUAUUUUCUCCAAAGCUCAAAGGCGGGAAUUUUCAGACAGCCGUGUUGUCAUCUGAUCUGUGCGAGCGUGGAUCUUUAUGUGUAAAGGAAGAGGAACAGAUGUGGGGAAAGUGGGUAAAAACUCAAUAUGAACCCUGCAGAGGCCUUCCUCUCUCUGUUCAAUUAUUUAGAGUCAAAGAAAAAGAGGCAAGAGGAGAGCAUACUUCCACAGAAGCCACUGUGUUCGGCAGGAAGGAAUAACAUAUUUAUCUAGUCUCGUCUUUGCCAAAUAGCCAGAAAUGGAAACAAAUACCUUCAAUUGGAUUCUUGGCUCUGGUGUUUUCCUUUUGCUGCUUUUGCUGUGUGUGUGUGUACUCAUGUUGAAAAAUUCCACAGGACCAAAAAAUUAUAGGAGUUAGCGCUGACAAGUAGAAUUUUUCAUGGUAUGUAGAUGUACACUUGGCAGUUUCAGGCAAAGCUUAUCCUCUCUCGUCUCAUGUGAUGGUGGAGAGAGAGAGAGAGAGAGAGCAGAAAAAAAAAGAGCUCACCUAUUUAAUUUGAUUAGAGAUUAGAGGAGGAAAAGAGUCACAUUUCCUCCCUGGCACGUCUCUACUUGGCGCACUCUGAACCUGAUUUUAUAAAGAGAUGUCACAGCCAAGCACUACCGUAAUGCCUGUAAUUACUCUGAACUCAAAUAAAUAAAUAAAUUUGCUUUUCUUUGUGGAAGUCUGACAGGUUUUCCAACAUCCCAGACUAGAAAAAAAAUCACAGUUUGUGUGCUUUGGUGUGUACUUUCUUCUGCCUGUGUAUUGGCGUGUGGGUGUGUGCUUGUGUUUACAUAUAGUGAGGCGCUUGUAAAGGAGAAAUUCAGACAGGAUGAAAUUUUGACAGCUACAGUAUAGCUUGUUUUCCCCUCUCUUCUCUUUUUUUGACUGUGAUAAUCUUCUCUCAGCCGAGUGCAUUUGAGUCUGAUAAGGUUGGAGGCGCAGCUUUGUAAAUAAUAAGGUUAGAGUUUUUGCACAGUUGCUAGUGCCGCGCCUGAUCUCGCUCCUAUUAGUGACAAUUGGCUGUGACCUCACCUGCUCACCCGCGCUGUCAUCACUGAGGGUGUAUGUGCGGGAGCAGCAGCAGCAGGCGAUUAGAUCAUCCUCUCUGGUCAUAGAAGGAGACAUCCAGACAAACGCUGCUCCGCUGAACCAAAGGAGGUCUGAUGCAUGUUGUCAUGAAGGCUGGCUCCUUGACUUUUCAUAUUGUUCAACUGCAAAAACACUUUUCCUAUUUCCUGUUUGAGGGAGAAAACUCCGGCUCUCAAAAUCUCACGAAAAAUUAGCCUUUUCCCGCGUACAGGUGACUUAUACUUUAUCGUACAGGAAACAGAACAUUGAAAGGUGUUUGGAAAAAUUAGCCAACCUUCAUUUUCAUACAUGACAAAACAAAAACUCCAGUAUGAUAGAGUUCAGUACAAUCCUCAGGAAUGAUUACAGUGCCAGAUCAGCACCUUCCUGACAAAUCCAUGAGCUUCACGAGGAUCUGAGUUAUUGCAAAUCUGACGAGCUGGUUCCCAAGCUUGUUUGGUUGAUGUAACCCUACAGCCUUGUCAAAUACACCCCCUCAGCAUACCACAGAGAGUUUUUAAGUGAGCUGAAAUUGUUUUAGUUUAAGAGGUAAUCAUAUCAGCUUUGAUAAACUGAUUUGCAUAUUACAAUAAGUAUCUCCAGAGUCUUUGGAUAUAUUCAAGGGGGUUAACUUGACAUGACUUGUUUGUUAACUUACUUUUGUGUCAUUGUUUUAACUUCUCUAUCUGCUUGCUAACUAAUGUAAAUGUUCGUCUAAAUGUAUGCAAGUGUCAGCCAAGUACCAACCUCCAGUCUUGAGAAAUGGAGCGUAUGUGAAAGUGGUAUAAAAUUAAAAUUAAUGAUUGAUAUUGAUGCCAUUAUCGAUUCUGCUUAUCGAUUCAAUUCUUUAAUGAUUCCUUUAUCAAUGCCUUUCUUUGAUUUUAAAAAAGUAGACUAUAGGUUUUCACCAUGAACUCAAAAUAACAGAAAAGAUGUAUGCCACCUUCAGUGAGAGACUUAAAAAAAAUAAUCAAACAACAGAACUAUUUGUACAGCAUUUACUUUGGUAGGUUUUAAGUCGAAUUAGGGUGACCAUAUUCUAGAUCCCCAAAGAGAGGACACUACUAUGCGGGGCGGAGUCAUGAGCUAAAUUUUGAGCCACGUUUCAGAUCGUCUCUGCCUACUUUUCGUACCGUCUGCCAUGUUUUUUUCCUUAAAGUCUCUGUUCUCAAUCGUGUAGACUGGCACUCGCAAAACUGUUUUUCAAGGAACCCAGAAGAAAGGAAUCGUUAAGGGAAUCAUUAAGAUAAAAUGUAAAUGAUGUCGAUGGAUUGAACCAUUUAAAAAAGGUUCUCCAUUCCCUAUGUAAAACUGUAGUUUCUUGAGUGGCUCCAAAAACCCUUAAGGCCAAAUGAAAAAUGAAAAUGAAACCCGUUCACAGAUAAGUCCAGAAACACUUGAGACUGAAUAGCUAUCUCUUUAUGUAUGUAAAGGAGGAUGCCAGUUUUUGUAAAUAAUAUGCUUUCAAGAUAUCAAGAAAUGCUUAGGGGUGCAGCUAAUAUGUAUCUGUUAGCUAAGAGGCUAAAAGGCUGAUCUCUGCUUUGACUGAAAGUUUCGUUAAGUGAGGAUUUCCUCUGAAGACAUUGUUUGGCUUUAAAACUUACCAGGACUACAAACAUGUUUUACACAGUUCAUAGUGAUGGCCUCCUGCUUACUCAGUUUGCAUAUUCUAUUGCAAUUGUAAGUUUCUAGCUAGGUGUGGGUAUUAGCCGACUGCUAAAUCAGUUUGUAAAAUUGGGGGGGAAGAAGAUUCAAAGUGUAAUUACUAUUUCUCAAAACUAACUGAUCUACUUAGGAAUCAUGCAUAAUACCCAAAAGCAACUCCAUAAGUCUCCUCUGUGUUUUAAGCCUACUCCUUGUUUAAGAGACUACUCCAUGAAUAAAGUAAAUUGGUAACUCUUGAUGGGGAGAACUACUCAGCCUGAGGUAAAGCCGUACAUGCUGCUUUUAGAUCUGGGAAACUUAACUCUGAUUAUAUCAGAAAGCUUUUCAUUCAAGCUGGUAGUGGAGUCAGAAAGGCAGUAGUAUGUUACAAUUUGAUUGCAUUGUGGGAAAUGUAGGAUUAUGUGUUUUUGACGAUUGACCCUUUACUUAAAGGAGGAGCAUGUCUUAAAUUUUUCUACUGAGUCCAUCAAGUUUUUGGCAGAGCGUAAUUUCCAGAGUAGACUUCUCUUUUGAAGAUCCUCCGGGGAAGGCAACUUUCAUGAUGAUCUCUUUCAUCAUAUAGAUGCUGUGAUAAUAAUAAUCAAUGUAAAAAAAAAAAUCCUGUUUUUAAGCAGAAAGGAAACUUCAAAAUAUGGAUGUCAUUAAUUAGAAAUCAAUAGUUUUUCUGCCGUUCAAAGUAGAUUUAAAACUCUUUGUUUGAUGAAAAGCUGCCUGCUGUUAAGGUCACUGGUUUAUUCAUGGGACUGUGCAACAUUAGAGAAAUUUAAAACUGAAAGGAGAUCAGUUUUAUUAGGAACAGAACAUUACUGUGACGCUCUACACCAAUGGGUAAAUCUGCUCUCUCUUCCUCUUUUCCGUCACUUCUUUUCUUUUGAGAAUGACAGUCAUGCUGGUAUUCAAGGCCUUCCAAACCUCUCUCACCUCUCUCUCUGGUCAAUCAGCAGCUUCUCCCACAGUUUGCCAACAAAUACCAUCCUCACAAUGCCGCCGUGUCCCAUGAGCCUUUCUUUGUGCCGCAGCGGUGUCAAGCAGUCGCACCUCUCCAUUGAAGCAGAUGUUCAGGAUGCUCUUUACCAUCCUUAUCAGGGAUUCACGCGUACAAACUGCAACUAGCCGCCCUUUUCUUUUCCCUGACGAAGCCCCGCUGUAUAAAUUAUAGAUGGUGAAACAACCUUUAAACAUGUUCAUUAAAGACAACGCUUUCUUGAGGAAGAAGAAAACUCGCUCAUAAAUAUUUCUUUCAAGCAAAUCUUAAUACAAGCCCCCCCUACCCCCAACAACCCCUCCCCUUUAUCCCUGUAUUCUCUUUUCCCAGUCGAGAGAGAGAGACAGUGCCUCAGCAACCUUGACUGGAGACAAGCAGGAGACACGUGUGACUGGAUUGACUUUGCCUGUGAUGGCUGUUAGCUAGCUUUUCCUCCAGAAUCCGCCCGCCAUCCACCCGCCCGCCCGCCUGCCUGCCUGCCUCCUGCCUUCCUGCCUGCCUGCUGAUGUGCUAUUACUCGCUCUGGAAGAGAUGCUUGUGUGCAGGAUGACACAUUAUUAUCCUUUAAUCUCGCUCUCAGCUUGUUGAGCAUCAAAUUGAAAUAUCCUGAACAGAUGUAAAAACACAUGUGAGCCUGGGCGCGCAAGCUGUGCCGCGCUUUGUUUCAUCUAUCCGUGAUGUGAGCCUUAAGGAGAAGCUUUUUAAAAUUUCAUCACUAUUCAAAAGGAUAAUUAAUACGUACCCCCAGGCUUUGAUUAUGCGAUACCCAGUGUGUAGUGCUGGUGUUGCCAUAAUGAGCCACUCAUCAGUGCUCUGCCUGUGCCUCCCCAACAAACAUACAGUUUGCAUAAGGUACUUAAGAUUCUGCUGAGGUACCAUCAUGUUUCUGUGUGUGCGUGUGUGUGCUUAUAUGUGUGUGUGCACCUGCGUAUUUAUCUGUAGGUGUGUAUGCAUGUGAGGUGUGAGUCUAAUUUGCAGUACAAUGCUAUAGGUUAGAUCACACUGGUUGUUGCAGUUUGUUUACAAGAGGACCCCUGUCAGAUUGUCAGCAGAUAGCUAGGCCCUUCCUAUAAAGCCUGCCACUGCCUACACACACAUACACACACACACACACAUACACACACACACCGGCUUGUUUCCAGUCUAAAAGCAGUGCAGGAGCCGGUGGUUGUCAGUGAGUGGGUGCAGCAGUUGAGGAGAUGGACAGGCAGGUGGAGACAGACAGGCCGCUGAAUCCGAAGGGGAAUAUCAGGAGUUCACACAUAAUGAGACCUGUCAAUUUGAAUGCCUCAAGGCGAAAGCAGUGAGCAGGCAGUGGCUGACGACCCAGGCAGCCAUUUCUUCUCAGGGAGAAUAUUUCAGGGUAAUCUCUCACCCUUGACCCUGACCGGUCUCUAAACAAGACGGGUUCGGAGGCAAUUACUGUCGUUGUGUGGAGGUAACUACGACUUUCUGAAUGGUGUGAACUGAUGCCACUGAGAAUACAAAAUAUUCUGUUUUUUGAGAAUGACCUGCCUGCAUCAAGACCAAGAAUGAACAAUAUCAGGAUUCAUGUACAGUGAAAGGCUUGUUAUCACAUCAUCAUGGACACUAGAGGUCUGUGUAUGCUUUAUGUUUGAUUCAGAUAUUGAUGCAGAUAGAGCCCUCUGCACAUGCUCUGUGCUAAACUUUGUAAAAGCUUCACAUGGACUUAACAUUUCAGUGCCACAUGAAACUGUAGGGGCUGUGCUGGCAGUGUAACCAGCAUACCAGCAAAUUAUCAGAGUAGAAUACUGGUAUGUUUGUUUAAAUGUUCAAAAACUGAUUUCUUGCAUCAGACCUUUAAAUAUGACGCUGAAUCGUUUUUCCCACAAUCAGACUUACAUACCUGAAUAAUGUGACUGGGGAUGCAUAUUUCUGUGCAAGCCCCAAAGUUCCCAUGCUGAGAUUUGACUGGAAAAUGAACAGCAUGAAUGCAAUGAAGGAAGUCAGAUAGCAAACAAGACAUUGACAGAAGAAGAAGAUAGAAUAUAAAAAAGACAAAGCUGUAGUUGUAUUUGUAUGAAAGGUAUAAAACUGUGAUAUUCAAUAUACAACCUGUGAGCUUCUUGUCGGCAUGUUGUUGAUUGUUUUGGUACAUGACUCAAGAGGUCUCACUCCUUCUGCACAGAUCAGGUAAUUCAUCUUUUUUAAUUCUAUGGUAUAAUUUCCUGUCAUUUAUUAAGAUCUCCAUUAGCUUCGGCUAAGGCCAUCGCUAUUCUUCCUGGAGUUUACAUUAACAAUUAGCUCCCCAUCGCAGUGCAAAGACACAAAAAAACCAUCAGGCCACAAACACAAAGACAACGUCAAUAACCACAACAACUCACAACAGCCUACAGGACAAAAACAGAACAACAAAACUAGAACAAUACAAACAACAUACACAUAUGACCUAAUUCAUUUUCACAGUGUAGCUAAAGUUCUGAAAUAAUCACAUGGUCAAAUAUCAACUUACAUUCCACAUAACUGAAUUAAUUUGCAGAAACAAUAUAAUAAAGUUACUUCACUAAAAGGGUUCUUAUACAAAACUAACAUUCUCCUUCUACUCUUAUGUGGUGCAAUGCCAGACCAUGAAUCAGUAAAUCAUCCUCUCAUAUUCACACCUCACAGACUAUCCUUUCAGAAGCAAUUUAAAUUUCAGUAUUCUGCCUGUGGGCGUAAUGAAAUGUGGGAUCAAGCCAUCGCCCGAUCAAUUGGGGGGGUGAUCUACUCAAUCUCUGCACCACAACUGCCUCUAACCAGCCCCCUGAUAUGGUGAGUUAUGUGUCGAAGUAGAUGUUGGUGUCCCUAGGGUUUUUUGGUCUGCAACAAAGAAUUAGCAGACCUCACGGUAUCAUAACUGACCAAUCAGAAUUGAGCGUUUCGAAAGUUUGACCAAAAGAUUCCCCCUGUUGUACCAGAGAGGGUAAGCCUUACUUAGACACAUCUUUCGCGUGACAGCAAACAAGCCAUCACUGUCACAUGCUGAGGAUCUCCUCUGACUUCCUAUUCCCCUCACAAUGUGCUGCUUCUACUUAGAGAUACUGCAGGAUCUUGGUCCAAAGGAUCAGGGGGGUAUAUGGGGAAUAGAGAAUGUCAUCAGAGAUUUGCCCAGGGCCUCAGAUAGCCUGUGAUGGCGCUUUACCCCGCAUGUUCACACAGCGCUGAAGUGACACACGAGAGGGGCACUGGGACCUGCUGACAGCAGACGGACCUGCAUAGCUUCUCCGUCCUUAAAUCCAAUUCCAUGCUUGACACCAGGUGGAAUUAGCUUUGGACAGGUGAGUGAUAAGUUCCCUGGGUGAUCUCGCCAAAUAGAUCCAAGCCAUCUUACAGAGUAGUGGAGCCGAUGUCAGAAGAGUGAGGUAACUUAAAGUACAAAUAGUUUAGUAACUGGACUUAACGCUCAUUAUGGGAGUUUUUAGUUGGUUAUGAUCCAGACUGAAAUUCAUACUGAUGCAUCUUUGUCACCUAAAGAGGAAAUUACACCAUCACUGUGGAUAUCGAUUAUUUCUGUAAAGCUAUUUUAAACUAGCUAUUGCUAAUCCCCAGUCAUUAGUAAGCGUCAGAUGAGGGGAAUUAGCUUUGUAUCAUCGCAAAGCCUUUUUAAUAUUAUUGUAUUACACUUAGCCUUAACGUAAGUUGUGGUGUCAGUAAGACUAUGUUUAUGUUCAAGAGAGUCCAAAGAUUCUUUGGGAGUGUUAAGACAUUUUGAAUAAGUAAGUAAGAUACUUUCGGAUAGGAAUCACUACUUGCACAUGUACAAGAUUGAAUUAGGAAAAAUGUGACUGGUGUUGUUCUGACUAUGGGACUUAAAACUUUCAUUUUCUUGCACCUUUUAAUUUUGGCACCUUAAAAUUUAACUUAUAUCCUCUCCUCACGUGUCUGUACUUUUUGUACAUCUUUGAAGAAUUAUUGAUUAAAUUUAUUCUACAACUGCACAGUGUUCCCAACCUCAAAACCAAUUCAAAACUGAAAGAAAACACAAAAAAAGAAUAUUCCUUAGUGUAGCCAUCAGAGUAUCAGAAGCAGAACACUUAAUUAAAAACAUGCGAAGUAAAAUUUGCAAUUAGAAGAUCAAUUGCUGAGAGUGGUUUGUAGUGAAUGACCAUCUAGGAGAACUUUCGCCAUGUUAGGUAAACGUGAAAGAGCCAAAAUUGACAAGGUAGAAAAAGAGUCAGAGACAGAGGAGAUUCUUUAUUUAGGUGUGUGUGAAAUUGAUUUAUAAUAAAAAACUAUUUUAUGAAGCUAAGCUAAGUUUAGAAAUUGCCAAAACGUGACGUGUUGUUCAGAUAAAUUUACAUAGAAACAGCCGGUGAAGGAAACUUAUAACUUUGUACGAUGGUUUGCAUGGAUUUAGGUGCCAGUUUUUAUUUAUUUAUUUAUUUUUCUUCAUUUAUAUUUUUGGACAUUUUUUCUUUUAUUAGAUAGGACAGCAAAAGAGAGACAGGACACAUGGGGAGAGGAGACUGGGGAUGCACAAGAGCAUCUAUGUAGGCGUUUACUUUUGUGGGUAUGUUAAACAAAUACUUCUACCUUCACUUUAGCUCUUUUUCUUUUUUAACAAGUUUCUGCACUUUCACUCGGGCCAAGAAUCUAUUUACUUUUGUCACCUCUUGCCCAGGGAUUAAGAUAUUAAGUUGUCUUUGUGACAGAAACUCCAGCAACAGAGCGUAUGGUAAUCCAAAUCAGUGUUAAGGAUCUCUUUGAUAAAGCACCAAGACGUCUGUGUCUAUUUGAAGAGACGAUCUUAUCAAUUACUAAUCAAUAGCUGCUCCUGCAGCUUAAAGUGGAUAAAAUAUACAUUUGCCCCUGUAGAGUACAGCUCAGGGAAAAUCAUUACAUUAGCUUGUGCUGCUUGUUUUCAGGAUUACUGCUUUAUUGACUUGUGUAAAUGAUCAUUCACUAGGGAUGAAGUUUGAUUUUGAAGGGAUAAAUAAUGAAAGAGGAAAUUAUCAGGAAAAGAAACAGGACAAUUAAGGAGUCACAACGGUUCUUUUUCUCGUCUUUCUCUGCCUCCUUCUUCCAUUUUUCCUCCCCCUCUCCCUCUCCUCUUCAAAUCUUUGAGUGACAAUCAUGGUGAUACUCAAGGCCUCCUCUCCCUCUCUCCCAGCAUCCCUCGGUCUCCCCGGUCAAUGGGUGUCAAUCAGAGCUUGGCCCUCACGCAGAUUGGCAACAAAUAUCCUCACAUUCACGAAACAAUUAUGACCGGGCUGCGCUGGAAAUGGAUUCCCGCGUUGACUCUCCACAACGCGCUCCUCUCCUCCUGGCCGACGGGGUCCUGCCAUGGGAAGCAAUUAUCGCUAGAUGCCAGCUGACAGCCCAGCUCUAUUGCCAAGCGCGAUCAGCCCUCGUCCUCGGGCUUUCUCUAGGCAAAUAGCAUCCUCAACACUCAAAUCAAACCUCUUACCAACCAUUGGCUUCUAUCAGAGAAAGAGAUGGUUGCCUUUGUUCCUCCUGGACAAUGCAGUGGGAGGAAGGCGGAUACAGAAGCGGACAAUAAAGAGGAGUUUUGAUUUUGCAAGAGCUCGACUCAAACUGCUCCAUCUCCCUGGUGUGAAACCCUCAGAGAGGCCUUUGCAAGAGCAGGGAAGAGGAGGUGGAGGGGGAGGAAGUGCCGCCCUGUGUCACAGACUGACAAAGCAAAGGGAGAGGAAGGCGAGACAGGCUAAAUUUAAUGGAUGUCUGUCAUAUUGAUAGGCAUAUAAAGUUUGACACAAAGACGUUUUUUUGUUUUUUUUUUCAUUUUGCAGCUCAUUUUUACUCCAAAGUCGUCUGAUAUAGCACUUUGUGGCCCAAUGCUUCAAAAGUUGAUCUUGUGGGUACCUUACUUGGGUCUUUUCCAGAGGCUGUCCAGCAGCGUUGAAGUCAGGUGACACAGUUUACAGAGUGUGAGAGUAUACUUUAGGUGGAUAGAGAAGGAGUGGAUGGGUCAGACAUCAUACAACUUUUAUUUAGUGGACCUAUACUGUACAAAAUUGACAAAAAGAGCACACAUGUUGGUACCUAGUGUGCGAUACCCUUUACAAUUCACUUACAGCACACUACAUGACAUUUGUGUCCCCUUGGAAGUGUCACAUGAAGCUCACUUGUCUUUUUUUUGUGACACACUGCUGUAAAAAAUCUGUACAGACCAAUUUAGUUAAAUACCCUUUCCACUUAAAGUUCAGGUUUGGCUGGUUCAGCAUGCAUUUGCAGGUUUAGUGCCGCCUAGUUUGUUGUAGUAUUUUGGAGGUUACAGGCCCAGCCCAGACCAACCUGCUGCAUCCGACUUGUAGUAAGAAUGUGUCCACUAUUACUGUUUACUGCUGUAUAAUUCAAGGAUGAUGACAUAAAUGCAUAUAUGAGACGUGCUUGAAGGCUGCUGCCCUUCAAAAAAAUAAAUAGAUAAAUAAAAUACAUUUGGGAUCACCUUGUGAAGGCGCAGUCUUUGCCCUCUGCUGUGAUAAUUAGGCCCAAGUGUUACUUUCAGCUGACAUAAAUGAUGUUUAAUAAUGUUAAAAAGAAGCAAAUAUAUAGAAUAAAAAAACCAAAGGAUUAAGCUCCUGUGAAACCAGCUGCCAUAUAAAGGCUUUGAGUAAUAGCUAACAAUAGUCAAUUGUCAUCUUAGUUUUAAGACUGGUUUUAAAAGAAUAACAAGGGCAUUAAGUAUUUUUAAUCCUCAGGAUUUAAAUCCUCUGAACAAAAGGGUAAAGAUUGAUGUGAGAGCUGAAGAGGAUGAGUGUAAGAUGAAUGAGCCCAAAUUAAGAAAAACGGUACAAUUAAUCGUUAUAAAAGUCAAACAGUCAUCUGCCACUUUGCCUAUUAAUUGAAUAAACACAUCAAGGCAAAGUUCAGUCAAUCCUUUAAUCACUGUAAUUAAUGCACAUUGUUCUACUUCCCUCUUCCUCUCUUUCUCUGCCUCACUCUUUCCCUCUGCCUGUGUACCUAUAUUUGUGAAUUAAUAAAUUAAUUAGAAGACACACCGCCACCAACUAAUUAUCAUGCAAAUACAGCAGCAACAAAGCAGAGUGGGACUGUUAAUCUGUGCCAGAUCGUGGGUGAAAUUCCCCAAUGUGCAUAAGAGAUGUCCAUCGUGCAAUUAGAGAGAGGAGGGACUCGGGAUGGGGCAGGAGAGGAGAAGAAAGCGCCGCACCGAGGAACUGUCAUUUAUUCACCGUCAAAUUAAUUCUGCCUCCUGUUCUUUCUGCCUUUGUCUGUAAAUGCUCACAGUUUCUGCGUUAUUUAGUUUUUUUAUGCUCUUAUUCUCACUCCAUGACUGAGGAAAUGCUUCACAAACGCUAAAAGCCAUACAAAAUCUAAAUGAAAGGCGACAGCAUUUUUACUUUGCUCUUUAAGUGUUGACUAGAAAUAAAAAGAUGCCCAUGGUUCGCAGUAAUCUGGGUCUUAACCUGGGCUUGAAAGUCUUUGUUUUACUUGGUAGCACUGGUGCCCAGACUUCAUAAAAUUUAGAGCACCAGUAAAAAUUUAGGAGUGGACUACCAACAGAAAAUAAGUAUACCUCUUCACCUUUGCCAUCACCGACUUCAGGAGUAUCCCUCAGUGUUUCCUUCAUCAUCUCUCUGCAGCUUCUCUGAUUUUGCAGUAUUUAGCUCUCCAUCUCUCAACAGUAUAGUACAGUAAAAGUAGGAAAAGACUGAAGGUUUAUCCAAAUCUAAAAUCAGCAUUGAACAUUUAAGACUAGCAAGAGACCGAUUCAGUCUGCAGAUUAAUUGAGUCGAUUAAUGGCAUGUUGGCAUAAUCCUCAUCCCAUCGGCAAUGGCCCCCACAAGGCCGAUAUCACCAUUAUCCUUUCAAAGGAAAGCACAUUUGUCCCAUCACCAAUUACAGCAUAUCAAAUCUAAAACACCCUGGAAUAUGAAGCACAACCUAAUGUAUUUGUCUUUUUCAUCAGUUAAUUAAAAUUCGAGUAAUCUGCAGAAAUCUUGUUAAUUUUUGGUAACAGAUGCACCAAACAAAAUCUAGUGGCAUCUGCAGCCAUGAUGCAUUUACAUACCAGUCAUUGAAAGUAGGUAUCUAUCUGACCUGAACAUUUUCUUGAGAACUAGAGAAGAAAUUGCACCACACUAACUAUUUACACUUGUAUGCUCUCAAAUAUAUUUUACGGUCUCACAGAUCAAAUUUUGUGAGCGUAUGCCGCUAUAAUGGUCAUAAUAUCAAACCCUGAUAACAAAUUUAUGAGACUGGUUCAAACAGAGGGCUAACAAAGUAUUACGAUAUGCCUCAGAAAGCCUCUAUCAAAGUAAAGUUGACUUAAGUUCAGAUCUUUCCCCUGCUACUCCACUGGUGUAACGCUCCUUUGCAAACUCGUCGGCAAACACUUGAAGGCAAAAGUUAUGCUGAUGCUGCUGGUAAAGUAUCGAACAACCUUAACUGCGCCCCAGCAUUCACUCGUUGGCUCUGCAGCAGCUGCCAUGAUGUUUGAACUCAGUUAAUGCUUGCCUAAAGAAGCGUAUGAGCGGCAAAUGUCCCAUGAACUCUACAGACUGGUAUGGUUAAUCCAGUCCACAUGAGUUGGCUGAAUGAAUUUAUGUUUAAAUGCAGCCGUGAUAAUCCCAUUACCAAAUAGUGUAAACUGGACAAAGGGAUCUAAUAAGGGAUUUGUAGUUGAUAGCUUUUGUAUAUCCACUGGAGCACCUUUUUAGCUUUUGAAGCCCUUCAUAGAUAUAGAAAAACACCAGACAUGUAACGCAUCACCUGAUGUGUCAAAGCCAUUACGCUGACAGAUUUCCCCCAACUUUUAAGCAUUACCCUACUUUAAAAAAAAGUAAAAUCCUUGCAGGUAAUUACAUCCAUGUUUCACCCCCACACAAAGGCAGUGAUAAUCCAUAAAAUAAGCUCUAAAGAGGACCCUGUUUAAAAAUUUAGACCCAGUCUUGAUUCAUCCCGGGUGAAUUCAAAGCACACAUCAAGGGUGCUCAGUUAAAAGAAUAAGAAAAAAAUCAAAGAAAAGAGCCAAUCAGAUGCAGCCUUUUUUAAUCUUCGUGGCCAUGCAGGGUAAAUAUGCCACAAAAUCAGAAAACAAACAAGAGCAAAAAUGCCUUAUUAUGAGCAGCCUCAUUAUCAUAAGGCCCUAAUUUGCCCAAAUCAUGUCCUUAUUAGGCCCCAAAGUCUCUCUGUCCCCUGUGGGUAAUGAGGGUCCAGGCUGGGCUUCUUUCUCCCAGCUCUGACAUUUCUUUUAUUACUCUCACACUAAAUGGAAGCAAUGAUGAACAUCUCAGUCGUGUGAUUACUCGCUGUAUACCCUUGAUGUCAGAGGGGGAAAGUGGUGUGCCCUCUUUUAAUAUUUGAUUGUUUUUUCUGCGUAAUUUGGUCCAAUUCAUCAUUGGGGCCUUUCAUUUGCUCGCUCUGUGACAUUUGUCCUGAUUACUGGACUCUGAUAUUGUGUUAGCCUUUGAUGUCCAAUUUCCCCCCUCUUCUAUUUGUCCCAAUUUUGGCCACAGCGCGGGUGGAAAACUUUCCCCUCGCUCCAUUCCAACUUUUGCAAAGAGCUUAUUUGUGGUGCCCUGCGAAUGACAUGGCUAAAUUAUGCACACAAUUAUGAUAAUGGCACAGCUAGAUAAUCUAAAUGUUUGUUUUUAGCAUGUUUUGAUUGGUGCAUUUUUAAGGAAAAGCUAGAAUACUUGGAAUGCAGGCUUGCAAAACACACGUGCUACGCAGGAUUGGCUGCACAGGCUGAGCUAAAAGAAACCAAGAUAGGCAUCAAAAAAGAUAGCGAAGCCCAAUCACAGCAUUUAACGUUAUCCAGAAAACUGAGUCUGGGAUGAAAACUGUCCGAGAAAUAAUAAGCUGCUAGUCAAGCACCCCAUGUUUUACAGAUCAGCGUCUGUUUCCAAGAGCAGAACAUCAGUCUUGUUAUAAUCGCUGGAAACAACAAAUUAGAAUGUAAACAGCUCCAAUACCAAGGAAACCAUUUUUUGGCAGCACUGAAAGGGGAAAAAAAAGGAUCAAAAUCUUCAAAUUAUUCACUCCCAGCGUCUGUCUCGAUCUGUUUUCUUAUUUCCUAAAAAAACACCAAAAAUCCCAUCAAUUAUAAGUUAAAAAUGUGAGGGAAUCACAUUCAUUAUUUUCAUUACAUGCACCCACCAAAUUGCAUCAAGCUUAUGAAAUAUUUCUUCCUCCUGUUCAAAGGCUUGUUAGAGCUUGUAUUCAAUUACAGCUGUGGCUGUAACAUGCUGUCAGCUCUCUUUAGCCAAUCAUUAGUCAGGGACUGUUCCUCGCCGCACACCCGGCCCGGCAGAGUCGAGUCGGCGAGCGGACGACAGGCCCUAAUUGUUGUUCUGUGGCUAAAGGUCGACUAAUGAACCAGGGGGCUGACAGAGGCUGUCGGUGCGAGGGUGGCAGAGUGGGUGAGGGGCUGCGUUCAAGACCAAAAAUUCUGCAAAACUUUCCCUCGGAUCAAAGUGGGGAAGAAGCCGAGUGUUUUAGGGGGUUUUCAGCCUCAGAUUAGGUCUGUGUGAGAUGGAGCUUUAAGAUUUGAAAAGAUGGUAAGGACGUAGACAGAGAAUGAGAGAUGCAUGUGUCUGCUGUUUGAAUCAGAAUUAACCUUUAGGACCCGACUGUGCACCUGGUGCAAAUCAAUUAGGCUGCAGCACAAAUGUCACUUAGGCUGUGUUUGCACCAAAAGGUCGGUUUUCUGAUACGAACCAAAGCGAGGAUGAUACAUUGAUGAUACAUUGAUGAUACAUUGUUGCAAUUUCUGGUUCACGUUCACAAAGGCCAAACUCAAACGGUCCAAAAAUUGUCACGUGGCAGCCAAAGCCGUUCUGUGAUUGCUUAUACAGUUUAGGUGGGUAGAUGACAAAACCCUCGCAAUUUUUACUGUACAUCAUGAAGCAUCAUCUGCUCAUUUUUAUGUUGGUGCUGAUCUGAACUGCAUAUCAGAAGAUAUUAACGAGCGCACAUAUGAACAGGUGAGAAGACUGUGGCAAUUAGAUAAUGUAUUAAUACACGCACGUCGCAGGAGACGCUCUGCAGUCGGAUGGUCAUAUCACAGAAGAUGACAAGCAAUAAUGAGAGCCUACCUCGAUGUUUUUUCGAGGCAUGUUUCCUGCGAUUGGUGCAGAUAGGGUUCACACCAGAAGUAAACCGCCCUAGAGCUUGACAGCGGUCCAAGAUCACCCCUACCAGGCAGACCCAAGAGCGGUUGACUGGUCCGCACCAGAGUUCAAGGCGAGCGUUCACAUCAACCAAAACGAACCGCACCAAGGAGGUUCAGUUCAACUGGACUAAACAAGGCUGGUGUGAACGCGACCUUAGUGUAGAUCGCCAAUGAACUUGUGCCUAUAUUGGAUCCUGUGGCUGUGUUGGUCUGAAAAGAGGUGUGGUUGGGCAAAAAGGUGGUGCAUUGCCAUCUUGGUCCAGUAGAGGGGCUGAAAUCUACUUCGUAAAUAGCAACAUGCCGCUCUGGAGGCACACCUGACUCUUAAAGCGACUGAAAGCCAUCACAGUGAUUGGUCUCAGUUAUGUUACACCCAGAACACACCUAUAGAUCACUAAGGGAUCCAAACCAACCUCUUUUUUUCCGUUGUGCUUCACUUUGCACUCAGAUUGCACACCUAAAACAGGAGAAUAUGGUCUGACACUUUGGAGCCUCCCAUUUAGGUUGUUUAAAAAGAGCCCUCAAUGUAAAGUUUUAACAGACAAAAACUAACAGAUUGUGUUUGACUAGAGUACACAUAUGUUAAGCUUCUUUGAUUAAUUAGUUGUUGUUAAAAGAGUUUUAACAGCACCUUAAAUAAAAAAUAAAGCCCAAAAAAGGUUUUCCUCCUGUGCAACUCAAUGUUCGACUCAAAUUACCCCGGUGCAUGUGAGCUCUCUCUCUCUCUCUCUCUCUCUCUGUCACUCUCUCUCGCUCUUUCUAAUACCGUCCUGCAACACUCAGGUCUGACUGAAGCCCUCUAUACUAUAUGACAGCGCCAUGACGUGAGAAUGAGCGGCGGUAACAUGCGACUACUCCAUGAGCCCUUUUUUGGCAGGAUAACAAAGGGAAGCUUAGGUUGGCUGAGACAGUCACAAUGCUGCUGAUUCCCUUUGAGCUUAAGAGGACGGGUAGCUUGUUGUGAGAACCUGCCAGACCUUUUUAGGAGUAAUGAGGCAGAACCAGCGUACACUACCUACAGCAUCAACACACACUGAGGGAAGUCAGGAGAAGGUGGAGGUUUUGAUUUAACUGAGUGAGACAACACCAAUCCAAACACAGACUAAUGAUUCGGUCGGAUUUUGACCGUUUUUUAAAAUCCCUCGCUUUGAUCCUACACAUGUAUCAUUAGCACGUUGCUUAUUAAUGAGUUUGAUAAGAGAUGUCCCGGACAUCACGAAGAGUGUAGCACAAAGAUUCUGGGACUUGCUCUGUUAUCUGAGUCCGUGUCCAUCUUCAUUUUCUCAAACACUGAAAACUUAAAAUUGGCGAUAAAACAACUUUAGAUUCCAGACUUCUCGAGGCUGCCUUAUAUCAGGCAGAGUUUCCCACACAUAGAUUAUAUGUGGGAGGGCCGCCCAUGCAAAAUAUUGCGUGUAGUUUUGUGUUUAGUUUGGGCUGCAGGCUGGUUUCCAGGAAUUGUGAUUAACACCAUGGCUGUGGGGUCAGAAACAAAAACAUUACGAGACCCAAAAGUCGACUUUAUGGUUAUCUUUUAGACAGGGGUUACAGAGGAUGACACCUAUUGAUGUUAGUUUUAUCUGAACAGAAAUACACAGCUGGUGUUGUGGGUUCAGCUGUUGCUGCUGAAACUCUCUGAUUUUGCAACAGACUGAUAAAGAAGUGGACACAGAAAUUGGGAUGAUUUAAGAUUUUAAUAUCAGUUCAAUGGAUUAAAAAUCAGCUAUGACUGAGAAAAACUCUUGAGAAGCCAUUCAUUAGCUCAUAAUUGUAAAGUUGUACAUUUGUCAGUCUUUUUGUCUGUCAGUAGAUUUAAUAAGCGGUGACUAUUUAGACGAAUAACAGUUUUCAAAAGAGGUUUACUAUGUUGACCAAAAUAUAAGACAUGCUUUUUCUUUAACGUACAUCGAAGUGCGAAUCAGUAAUUAGUAAGGUUGAUAAUGUUGUGGAUGGUGUCCUGUUGUUGUGUUUAAAUUAUCAGUUCUAAAAACAGAAAUCUGCAUUUUAUCAACUUACUGUAAAAUCCACUCAUCUCGUGAGCCGGCAGCUUCCGGGGAUGAACUGUGUUUCUGCAGCAUCCAGGAACUUUCCUAUCUAACAGAGAAGAUCCUGGUAUUUAAAGACUAUCUGGAUCCAAUCCCUCAAAAACACAAGUUCAUUAUUUGGACUUUUGUGCCUUUAUCAGAGAAAAGAGGACAGUGGAUGGAGCAGGGAUGAUGACGAGGGAAAGCAAACAGGUUUAUCUGUUACUGUCUGUAAAAUCAUUCGCUCAACUGAAUUACAUGCUAAGUCAAUGGAAAGACGCGAUUAGACACUCCUACUCUGGCGGUGUGAAAGACACGAAUUAGGCGGAAGCUGAAAAUGUCUCAACUUGAGCGGAUAUUCACAUCGCGAUAACUAAUCAGUACGAAGGUUGCCGGGUGACGUAUGAAAACAGACGGUUGUUCACUAGUAUCGAUGUGUGGGUGCCCCGAAUUAUCUGAUACCUUUCCUUUGAAUUACUGAAACCGGAAUAAAAAGUAGCUCGCCCGGAGGCAAGUAAGUGAGGAGGUGGGAUUACCUGGUGAGUUGUAAAAAACCUUUGUCUAUCACUUGAUCCCACCAGUUGAAUUGGCAGUGAUUACAUUGAAAUUACUGUUGACGCAUGAAUGAAGUGAGUAAAUACUAUUCAUUUACAUGUCUAGAUUUGUGCGAAUUAAGCAAGUAGAUGAUUUUACUCCAUCCAUUACAAGGGCUAAGGUCACCCAGCUCCAUGAAGAUCAAAUCAUUGUGAUGUACAGAAUUUCUAGAAUAUAUCAAAAGGAAGAUUGCACUUUCUAGUGUUUUAAGAGUUUGACUAUGUGCCAAACGUCUGUGUUUUUGUUUCCCCUCUUCGGUAGUCUUUGUCAGUUAAACUAUGAAACAUGUCAGUCACAAAGCGAACAGUUCCUCUACCCAAAUGCACUUCAUAAUCACAUCUUCCUGGGGUGUUUAGUUUUCCUCAUUUACUCACCGAGCAGCUCCAGCAGCAGGCCUCCGUGUGAGUUUGACGAUGUCACUGCAUUUCAUCAGAAUACCCCAGACUCACCAUCAGUCUGAAGCAGUUCAAAUAACUCAGCUCAAUCUCUCAGCAGCCGACGCAGAGCCACGAGGCCUAAUAAGCACAUGCUAAAUGUGAUAAGCUGCUUUGUAGCUCUGUUUUGCCUGCUAGUUUUUUUUCUUUCUCCUCACCGUUCUUUUCUUCCACCCUGGUGAUUUACUCACUGCAGGCGAUGUGUGCAUAGACUCAAACACACCACAGAGCAGUGCAAAUAGACUUCUGUCUCAAUUGGUCCCUCGAUGUCACUGUGGAAAGAUACUUGGACAGAAGACAGGGGUAGAAAGUAAAAAAAAAAAAAAAAAGAGGGAUUUUUAUGUUGGAGAAAUUCAAGUGUUAAAUCACAGUGUGCUCUCGGAGGAGGUCGACUUUAGUAUUUUUAAGAGGCCCCUGUUGGAAACUGUGACUGGAGGCUCAGUACAACUCAUGAAAAUUCAUUCACAAGUACCUGCGCAGAGGUCAAACCAAAGUUUUCGGACAUGUUGCCAAAACAUCUCGCACACAUGAAAUCCAUUGUUGUCACAGACGUGAGAUAUAGGUGCCAUUUGGUUUCAGUUACAAGCUUAAGAGCAGACAUAAACGGAAAAAUGUAGCCUCCUUUAUGGCUGUAAUUGUCUUAUACUCAGAUGUAUGCGUGCAUGUGUUUCUUUAUGAAUCCUACUCAUAGACAAUGAGCCACUUAUGAGCCCAGCACUCUGGCGUCUCCAUCCUCUCUUACCAAAGGGGCACUAGUCUGACCAGCUGGGGGAUUGCACAGCCAAAGAGAUGAAAAGCAACUCUCUUCAACUCGCCCGAGUGGUACUGAUGGAACCUUUUAAGAGCAGAAUUGCUGCAGUGAGUGAAAACAUGGCCAACACUCUGAUGGCUGAUGUCAUAUCCCAGCUGUUAGCUCAAUCAGAACAGGUCCCACCACGGCUAAGUGAGUCUCGGCGCGGCUGCAUUCCACGUAGCACGCAGUUGCUCGAUAAAGCACAGAGAGGCUUUUUGAAGCCCCGUGUAUCCCCCGCUGGUACUCUUGUGACCCUGCUGCCAACUACAGGGUCUCCAAAGGCCUGCUGGUUAAAAAGAGCUUGGCUCAAUCAGCACAUGCUUAGACUGGCGAUGACUCCCCCCUCCCCGUGUUCCAGUUAGUCUAUCACUGUUCCCUUGUAUCACCCUCCACUUUCUGCAGACGGCACUCCCAUGCAGCUGUUGAGAGGUUGUCCCUUAUGUCAUCUUAAUAGUACCCUGCCCCCCCUCUGUUUAGCAUCCAUCUUUCAGCAACAGUACCUAAGCAUUUUUGUUUGAUGACAUCUUCUUUGUGUUUUUCACAGAUCAGGGCGCUGAUUGACCCCCUCUUUUCUUCUUCUCAGUGGGUGGAAUGUUGAUUGCACCGUAUGUUGUUGGAACUGGGAAUGGACUCCAGGCAACCCCAUCACUGUUCUAGUGCUUGAGCCCAGGACUUGAGUCCAGGACUUGAGUUUGACUCAGGUCCCAAAUUCCAGGACUCAUGACUCAACUUGGACUCAUGCACCGAUAACUGUUUGGUGCUCUGACUUGAUUAUUGACUGCAUUAGGUCUCAGAAGUGUGAGAGACUCAAACUUUUGCUGCGUCCUAGUUGUACUUGGAAGUUGACCUUCGAGUCGGAAAUUCAUCUGGAACAUCCCCUGAAGUCGGAUUUCUGACUCAGAAAGUCUGACGAUCCUCGCCAACCCUGACUUGACGACAUCGUCAUAAUUCAAGAUGGCAGUGCAGUGCAUCAACAGUAAAGGGUCACAGUGAAAGCUCUCGUAGUGUAUUAUUUGUUAGCACUUCUGUUUGGUUUUGGUGAAAUUGAGUAAGUGGUAUAUGAUGUGCUGCCCAAUGUCUAACCGUGAACACGGUGGUAUGGUGUUUUUAAGAGUAAAAUACUGUGUUAUGCGUUGUUUACAACUGGUAUAACUAACAACAACUCACAACCGCUGACAACCGCUAACAACAACUGACAAUGGCUAAUGACAGCUGACAAUUGUAAACAACAACUAACCACAGGUAACUGUAGGCAUCCAUCUUGGUUUUUGGACUUGUUAACUGGAACGCUGUCAACUCGGGUGUAGCGUCAUUCCCAGCUCCUACAUCCGACUUCCAAGGUAACUGAAGUGCAGCAUUAUUUGUUGAUAUACACUGAUUUGUUGUUGAUAUUUUUCGCACAGUCUAAAGCAACGACUGGCAUAUGUGGUCACCUGCAUUCAUGUUCCUGUGUCAUCUUGUCCAGCAAUGGUUCCUGACAGCAUAGGAAUCACGCUUUUGAAGAUUUUACUGUAAUUGUGAGCAAGAGCUGUACAGCAAAUGUGCAGUAUGUUACUUGGGUUUUUGAUUAUGCCUCUGUGAUCAAGCUAAAGAUACCAACGGAGUGCUGGAACGGCAGGAUACAAGCAGCUGUAACAGUUAUAGUAGCCAUCAAAGUGACUCAACUGCCAGGUCAAAGGAUUUUGGUUAGUUUGAUUCAAAUUCACUGUAGGAAGGUUUGAGUUUUUUAGACACCUCGACUCCUACACAGUCAGCUGAGGUUAAGAUAAUUUUGUAUAGUUUUGAGAGAAACUGUCACUUUCUCUGUCAUAAACAAUGACUUCAAUGAGGGCUCAAGUGGGACUUGAUCCAGAUAUGAACAAUGAGGACCAGAGACUUGAGAUCUGGUGAUUCAACUCCAAUACUGAGCUCCUUAGAAUCCCACAUCAACACUUGACAUUGCACUUUAGUGCCCAUGAAUGCUCAUGAUUUUUAAAUUCUUCCCAAUGUUUCAUCAUCUAAAAGACUAAUUUCUAUAAAAGAUGGUUGAAGUUAUCUCUUUUGACCACAGAAACAAAAUCAUAUUUUUCUGUAGGGAUUUUUAAAGCUGUUUUUGAUCUGGUUUACUUUUAGUUGGUUGUGGUCUUGGCAACUCAUACUGGGAAAAAUGAAGCCAGUUCUUGCAGCAUACUGAAGCACAAAAAUAUACCUUCUUUCCAGCAAUAUUUUAGGACCUCAUGCUUGAAUGAAAAACUUUGGCCUUUCCAAGCAACUCAAAUUAAUAAAAAAUGAACAUGUAAAGCCACUCUUAGCCAAAUAUAGUUGGGAAAAAAUGUUUUUAGGUAUUUGAAGCAACUUUGAGUUAGAAAAAGAACGUUUGAUGCAAUUUUCAGAAACUCAAAUUAAAGAGAAACGUAAUCAAACACCAAUUUGAACCAUUUCUAGAGACUUGAGAGCCGUGUUCUAAAAACUCAGUUAACAGCUGUGAAAUAACAGAAAUAUUUUCUCUCAAUAUUUCUAAUGACCCAAAGAAAAAUCUAAAUAUCAGGCAAAUCUUAUCGGUAGGAUCAUAUCUAAUUAUAUAAGAACAAUUACAUGGUGUCUUGUGAUGUCUUCAAUAUUAUAUAUAUGCGUAUGUCUUGGUCGUCAUGUUGGCUUUUGUGUAUUUUUCACUAUCAAGGACACUUCCAACCACCACAUCAGUGACGGGUGUUUUUGUUUGAUGAAAUCUUCUGUAUGGUUUUCACAGUUAAGGCUGCUGAUGGACACCUCAGGUUUUUAUUUUCACUGCGAGGAGUUGGUUGUACAGAGUAUUGUGUUGGAGUCCACUCCAGAGCCGUGUGUUUGCUGUCUUCUGGUGUCAACAGCCAUUUUAGCCUCCCUCUCAGCGUGAAGGGCACCACAUGGCCAGCAAACACAAGCACUUAUUCGGUUUUGACAAGCAGUGCCAGCGAGACCUCAGCCCAACUGUCAGGGAGUGUGUGUUUGUGAGCGAGUGUGUUUUUUGAGAGUCUGCGGAUGUUUUUGUCUGAGGUUUCCAGAGAGAGACUACCGGAUGAGAAUGGUCAAAUACCAGGUAUACUCUACUUUCUUUCUCGCCCAGGGCAAGGUAAGACAUGUUAGCAUUCAUAGACACAAAGCACUAGAGGCCAAAACAGGAAGGAGAAGUGGACAAAUGACAUGCAGAGCACAGUGAACCUCAUUUCGGGGUCAGGAUGGGGGAAGAUGGAGGGAAAGACGGAGUAACAUUUGUUUGUGUGUCUCAGUGUGCGGAUGCUUGUUGUUCUUCCGUUAAAGAGUUGUUAUUUUUCUCUAAGUAUUAUGUAUUCAGCACUAACACUCGACGGCGUGUCACACCAGACAUACAGGGAAGAGAAAAAAGAAAACAGAGAGAGAGACGGAGCGAGACAACUCCUGACAGCCUCUACUUGAUUAGGUUUCACAAUCCAACAAAGCAGAGUUUACUUAUUUACUCUAACAGUCCUCGACACUUCCUGCAAAUUCCUCCAACGUAAAAAAAAAAAAAAAUUUGAACCUCCCCAAAACAAGAGGAGACUCUAUUAUUAUUUUAAUUAUGCUCUUUUUAGUUUCAUUUCCCCCAGCUGAGAGUCAACCGAGGAGCAUGUGAGUGAAUGAGAGAAAAGCGAGUGUGUGUCGAGUGUUUGGAAACACCCAAGUGAUUCUUUCGGCAGGUACAAAAGCUUGUGUGUAGGAAACAGCUUUUAUUAAAGUCAAUACUUAUACAUAUCCCUGCUGCAUAAUUUAUGGCUACUUCUGUAACAUUAGAGCGAACACAGGAGAAUAGCUUCACACACCAGCACGGUUUGGAGUUUUUCAAGGGAAACGGUGUGCAAAAUAUGCCAAAAUCAGGGGAGGAUAAAAUCAAGUGGAAAAGCUUCAAAAAUACUCAAAUACUCAGGCCACUGCAGCACUGUCGAAGUUAUGAGGGUGUCUUUUUGCUGCACGUGGAAUAUGUUUUUGUUCCCAGUUAUUCAUUAUCCUCCAGAUCCCUCCAUAGUGUCUGAAAAUGCCUGUCAUAUUUUAAAUCCUUGGGCACAGAAAUGUAAAUCAUAGAUCUUCAUCGCAGAAGGUACUCGAGAGCAACUGGUACUCAAAAUUUACAACAGACUGUUAAAUCUGAGGGAGGGGGUUCACCUGCUCUUCUCUUUUUUGUACAGUUGAAAAAUGUUUAGAAGUACUUCUCUAUAUAAUUAGAGAUGCCAAAAACAUUAACAGCCACCAUAUAUCUGUUGUCUCAUCUGAUCAUUUUGCUGUGUAGCAGCGAAUAAAUGGUGAAUGUGUUUUUUUUUAUCUUGAGAGUCAGACGUCAUCCUGUGGGGAGUUUUUUCCUGUCAGAUUGAGGACUGGGUACAAUUGAAAUAAUCGUGUAUUCAUUAUAAUUUUUAGAAAUAAGUCAGGAUUUUUAAUUGGGGUUUAUUACAUGUAGGUUUAUAAGGAACUCAUCUGGAUGUUUUUGGUGCAGUACAGUUAAUAUAGAAAAAGAAUUGGAGAACUGAGUAAAACAGCAGCUAUGGAAGAAUAUCAUACAAUUAUGAUUUCAGAUUUUUAUAACAUGUCUGUUUUAUUUAAGGCCUAUUUUUCAAUAUAUAAUUGUGCAUUUUUAGUCACUCAUUUGGAAUAUGUGGUUGUAAAACUCUUUUUGUGAGUUUCUGGCUGGUUGUGACAGAAAUUAAUAUUGAUGCCUUUUUAAGAGCCACAAAAACAAAUGAGACAGUAGACACUAAGACAGCCUAUUUCUGUAUUUGACUUUUAUUUCUCUAACCUCUGCCACAGGAUUUUUUUUUUUACUUUCUUUUGACAGGGCAGCUCAAUCGAGGAUAUUAAAAGAAAUAUGGGGAGUAAAGGGUGGGGGUAGACAUGCAGCAAAGGGUUGUAGCUGGGAGUCAAACCAACUACAGUGCAGUAAGGACUAAAGCCUCCAAAUGUAAUACUGAUAAUAAAAAUGAUAUCUGAGUACAUGAGGCACUGCCUGAUGAGAUGAAUGUCUUAGUUAAAAAUGUUCCUUACAUAUAUACAGAAAAAGUCAGUAGAGAUAAAAGAGGUGCAGCUUUGUCUACAGGGGGCGCCAACAACGAGGCAAACCUGACAGUUUUAAGCUCCUGUGGGAAACUUUUGAUUUGUUUCGUUUUUGGUGCUCCCUCUGAUAGACAGUCUUUGCUUAUCUCAUCUUUAACAUCCUUAAAUACAGUCUUCAGAUGAGAAAUCUCAACAGUGAUGACUUUUGUGUUUAAAUAAUGAGUAUUAUUAACAUUUAGUGCAGGAAACAUAAAGACAGAGAUUAUUCUUGAGCAGCUCUUUGGCAUCUGACCCUUAAACUGAUUUUAGGCAUUAAAAAUUAGGGUAUCCAAAUUAUAAAACUUGUGGCUUAUGAUAUAGUUUUUCUACUGUUAUGAAUUUUAGUCUUUUUCUAUUAAUUUCAAAAAACUCCCCACAGUAGCUUUAUUUUAGCGCUAGAUACUUUGAUAUUGUUUAAAAUGUAGGAAAUGCCCCUGAUAUGGUGUCUAGUUAAAGAUUAGAUUUUGUUUAUAGAAAUGAAAAUUUGUACAUAAUAUUUGAGUUCUUUCUGGUUAUAAGAUUAAGUUUGAAAUGCCAGAUUUGUGUUUUUUUCUUGAUUGUAAAUUUUAAUUUCUGUAGGUGUCACUCCAGAAUAACAGUGCUUAGUUCCUCACUGCAGCUUUAAUGGGUGUUUCUCAGCAAACUGCAGCCACACCAAAAAAUUCUCCUUGGGUCUCCAUGCUGAAAGAUAAAAAGCUGUACGUUUGACUGUAUUGAAACAAUCCAAAAAGUCCAGAUGAGAAUCUACGACUGUUUAAAAGUGAAGUAAAAAUAUUCUUUUUCCCAUUUCACAUAUCCACCGUGUCAGACAACAGGUUAAUGGGCCAAAACAACUCAAUUAAAUAAGUCAACAGUUUGUGGUUCCCAUCAUUAGCGCUGCAGCCACGCAGGGCCAGAGUACUGCACAUUCCAGACUAAAGAAGGCCAUCUGGCCCCUGAGUGCACAAAACAUCUCUUUCACAUUAAGUGUUUAUUGUUUUCUUAGAUUGAUGCCGUUAAUAUCAGCCUUUCAGAAUGACAGAUUAGCAUCACCUCCUAAUCAGCGCUAUUAGGAGAUAAAUAUCAGUAAUUUAAUCACAGCGGCAAUUUCUUUUACAAUAAUAAGAUUUACAAAUGCAAGUGAUUAAGUAAUUAGCUUACAUCUCUGAAGAUUACAAUCCCCUGGACUUUGGGGCAUCUGGUUUUGUGAAGAUUACACAGUUUUGCUUCGGUCUGCCUUUUUUUUUUUAAUGUGAAUGAGAUUUGUGCUUGACCGAAGCGUAAAGCAGUCUGCAAAUGACCCCCAAAUCCCUUCAAGUGAUUUUUUUUCUCCCUCUUAAGUGCACCAUUUUUCUGAGUGGGCACACAGGGGAGAUGAAUGCCUUACAUUUAUUCCAAUUGAAAAAUUAUACACACUUGAUAAAAUAAAGCCAGGCUUUAGGGUGACGUAUCUAAACAGCUAUCAAUGAUUUCUUUGUUUCCAGGAGAGCACCGGCCCUUGGGCUAUCCUGAUUUUUGAAAAAGGUCUAAAGCUCCUUCUUUUUUAUUUACUAAGUAAUUUGUCGGUUAGUGUUAAUUUCCUAAAUGCAACAUAAAAGGAGUGCAGUGCGGUGAGAAAAAAAAAAAUUAAAGGGGGGGAAAUCAUAAAAACAGCAGAGAAUCAGGCAAAUUGCUUCCAUGUGUGUGCGGCUGCCAGAGCUGAAGGAAGCAGAGCGCUGCCUGACCCGCCGAGACUGGGCCAAUUCAGUUUGAAAGGCCCAGCUCUCUAAUGAAGGCCUAAUUUUUAUUGCCACUCCAUUGACUUCAAAGCAGUUCAGGUUGCCAAACAUAAUUUCACUGGAGGUAUUUUCAGGUGCACUGCAAAUAGUUCAUAAAUAAUUUCCCCAUUAGUCCAGCCGAUGCACUUUUUUAGGUGAAUGUUUCGUCUGUUAGGUCCCUAAAAAAAAAAAAAAACUCCCUUCCCUCCCCUUGACUUCAACACCACCAACAACAGCCCUGCAUCCUUCCUCGAUCCCUGCACCCCCGCUAGCCCCUAACCUUCGUCCUCCAGGAGCUUAAGGAGUCAAAUACCGCUUAGUGGCUCUGUGAGUUUUCUGUUGAAGUAAUAAGACAGGCCGGCCAUGGCUGGGCGCUGUCACUGCUUUGGUUUAAGGAGCCCCCACAGCCAGGAGGACACGGCUCCACCAUUACAGGAUUAGUGAAUUAAAAUAAAUCCAACCCCAAGAGACCCAAUCACCGUCGGCUUAUUGGUUGUGACCAUGCUGUCACUUUGAAUGGCUACCUGCUAUUAUUGUGUGAGAAAGAGGAGAGGAGAUGCAACAUUACCACGAUUUUCCAGGCUGAUCGACGAAUAUAAAAUAGGAUAGCGUGAAUUAUCAAAAAAUCCCAUUAUAGGAGUCUAAGAGCAAAUCUAAAAGUACAUUUUUAAGGUUUGCAGGAUUUAACUUUGUCAUGCCUUGCAACCCUGAACUAUACAUAAAAUCUAACAUUAUAGUUUCAGGAGUGUGAUUAUCAAUUUUGAAGGUCCAGAAAUAUAUAAUUUUUAUUUUUUUAAACCACAGCCCAGCCAAACACAGUCUGCAAACAGAGAGCAUACAGCAGGUCGAAUCAGGGUUUUACCUUUAGAUAGAGCAUGUUCACAUUUUUGAUGUGGACAAAGUUUUUAUUUGGUUUAGAUUUAUUAAAAAAAGAAUUUUGAUACCAAAUGAGCACUUUAUCUCAGCUUCCAUCUCUUCCUACCUUAAGGCUGCUUUUGUCAUUUCCUCUCAUUAUUAUGUCAAGAUAGCUCUGUGUCUUGCAUCCUUUGACAGUACAAGCCAAUCAGUCUUGACACACCAUGCUUUUUUAAUCAUAAAAUACAUAAUCUAUUGAUUUCUGAGUAGAAAUUUUUUGUGCUUUACAUUUAUUAUUUCUGAAAAUUCUGUGAACGUGACACACUGUAAAAGGUCAGUUGUGUUUUGUAUGCUGAUGUGAUUGAUUUGGCAGUAUAACAGGCAAAGAGGUAUUUAAUUACGAUACGGUUUAUCAGCCAGUAGAUGGCAUUUCAAGAAACAAUCAACCACUUUGCUGCCAAAUUAUGCUAAACACAGGCAAGUGUCACACCACCAUAUGAUAAGAGCUUUACAUAGGGUGACCAUACGUCCUCUUUUUUGGGGGCUGUCCGCCCUUGUCCAGCUGUGUCUGGAGAAGUUUAUAAAAUCCUUCAAAUGUCUGCUGUUUUGUACGAAAAUUCUGAGUUUGUGUCAUGUGGACUUACAAAGUUAAAGGCGCGUAAACGACACUCGAUCCGACGUGAAAAACUCUUAAAAUUAACUCUGUGCGACUCCGUGACUCCGCCCCUGCGUAGUCGUGUCUUCUUUUUGGGAAGUCAGAGUAUGGUCACCCUAGCUUAACAUCCUCAUACUUAUGCAUUUAAAGAAAACUUUAAGAUUUUGUAACUGAGCUUGGAACCAGCAGUAAGUGUGUUGUGUGUUGUAGCUAAGUCAUAGGUUGUGGGUCUGGCCUUUGACUCAUGCUCACACAAGCUAAAGCUAAUGUACUUGCAUAAUCUCUCUCUAUCCCUCAUCUACACACAUUACCUCUACCAAGCACAACCAUCAUACAAUUAACAAGCAGGGUAGUGAAAACAGACGAGGCAAAAUAGAGCUUCACAGCUGCAUGGAAACUACAUGUUUAGUCCAAAGCAGGAUCACAACUUGAAUUCAAGUAUUUUGUUCAUGUAUCUUAUUUUCAUAAUGUAUUUGCUGUUCAUAUUCAUAUUACAAAUGAGGACCUUUUACAGUACAGUACUAUCAUUAGCUCAUUGGGUUUAUUCUGUUUAUCAGACUGAGUCUUCUCACACAGCUGUUGACCCCUGACCUCUCCCUAAUAUGCCUGUUUUAAAGGGGAAUUUCCCAAAAAGGAUCAAUAAAGUGCCAUAUUACCUCAGCAGAAUCAUCAAGCUCUGAAGCUCAGAAGCGCCUUUGCUAAAAAUAAGGCGUAUUCUGUCAAAUCAGCAUUUUGAUAGAGAGUGAAAGUCCCCCGGUAUCCUGCAAUCACAAGCCUAAUUCAAAACAAACUAAUAAUAACAAGAAUCUCGGCCAUCAAAGCACACAUGUUUCCCAUUUACAGACAUGGAGGGAGAAAAUGUGGAAUCAUGAGGGCCUGUGCGUUGACUUGGCAAACUGUAAAACUGGUUUUUCCUUUUGUCCGUCGCUUUGUAAAGAACUUCAUAAAAACCCUUUCUGAUGGGUAAUAACAGUGAGCGCUGCACGGGCCAAGAUGAGUCAGAGGACUCUGGAAUCUCACAGACAGGAAAACAGAGUGGAGCACCCAUUAACCACCCCACCCUCCCUCCCCCACACCACAGCCCACAGUUCUCCUCCUUUUUUACAUGUAGAUGUUAUUAUUGUUCUAUAAUUGCGUUUCACUCCCUGAAGCGGACCAGAUCCUUUGAAGAGGGAGAAAUGGAGCACUUUAUUUUAAGCAGGCAGGUAUUUUUCAAUAAACUGGGCUGUUGUCAUUGUACACAUAACAUGUUUAACGUGAAAACAAGCCAUAAAUCACAGCAGUGAUAACUGAUUACUCUGAACUCCCUUAUUUCUCUCUCUGCCUCUGUUCUGUAUGUUUAGUCUUUGCUUCAUGGUUCAUUCACUUAACAUCCUCUGAUACCCGUCCACCAAAUCUGAAUAAUCUGCUUAAAUAACAGUGAAGGCAUGUUUGUGCCCACUGAAGGUACAACACAGGAUCAGUCCGUUAGAGAUGUGUGCAGAUUUAUCUCAUAGCAAAGAUCCUGUGAGGAACGUUCAGAAUGUGCAAAUUUUGGCGCCCCCUAUAGAUGAAACUGUACAUGUCACGUCAAUGCUGUCUUGUCUUGUACAUGUUUCAAUGGUAUUAUGUGCAUGCUUUUAUUUGCUGUUUGGCAUACGCACAUGGAAGGGCAGGGAACUCUCAUCACAGGACCAAAGUCAAGGGUGAAGAGAACACGCCUCCCCAUCCUCUUAGGGUGAGCUCCAGUAACAAUACGUGACUAGCAGUAACACGUUUGAUUGUUAAAGUUGUUUUUGAUGCACAAAGUCACCAGGUAGAUGUCAAAGUGAAGUAAAGCAUGAUGCAGAAACAGCUUUUGUUGGUCUGUUUUACAGUAAAUUCCUCACUUGAGCUUUGACAUCCACAUUAGCUCAGAAGGUAGAGCGUUCGUCAAAUGACUGGAAGGUUGGCGGUUCGAUUCCCCCCUUUCCCGAGUCUGUCCGUUGUGUCCUUGGGCACUUAACCCACCUUGCUCCCAGUGUGUGUCCUCCACUGGUGUAUGAUUGGUAGAUGUUGUGUGAUGGUGGUCGGAGAGGCCGUAGGUGCAAACUGGCAGCCACGUUUCCAUCAAUCUGCCCCAGGGCAGCUGCGACUACCAAGGUAGUUCACCACCACUGGGAUGUGACUGUGUGAGCGAAUGAAUGAUGUAUCCAAUGUAAAGCGCUUUGAGGGUCUCUGAAAAAGGGCUGUAAAAAUCUUACGUAUUAUUAUUAUUGUUAGAUGUGUAGUCAGUCCAUUCCUGCUCUGCUAGUCUGAUCAAGUUCCCUCUAGUCACUUUCCCAACUGCCUUGAGUAUGUAUUGUGCUGCAGCUCUUAUUUUUGCCUUAAUAUAUGACACAUCAGUUCAGCACAGGACAGAUUGAACUAGACAGGAUACCAGACAUCAAAACAACAUUAAAACAUCUGUUCAAUCUUCAGAUGAAAACAUCCUGCGUUGACUCCAAAUUCUCUUGCAGUGAACUAUGUCAACAAAACGUCAUAAUGAGCAGAGCCAGGUCCAGAAUCAACAGAUCAGAGGUUUUCAGAGGCUACUGUUGACAUGGAUGAGGUAAAGCUCAUCAUGGAGGUGGAAAACCACUGAUUUAGUAAUAAGUAUGAGGCAUCCAUGCUUUUGUGACUUCAGUUGUCCGGUGUUCUCUAAAAAUGCAGCCGGUGGGUGUUGAUGGAUUAGAGCCACGGAGGCAAGCUAUCACACAACCAGAGGAAAUUCUGUGUAAUGAUUUUUUUACCCACUCCUCUUGGUGCAUUUUUGUGUGCUUUUUAAACUCACGUUUACCAAAACAAAGAAAGGAGAGGGAAUUUUUGCAAAUGUACUUUUUACUUUUUGGAAAAUCAAUGCUACAAAUGUAGAAAAAAAACAUACAGAUAAAACCUAAAUGGGCAGCCAAGUUUGGUUCUUAUACAUUGGAGUAUCUAUGAACUCAGUUUCCAGAAAAGCUAACCUUUGCCAAAAACACCAGUAUCCAUUCAUCUGGAGUCAGGUUAGGAGCAGCAAUAUGAGCAAGUCAACAGAAACCUUAGGCCAGGUGAGAUCUCUGAUCCCUCCAGUGAGCUCUGGACCUACCCUGGGGUCUUCCUUAAGUUGAAUAUGCCCAGGUGUCCAGGAGGCAUCCUUACUAAAUGUCUCAACCACCUCAACUAACUCUCUAAAGCUGAGCCCAGCUACCCUUCAAAAGACACUAAUUUCUGCCACUUGUAUCUGUGAUCUGAUUCUUUCUGUCAGAACCCAUAGUCCCUGAACAUAGGAGUGGUUGGAACGUAGAUAAACUGGUAAAUGUAACAGGCAAAACCCACAGGGUCCGGAACGGCUCCGCUACGUUCCGGCAAAGCAGGCAGAUCAAAUCCGCAAGCAUUAUCAUCAAUGUGAGUCAUUCCAUAGAAUCUGUCUGGCAUCCAGCUCUGCUGCGGAUCGGCUCCGGCGGCCGGGUCAGAUACUCAAGGCUUCUAUUUUUGUCGGACGACGGAGCACGGCGCAUCAAUUCAGUGCAGUGCAGCAUGAGCAGCAGCGGAAUUUUGAUGAGGUUACAGAGUAAAAUAUCUGGUUAAUUUUCAAAACAAAAUAAAGUCAAUACAUUGAACUGUUCUUAACUUGAUAAUAGGCGAGGCCAGGGUUGUGGGAUGUGGGUGUUUAUAUACACCGCAGUUUAUAUACUUCAACCGGCGGAUCUUAUUCUAUGACUCCCGGGAAAACACGCAAGAGCUGGUGAGAUCUCGUCCAGUCCAGUCAGAAAUAUUGGUAAUCUCGCUAGCGCUUCUCCUCCGAUGGUGGCAGAUCAGAUCCGGUGGGCGCUGUAUGCUUGCGGAUCUGAUCCGCCUGCCUGCCGGUGCGGAGUGGAGCCGUUCCGGAUCCUGUGGGUUUAGCCAGUAUAGCUUUGCCUUCAUCCCUCUCUCUACCAUAAUGACCACAGUACUGCUGAUGCUGCACCAAACCCCAGGGUGCAUGAACUCCCUCAUUUGGGGAAAAGACUCACUCCUUACCCAGAGAACCAUGGCCUUGGAUUUGGAAGUCCUCUAAUCCUCGGUUGCAAACUUUCCAAAUGCCUGCUGGAGGUCCCUGAAGAAGCCAACAGAACCACAUCAUCUGCAAAGAGCAGAGAUAGAGUUAUGUGGCAACCAAACUUGGGCUGACAGCCAUGGACAGUUUUGCCAUCUGGACGAUUUAAAAUCUGACCAAUACCUCACUAGUAGUUUUCUACAUAAACAAAAUGAAAAAAAUACCCCCUAGUGUUGUCCUCUUUGGCCUUAACUCAGGCUUAAAUCAUGUCAAAUCCCACCAUCACACUGACAUUAUUUUGUUAAUUAAGAUGUAUUGCUAAGUACAUUAAGUAGCUGUUCAGGGUAAUCUAGUGAUUUUAUUGAAAGCCAAUCAUCAUUGCUAUUUAAUAGUCAUUCAUGAAAGCAUGUGAAUGAUGGAGGUAUAUAAACAGCUGGUGUUCUUCCUGCCUCUCACAUUGCCGCCGUGUUUAUCUCUGUCACUCUGCUGUUUGGGAUCUGAUCAAUAACACAAGACUGAUGUGUCCCAUGAUUCAUGACUACAGCCGCUCUAAUUCCCUUACACACACAAACCUUCAUUAAUGAGUUGUUAUUGGAGGAAAGAGAGCCCUUGGUAUCUGUUAAACACACAUGGCUGCUCUUAAUGAGCUCUCUUUCAACACAUACAGUCGUCUCUCUGUCAGUCCUACCCCAAGGUUUGAAUUAAGCCACGCUAGCUUGGAAGAGCGCCAUUGUUCCGCUGUUUUUGGUGAAAAUGUUCCUACAGCUGAAACCGUUACCAUAACCAUACUCUUGUUUCAACUUCAGCGCUCAUUUUUGCGCAAAGAAAAAUAAAAAGCACCUGUUUUGGCUGCAGGGACGUUAUUCCCCUCUGCUGUUAGGAUUGAAUGAGUCCUUGAGUCAGUUUGAUUUUUGAUGGAUGGAGAUGUGUCCAGACUGGCUCUCUGGGCUCCAACAGGCCCUAAUCCAGGCCCCAAGAGGCCUCCAGCCGUGUCCUUCAUCCAAUUCCGACUUCUCCCAACAGGAAAUGAGGGCUUCAGGGGGCACUGGUAAGGAGACAGGGAGCUCAGUCACAUGCAGAGGUACAGACGCACACAGCACAACCAGAGCAGAUGUUAAAAAGUCAGAAUCUAACCAUUAUAUUCAGAAAAAACAAGGCCAAAAAACACAGUUUUUCUGUCUUUUCUGGCGUGUCUUUCAUUCUCUGACAUAAAUCGGUUUGUCUGAAGUUGAGAUUUUACAACCAGGACUUACUCAGUCACCCCCUAAAAAACACAUUUCAGUUCAAAGAACUCUCUAAAAGUUUGGGGGGGCUUUUGUCUUCGUGCGAGCCGACCCCCCUCUCGAGCUGAUUGAGGCAGCCAUUAGACGAUCCGGACAUAAUUAAUCAGGGAGAGCUGCACGACACUGAUCUGCAUCAAACACUCCCUGCUUCCAGAUAUCUCCUCCAGAUUUUGCGCUAACACUAUCUAAUCUUACAAAAAUCACACACACACACAAAGACACUCAGUUAGAUUAGUCUCCAAAGCCCCGGCAUUAUGGGAGGAAUAAAGACAGUCCUCUGGUCCUUUGCUGACUAUCAAACUAAAGUGUAAUUGCUCUCUGGUGACUUCAUAACACUUGCAGGCUCAGGGUUUAACUCGCCUUAUUAGAAGACUCUCACAGUGUGUAGAGUCCAGAUUGAUGAGUGUAAAAGAGAGAAGAUUCAAAUCAUCCAAAGAGAAGUUUGGCCCUUGUUAUGAUUAUUCUGUGACAUGUUGUGAAGUAAUUGUCUGCAUUAUAAUGAAAUCUGGAGUUUUCCAUUACUAAGUCGGGUUUCCUGAGGCUGUAGUCAACAACAGCAAGACUUUAUGUAGCGCAUUAGCUAUGUUUUAAAUGUCAAAUUCAAUCAUAUGUUACAUCUCUGAAACUGACAAGUACAAAAUUUGAAAUUUGAGUCUUUUUAACAUGAAAUUGGACCAAUUUUCACCCAUCACUGUCUCCAUCAUGUACAUCCCAGUAACUCUCCUCACAGUUGUUUGCAUAAAGCUCCAAGAAAGAGAAUUUUGACAUUUAUUGAAUAAACUGAAAUUAAGCAAGAAUAUAUAGAAACAAAGAUAUUUUGUUUAUGACUCAUAUGUUGAUCAAGAGAACAUUGUACAUCGGUUUUGAGCUUCUUUUAUUGUAAUGUUUCUUAAACGGAGUUUUUCUUCAAGAUAAGUAAAGUCUGUUGAAGUUUGAAACACAAAGAAGAAGAGGAGCUUACGUUGGUGAGACCGUCUUCCUGAUAACAGCUGGGACCCAAGUGCAUCUAACUUUUGCAUUUGCGUUGGUCAAACUUCUAGGUUGGUCCCAGGAGAUUUCAUCAUUUUAAUUUAUAGUUUUUAUUUUAAAUUUUUAAUAUUUUACAAUUAGCAUUUAUUUUGCAUUUGUUGUCAACUUCUUAACCUGCCGACCCGAACUGACUAGCUGCUGUAGUUAGGCCUCCAGUGACAGCCUCACGAAGUGAAGUCAUACGGUUCAGAACAAGUCGCAGCACAGAAAAAAAGGAUUGUGUAAAUGUAAGGAGAUGCAGUAAAAAUAUUUUUAAUGCAACAAACUCCUGAAUGGAUAUUUUUCUAAGCAGACCGUCCAGGUUUGGCUUCUCCAAACAAAGGCUGUGCUGAGCCUAAUUUACAGUACUGAAGGCAGUUGUUUUCCCUUGUGGUCAGCGCCAUGUAGUUCACAAACGCAUUAUCAGCCUGCAUUUGAAAUGUGACCAGCAGUGAUAGCUUGAGCACGUAGCAGCUCUACACCAAGUCACCAGAUCCAAUCAGUGAUAAUAGGAGUGGGUUUGGAAGGGGUGUGGGAUUGUUAUUGGCUGGUAAACGAAUCAAGGAAUCACCGCAUUGAAAGAAAUUCCUACCCCCCCAAACCUUGCAUUUUUGUUUCUUCUUAUGCCAACUGAGAUUACCGCAUGAGGGCUUUUUUCCUCCUCCUUGCCUCGUCCCCCUGGUGAAAGGAAUUGCACUGACCUCUUCUAUCUAUUGCUUCCAUAUGCGAGCAGUUAUCUCUCUUGCAAAUGGAAAUGAGACCCAAAAUUGCAACAAAUGGGGCCAUGCCACUGAAUGCAGAUGUUCCCCGCUUCUCGCCCAGAGUACACAUGCCCGAUCAAAUUAACUUUAACCCCUCCGCCGACAGAACAGACAUCUCUUUUACAAACCCUCCACUCCGGCAAUUUGUUUUGAGUCAAAGCCCGAGGAACAACUGUACGUCCACACGAAGUAAAUAAGAAGUGAUGGUAUCAAACACCUGGACCAGGCUGGGGUUCACUGUAACCCCCUGCCUGGAGGGGCUUUCAUGCAGCACCAAACCUCUACUGUAAAUCUGUCGGUUUUUUCGUGCAUGGACCAAUUUGCCCUCCUGGUCUGUUCCCUCUUUCUGCUGGCUGUUUGACAGGGAACACCUGCUUGUGGGGUGAUUCUAGGGGGUUGCAGCUGAGAAGCUGCAGAAAUGGAGGGAUGAAAGAGCAGAGAGAGAGGGGUACAGAGGGGGGACGGAUUGUGAGAGGCUAACAGGUGCUUCCUCUGUUGGACUCUGGGAAAAGCAGAGCUCUGAUAAUGUAUGUAAAUGGGAGCCGGCUCUCUGUGCCCAUAUCCCUUCAUCAAGUCUCUCUAUCUCUCCCUCUUUCCACUCCCCCUCUUUCUGAAUAAUAAGAAAGCGCUAUAAAAGUGGCCUCACAGAUAAUUUACCAAAUUGGUUAAAUGUUGCUGAGAGCCUGGAGUGUUAAUAUGCUUCCAUUCAGAGCAGGCAGAGGUCAGAGGAGUCACUGGUUAGCAGGAACCAGACAGAAACAACAGUGCUCUGAUGAUCCCAUCCCACACAAUGCCCUUUAGGGUUGCUCUGUAAUGACCAGCACGUCUGGGUACAUUUAGCUUUACAUACAUCCACAGCAGAUAUGAAAUGUGUUGUUUACACACCAAUAGUAAAAGGCAAGCCUGCACACUUUAUCACAUAACAAAGAGCCACAUGUAGGAAUGGAUCCAUGGUUUAUCACAGCAGUAGGUUUACAAACACUGAGGUGGUUAACAGGGGUGUGUCCAGACUUUUAGACAGGGGUGGCCCAGCUGCAGCACUGACUCCUGCAGGGGUGGCCUUUUAAGGUUUACAGUGAGUGAAAAUGGCACUAUUCAGCAGUUUUAGUAGAUUCUGGAUUGAAAAUCACCUUUACUCACCCUCCCCAUAUGUGAAGCUUCAAAUGGGAUCAUGGCCUUCGAGGAUAACAGUCUCCUAUGAUGCAUGAUAAACAUAAUCCCCCAUUUGUCAAGUCUUUACCAUCAAAAAAGUAUUUCAGUGUGCCUCGUGAAGCACUUUCAGAUAUUGAAAUGCACAAAGUAGAAAUAGUCAGCCGUGUAACUAAUGGUUUUCUAGGCUUUGUGACGUCAAAAGGAAUUGUUGCUGAUUUCAGUCUGUUUUAUAACCAGCUGAGAUCCCCUCACAGGGACCCUAAAUAGUUAUUUUCCUUAUAAGUCUUUGCUUUGACAAGAUAAACAGUUCAUUCAAUUCAGGAUUUUGGGUGGACCAAUCCAAUUUUAACAGGGGGCCAAGCCACCCCUGGCCUCCUCUUUUAACACACCCCUGGAAGUUUUCUAAUAAAAGCCAUCCUAGAACAUCUCUAAAAUAUCCAAAUAUAACUCAAAAGAUAAAUCUAAAUUUCAUGCAUGAAGGAAACAUGACGAGCUGAUGGCAAGCGAGACAAAAGUUCUGUCAUGAAAAUCAAAUAUAUAUUCACAAAAUAUUUUAAUUCCAUGAUAUAAGAAAACAACACAACUCAUAUUUUUUAUUAUACUUAAGUAUCUUUAAUUGGACAUUUGUUCAGACUUUCAUAAAAUCUUAUAUUUUUUCUACAUAGGAACAGAGAGAGCCAAAGUCUAGGACCUAUAUACUACUAUAUACUACUUAGUGACAACUGUUUAAAGUUAGAUUACUUUGGCCUAGUAAAAAGUUUCGAUCACCUCCCUGUACCUCUUCACAGCCUCUAAAUGAUGUUGAUGUUGUUGACACUGUUUUCCUUACUGUGUUGUUUAGUGCAUGUUUCUUGCAUCGUGCAUGUACAUUUAUGUUUUCUUUCGCGGUGCCACCAUCUGCUCUCCUUUAGAGACCCUGAUUAAGUCUAAUGAGUGUUUCCAAGUCCAGUCCCCUCAUCUAUCUCCAAAGACUUAAAAACACAGAACAUGUCCCUGCUAUUUCUCCACUUAUUGCCUUUCAGCUUCCUCACGUCCGUCCCCCUUCAUCUUUCUCACAACACACAGCAGCAACAGUGCUCCAUCCCAUCAUUUAUAAGGGCUGUCAACUUAAUACACACAAAUAUUACAUACAUGUAGAAGGCAUGUGGGAUUGGAACAUACAGGUGCUAACUUAUUUGGCCGGGUCUGUUCCUGGUCCCGGCUAAUGAGGAGCAGGUGAGUGGCUGUUGCUUUAAUCAAGUGGAGAGUGGGCCGGGCACAGAUUUGCAGCUUGUUGAAAGGCCGGUCGUACACAUGGGCUUCAUUAUGGGGUUAGAGGAAAAUCAGUCAGGAACAAUUGUUUUCCCACUCCUGCAGCUAAACUGGAAAAGUUUUCUGCCUUUGUGUCCCACGCAGAAACUCACAGCACACAACCUUUGUCUGAUUUGUAUAUAUAAAAAACUUGGAUAGCCGAGUCUCCUGAAUUGAACUAGUGUUGUGAGGAAAGACAGUGUUGACUUUAUCAGAUAGAAAUGUGUGGGUAAAGUUAAGAUUUAUACCAGGAUAGAGAAAAUCUCAUACAUCACAAUAGUUACAGCUUUUAAAGUAAAUUACUACCCUUGUAAACCAUGGAUUUUUUAAUAGUACCGUGUAAAACUAUGUCAGUGAACAUAUUUGUUUUGCUCUUAUCAUUGUUGCACUGGGAAACCCCCAUUUUUGUUACACUUAAAGCCCAAAUGUUAAAACCAUUAUUGACUUAAACUUCUGUACAAAAAUGUUUCCACCAAAACAGAAAAAAACAAACAAACAAAAAAAAAAGUUUAACGACAUUGAAAAAAACAAGCCAACUCCUAAUUUUAGAUUAAAAUGGGAAAAAAAGGCACUCCAACAAACACACUCAUUUUUUUUUCGAUAAUCCCUGUAUUUGUCUCCACUGGGGUGCCGCAGGCGAAAUUUUAUUUUGUAGGAUGGUAGGGGAAGGUCCCGCCCUCCCUUGCCUCUGAUUGGCUAGAAGUGCUGGGCUCUGAUUGGUUAUUCCUUAUGGCUGUGAAUCGUCAUCGUCUGUCAGGUUAGGGUUAAGGUAAGAGUUAGAAGAUUUAGAAGUGCGCAAAUGUUCUGUAAUAUUCUGUUCAAUAUACAGAGCCGACAGCCAACGUUUGGCUUGAGUGUGUGAUGACGUUUCCAGCUUUUCUAGCCAAUCAGAGAUGAAGGAGGCGGGACUUUCCCCUACCAUCCCACAAAAAAAAAAUUUCAUGUGCCGCAGCUAGUAAGCUAGCUUUUAGCCUGUUAGCCAAACUAUUAAUAAAAUUAUUCUAUUAGUUUAUUGGGAUAACAGAAAAAGACUAAAGGGGAUUCUUGAUACAUAAUUAAACACGUUACUUUAUUUCUUAAAUGUUUCACCUGGUUUUAAAUCACUUAUUUUCUAUUGUGUUCUAUCCCCUUGUUGGGGAAAUACUGUUGUUACUCUGUGUUUUACAAAUGUGUGUUUUAGGGGUUUGGAGGAUUUAAAUUCAGAUUAAGGUUGAAGCAAAGUACAUUUUUGAAUGAUUAGCAAUAUUAGAUUAGCAUGUAAAACACAAAAGUUUCUUCUGUAUAAUUUGUGUUCUCACAGUUAGCUUGAGAGUUAGCAGCUGAUGUAAAACAGUGUCAUGGGACUUGGUAGAUCAUGAGUCAUGUCUAACUGUGUAAACUCUGAUGAAUAUAGAUAUAAACCAUAUAUUCUUUUUAAAUCUUUGCUUAACCAGGAAAAAAAAAACAUUGAGAUUUAAAUACAUUUUUCAAAAGUCUCCUCACUAAGACAGGCAGCAGCACAAACUCAUCCACUUAAAUUGGAAUUUACUGCCCAAAAUAUAUUCAAACUGACUGCACGACAAGUUCUGCAAGUAAGAUUUGUCUCACUAUGAAUCAAGCUUUGAGUGAUUAAAGUGGGACAAACAAAGGGAAACAAAUUAUGUUGGUGGGCCACAAGGAGCCGUUUGUGAUUCAUGGACCACUAGGGAGGUAUAAAAGGCACAGUCACACAAAUUAUUCCAACAAUUCAGACAAAUGAGCAAAUAACUUUUAGUCUUGACAGGAAUAUAUGAGUACUUUAGCAGAGUUUUAGCGAGGAGCCCCCUCAUUUUCAGUUUUAAAUGGAGUGAUUCUUAAGAAUUAUGACGUUAAGGGACUCGCAUGAAACUAAAGAGGCCUGUGUGUGAAAAGUUAACAUCUGCAUUUGAUGAAGAGCAACAAAUUUGCUCUAAAUAUGUCAUAGCUGGAACCUUUUAGCUACUUAACAUUUAACAAAUCAACAUUUGGUCUCAUAUUUGUUUGUAGAUUUAUUAAAGGCAGUCUUCGCCAUGUUGCUACUGGAAAUACAUAAGAGUUAUGCUUACUCAUUGAAAUUUAAGAUGUCAUUGAGAGUUGUGUCAAAUCAGUAUGGAGAACAUCAUGUUGCAUGUUGUGUUGUCUACACAGAGACAGAAGCUGAAUAUGUUACACCUUUCUUUUAAGUAUUCAUUUUUAUUUUUAUGAAAGUAAAAUAACAUAAGCAGUGUCCACGGAGACAAAUUCUACCCUCAUCUGUCUUUUUUUUCUCCUUGUGUUGGUUUCUCAACUCCCACAGCUUUAGCAAGGCCACUGAGCCUUCAUCCAAAGUUGCACAUGCAAACCGGGUGGCUUUUUUGUUUACCUAAACAAACUCACUUCAGAGUUUUUUAUAUUGUUUUUAUUCACACAUGGGAUGUGCAAAGCAGGUAGCUUUCUAAACCCGAACUCUAAUGACUUCUUAGUACUUAAAAAUCAUCUGCUUUCCCAGUAGUUGAACUUUUUUGAGUAAGAGACAGAGAUUGUUUUUUUUUCUUUUUCUUUUUUCAACUAUUCAUGAAGGCCUCUGUGUCCUAACUUCACAAUCUCCGCACUCGAAAGUUGAAAAUUAAACUCGACCCCUCUCUGUAUCCUGGCAAACUUUGGAAGGUCAUCUCCGAGUAAACGCUAGUCCCGCUUUUGCAUAAAACACCCCGGCUGAUCUCUGACAAACCCACUUAACGUGUCACUCCACUGACAGGUUCCCAUCAGUCCUCAUUAAGUCCAGCCGUGUCAGGGGUGUCAGCUGGAGUCUCUCACCAUACACCAACAGCCCCGCCAUAUGAAAGCAGGUGACAGGAGGAGUUACUGUCAUAGCAGGGGGGGACUGUGAACUCACACCAACCCCACUGUCAGCCUCUAUGACUGGAAAAAUACUCUGCAAAGAUGCAAUAACAAGGAGUGUUUUGGUCGGUCAUCGGCACAGAGCGGGGAACAAUUAGGAGUGUAUUUUUUUUCUCGCAGGGGUCUUUCCUUGGAGGCAGGAGGCCGUUAAGUUGUUUCAGAGACAGCCUGCACCUGUAAGUGCGGCUCUGUGAAGGAAGGGCAAGCGUGGGAGUGUGAAAAGAACUUCUCUUUAACCUUUGAACCCUGACCUUCAUGCUGUUUUAAAGUGUAAAAUGGGUGGCUGAGGAAGACAUGGCUUUAUGUUUGAUGAAAAAACCACAAGACAGAGGGAAAACGGAGGUGAAAGCGUAGCUAAGUUGAUGCUCGUUAGCCGUGUGAGGGAAAUGUGUUAGCUGUGUGACAAGUGAGGCUUUCAAUGUCAAAAGGUGUGAUUUUUAUUUGGAGUUCAGUGAUAUUUUUAACACACAGUCUGAAACACUGACUUUACACCUACAGCUUUAGUGCAAAGUCAUCUUGGGUCAAGUAUCAUUCAAAGAGACGCUGCCGUACUCAGACUGUGCCUCUGUGCAAACCAGAAGGUGCAGCUGCAGUUCAAGUCGGCAAACGAGUGAAGAAACAAGCCGACAAGUGGUGAUGUAUGGUCUGAGCGAAGUUAGAGCUAAUUGAGGGAUGAUAUCAGCAGACCAUGAACAUUUUUGGCAGGCAGUUUUUAAACUAAACCUUUUGUACUAUAAGGAGCUGCUGGCCCAUUUGGCAACAGACACGCUGAAGGAGGGACACCGAGGAACAUUUUCCCUGGUUCUCCAAUUCAGCCUGAUCAGCUUUCCAAGCACUGCGAGAGAGAAAACAGACUCUGUGUAAUUAGUCGGGGAAAGACUUAGCUUUACCAGAUGAAUCUUGAAUUAAGGACAGUUACAUGCAAAAAGUCGGUAAAAAGGAAAAGCAUGUAUGUAUAGUAUUCAUGUAUUUAGUAUUAGUUUAGAGUAGCAUUCUUUAUACUUAAGUGGCAUUUUGGACAUCACUCUCUUGGUUUCUUGGCUGCCAGAGUCGAUGUGUUAUGUUACGACUCUAUCCCGGAUGUAAGGUCAGAAUGGUAGCUACUUGUCGAUCACAGGUAACUUGAUCGUUUUGGAGGACACUGGAAGAAUUACGUCAGUGCACGUAUGGCAACUGUUGUUUUUAUUUAUUGUUCACAUGCCAAAUCGGUUAGCUACCAGCAUUCGUCUUUCCUGGUCUGGUUUGAUCGCAUGCUUGGGAAAACGAGCUCUUCAUUCUUGUAUUUUGGUGCUCAAUGUAUAAAAAUGAAUCAUUUUUAAUUCACCACUUCUUACUCUGUAUAAUUAAAUUCUUCUUCGUUAAAUAAGCUGAUUACGUAUUAUCACCCCCUACUGGUCUGUAAUGCAAAUAGCAUUUUUUUGAAAUUGGAAAAAAAUAGCUGCUUCAGUGGACGGGUUCUAAAACAAGAGUCCUUGCCUGUUUGUUGAGUUUUUCACACCCUCAGUUGAGAUAAGGUGAUGGUAAAGGUAUCAACCAGUUGGCUGCAAUCUGCAAACUCACCACUAGAUGCCACGUAAUCUCGCUAAUAGCUUCCUUAACUACAAAUUUACAGUUAAUUUAACAAAAGAAGUAUUCAUACAGCCUUGGUGUACAUGUAUGUGUGUCAGGUGGAUUCCUCUAGGACCUUUAGCCUCCCCAGAGUAGGAAGUUCAACCAGCAGGGUCUGCAAGUCGUCUGAGCACAUCCACUUCCUGCAGGUAUGACCACUUUUCCUGUUUGGCCGGUGGCCCCUGUGGUACAGUCUAAUAUGAUGUAUAAUGAACUGAGCAGCAGAGUGUCUGUAUAGGCUCCCAUAUAUACGUGUGUGUGUUUGAGUGUGUGCCUGCCAUGCGGACCGUAAAGCUGUCUUAACUUAAGGAGUGAUUAAUACACCCAUCACUUUCUAAACGCUGCCUGCCUGUUCUGCAGCCUCAGCCUCCACAGAGCAGACCAAUGUUUGCCUUUCCCAGAGCGCCCUCCCUUUACGACAGCGCGGGGUCAGAGGGAGAAAAGAAGCAUUCUUUAAUUUGAUAAUUAGUCCGUGGACUCUUUAGGGUGAAAGAAAAGGAUUGGCCUCAUUAGCUCUAAUUGUCUAAUUGCCUUUCAUCUAAAUAGUGCAUAAUUUUCACUUCAUGGAUUAUACAAAUACCAUAAACGUAGCUCUCUGUUAUUUGUGUUUCUUGCAACUUGCCUCAAUUUCUUCUGUCAGGACCUGCCUAGAGUGAGAGAUGAGUGUGUUUAGGUAGAGAGACGAGUCGAAGGAUUGGAAAAUAGACUGAGGGGAAACGGUGACAAACAGGACUAACUCAAGAGUGGGAGGAGCCAAAUGAUUUUUCCCAUCACACAUUUUUUUCCUCCAGAGUUUUUAAGAUUACAUCAUGUUCAAGUCUUUUUAUUGCUUCAACUUUUUGUAUUUCGCUUAAUGAUUUCCCUGAAUGUCUGACUUUGUGGCACUUUAUGACUCAGAUGUAAAAAUUAGAGCUACGUCUUAUUCAGUCCAGAUCAUCAUUCCUGUUUAAAGUAAAGCCCAGCACCGUAGGUGAUUCACCAACAUUAGGUCAGAAUUAAAAAUAAUAGGUGGCAAAAAAUCAUUUUCUUAUAUCCAAACAGGUUUUAAAGCUCUGUGAUUUGAUUUUCCAUACCCAACAGCAUCUGCAUCAAAGCAGACUCACUUUAAGGCACUAUGUGUCUCUUUUUAGUUCUAGUAUGCUUUUACCUUUGUCCCCUCUAUCAGACAGCCUGUUAUUUCUCUAUGCAGGCAACAACUUAUUCAAAAGCUUUAUUCCAGUCAUAGACCCAGAUCUAUAAAACUACACUCAUAAUACAGCCAAACACAAAUGUUUAUCCUAAUUAGGCUGAUUUUGCAAGCUUAAAUCAAAGCGUAACUCUAAAUUACAUCCAAAAUGCAGAAGAAAGUUAAAGUCUACUCUUUACUUUGAACCUAAAUUAAUAUCAAGCCACAAUAAAAACCUCAAACAAGCAUACCAUGAGACCAACAAAUGUUUUUGAAAAAGGCUUUAGUUGCUUUUGUGCUGAAAGCCAACUGGGCUUUAUUUUUAGAGCACAAAUGUCAUCUUUAUUCACAAGAUUAACAUUCAAAAUUGGUUAGCUGAUGCUUUUAAACUAUAGGACUAAAAUACUCUUGAUUUUAAACAAAUCUAAAUGAUUUACAAGCUGUAAAUUUUCCUUUGUCAAUACCAGGAACUCCCCAAAUGGCUGUUUACUGGAAAACUUGUGAGGGUCGUAACCGUAAAGAGAGGCAAGAAAGGGGAAUCAUCCUGUCUAAAGGUCCUUUCACACCAGGGCCUUUUUUUUUUCGUGCGAUUAUUUCGGACGUCAUUAUUUUUUUUGAACCCGUAUCCUGUCAGUACAAGCGUUCACAUCAGCGCCGUUUUCCCGUCCUGCAAUAUUGCGGCAUUUAUUUUUUGGGGGGAUCACGGUCGAUUUUUCCAAAGUUUUACAUACUGUGUGUCCACUUCUGACCAAUCAGAUUUCAUGUUGUUACGAUGUCUGAUUCACCGGUAUAUCCAACAUGGCCGACUGGCUGAUUGUUUACGUGUCGGAGGACAGAGUGCUUUUUGAUAAAAGACACAAAUAUUACAAAGAUAAUGACCUGAAGGACAACUUGUGGAGAGUCAUAGCGUCGGAUCUCUCAUAUGAUGAUGGUUUGUGUGCUUCAACAGUUUUCUAAACGUCUUUGUUUUAACUUUCAUCUGUGCUAAGUAACUUUAGCUCGUAAGCCAACCUGUUCAGAUACAACAAACCAUAUGUAAUUUCACUGUCUCAAACUCAAUGGUGUUGCUGUCACAGCGCCAUUAGGUCUCGGUUGUUACCUUACGUUUAUGGAUUAUAGUUUAAUGUGCUUAUCUGGUACUGGCCCCGACUCAGUACAUGCUAUCAUGACAGACAGACAUCUCAACACUAGUGUCUAAUCAGAACUGAAAAUCAGUCAGUCUGCAGUCUUCUCACUUCCACCCGGGACGCGUCUUUUUUCCCCCCCGGAAAGUCACAAAAUCGCAUCGGGCUUGAUGUGUAUAGUCUGGCGCGUCAAAAUUCGCCUCCGGAUAUUUCAUAAUUUUGCGUUGUAAGGACCUUAAUGCUGUAGACUUCAUUGAUAAUUUGAACAUCCUUAAAAAAGGCUAGAUUAGAACAGCUAAUAGUUCCUAUUCCCUGUCAUGUCAGGGUGGAUCCGAUUGCUUGCACCUUUAACAAAAACAUAAACAGAGCCGCUUGUCUGCCGCACGCUACCUCAGUCUGAGUCCCACCUCCUCAUGUGUUACACCCACGGGGGGCGUCAUCCUUCAGAAGAGGACCAGGCACUGUGAGUGAGGAGCAGCCUUGUCUUCAUUCCUCCUCCUGCCUCCUCCCCAAAAACAGAAAACACACUUAUCUGUGUUGAGGCCACCUGCCAGUGGAGGCCUGUCCUUUGUGUGGAUGUCUGUAUAAGCCUGGGAUUCUGUUACCCGGCUCCCUGGGGACGGCAGACACUGCUGUAGGCAAUAAAGCUACUGGUAGACUGGUUGUUCAAAGGGGAUGGUGUAAAGGCCAGAGAGUAACAGGAACAAGUCUUUAACUUCCAAGCUGCACAGAUAUAGACACCCAAUAUAGUCAACUGGCACAACUGUGACUUGCGUUUCUAACUUUGUUGCUCAGUGAUAGCUUUAAGAUCAAGCGUCUUUUUUGAAACUGGACACGUUACUGGUGAAUUCGAUCAGCCACUACUUAUUUGGAUGAAUUUACAAAAGUCAGUGCAGGGGACGGGGUCAAAAAAUGACAUACAGGAAAAUAAAAAAUAAAAAACAAAGACAAACUUUCAGUAUGACCAGCAAACAAAUGCAGCAUGUCAUUGUUGUAGCACAUUUGCUGAUGGUUUGUACGAACAAUUACAAGGUUAGGUGGAGGUUAGAUCAGUUAAACUUUCUUACUAGGUUGUGGCUUAGUUUCAAUAAGGUUAAAGUUUCAUUAACCUAUGUCGCCUCAUUUGUUAGUUUUGUUACUUCAAUGGCUUUACUUUCAUAACUUUACUUUUGUGGCUUUACUUACAUGAUUCUGUGACUUCACUUGCCUCAAUGGCUAUUCAUUUGUAAAUUUAUUCUGUGACAUUACUUUGUGACUUUUUGAAAGUGACUCUACUGUCGUGGUUUUGUCCACAUAACUUUACUUUUGAUGACUUCUAGUUUUGUUUUGUUCCGUAAAGUUACUUAAGUGAAAUUACUCUCCUGUUACAAGAAGUGCUAUGCAGUUUUAUAAAUAGCAGUUACGUUGUAACAUAGUUCAGUGUCUUCAGCAAAUUAAAAAAUAUUGCCUUAUUAGUUGGCAUCACACAGGACAAGAAAAGAGAGAACUGUCUGCUACUUAAGGCCAAUACCUGUGUACCAUCUUGUCCUAAACAUUAGUCAUUAUCAGCGCCUUAUUCUUUAAAUAGGGUUUGAAAUGUCAAAGUUCUGGUCUCGGCACAUGUCACUUUAAACGAGAUUAAAGGUGGAGUUUUUGCGAAGCGUUCAAACAACUACUUUUGUAUCUGUCUGGGACUCAUGCAUGAGACUGAAUGAAAUAUUUCAUCCUGGAUAAGGAAGACAAUGUUUUUUUUUAGUAUAUUGCAAUAGAUUUCGACAGAAUCAAAUACUUUGACCUUAAUUCUGAACACUUGAAUCAACAUCCGUCUGAGAACUUUAAUAUAAUUAAGUUCAUGAGUACCAGACUUAAUGCAGCACAGCUUAUUAAACUGUUGGUUUCAAAGUGUCCAGCCCUGCGAACUGUAAUUUCACAAAGGUGUCUGUCUACAUGACAGCUGCCUCUGAGGUUUGGCAUUCGCCAGUUGUUGACUGUUUUUAUACACUGGCUGCAGUUAAGCAAGUUGCCUGUCAGUAGAAAAAGAUGAAAAAAGUGCACGAAAGUAGCCUAGUUUUUAAUCGAUUGAGAAAAUAAAGUUCUAGACCUUUUAUGCAGUCUUCUGUGUCCUUUAAACACUACCCAUCAGGCCUUGAAAGGAUGCUGAAACAAUCGACUGGUGACGUUAGCUGCGUGUAGUCAGGGUCAGUGAGUGAGAGCUGCGAAUAAGUACUGCCCUGGUCUGAGCUUCUGCACCUUCAGAGGGCCUGACUUUGUUCACCUUGGUAACAAAUAUCUAUAUGUGGAGAGACACUGAAGAAAAGUUGUUGGCUGAAACAAGAGCAGCCUGUCAGAAAGCAGAGAGAGAUUGUGUGUAUUUGAACAAAACAAAGCAGUGUGUAGAUAGACACUGAAGACUGUCAAAAUCUCACCUUGAAGGAUUGAUUUUUGUUUCCGCUUUGGUCAUAUCUUAAAUUCAGUCAGACACUGCAGCGCGCCUUUGAAAUGUCAAACGUUUGAGGAUCACGGUCAUAAACAAUCACAAAUUAAAAGGCACAUGUCAGGACCUCAUUAGUGGUUUGUGUUACUGGUUUGUUCUGGAGCGUUGUGGUUAGACAUGUUUACACAGUUGUUGGAGUGUGGAUAGAUAAAGAAGCUUGAUUUAACUCUGUCCUCUUUAAGAACGAUCCAAGUCCACGAGCUCACAUGCUGUUGCACCAAAGAGGGAGAGAAAUGUAAUUUCAGGCUUCACCUUCCUGACCAGCUGUCAAAUAUGAUUGUAGGAAAGUAUUCAGGGGAAAUUUUCCCUUAAAUUAAAUAGAAUUAUGUAGUCAUUGUGGAUCCCGAGUAGAAGCACAUACCCAAGAGUGUAAUGACUUUUGCAUGUCUGUAUUAAGAAGCUCUCAAUCUCCAAGGUCUGAGAGGGAAAUACAGCCCAUCUGCUGAACAAGGCAGCAGGGAUAGAGAUGAUUGCAUCACAGGAUCAUCCAUUAGUGCUGUCAUCUGGAAUUCAGCGUUGGGACCACAGUGCAGUGAGCAGUUCAUUUAGCAGCACACUGCGCGUACAGCAGCAGAAGCAGUCUAUCAGCAGGUCAGACGUGCAGAAGGUUGGCAGUCCUAUCAGAGUGCAGACGUCACAUUUUGAAGGGAGCAUCUGUUACUUUAUGAUUAGAGGUGCACUGGCCCUCCCUUUUACCUUCAAUACUGGCCCUGAAACCUGAAGGCAUGCAGAGUACCUAUCAUAAUGUUGUACACUCUUUAACCAUUAUUAAAACAUGGUUCAAGACAUGGCAUGAUAUAAUAUCUGACCAAUUGUGUUGAUUCCCUUUGAAUUUGUUGACAUUUAUACAGAUUGAACAAUGAAGCUUUUGACUUAAGAGGGGUUUAGGACCCCGAUGACAGAUCUAUGAAAAAUAUCAAGUUGAAACUUAUAAACUUAUUAUGCUGUGUUGCAUUACUUACAUAGUAUAGGGAGUUUGAUCUCAGCUUUGCAUUGUAAUGUUUGCACAGAGCUUCGACAAGGAUUUAACAUGAUUUAAUUCAAUGCAGUAAGUUUGCUCUAAAGUUUUGCCAACUCAAAGGAGGUGUGGUCAGUUGUACUUGCCUCUUUAACUUACAUACUUAUAUUCAUCAUAUAUUCAGCUUAGUAUGAUCUCAACUAUCAUACACACUACAAGAAUAAGUCUAUGCAGCCAGUUCACUUAAUGGAAUAAACAGGUGUUGCUACAGUCAGCACAUUCACAAAAUGACACACAAGAAGAUAAAUGCUGCUGUGUUGAUUUUGGUCUCAAUGUAACAUCCUCGUAUUUUUCUAUUUAUACCUCCAUACUUUUCAUCCUUAUAUUUCUAUCAUGGUUUGCUCUAACUCUAAUUAUGCAACCUUAUCUAGUGAAAACCAGCUCUAUGUAUGUCAGCUCUGCAAGUUUUAUGUGUGUUGAAACCCCCCAUAGCUUGUGGCCACGAUCUUAAAUCACUUAUACUAAUCCAGUGACUUUCACCUUCCUAUAAAGGCUGCAUGGGUCUAAUAAGCUGCUUUGCUGACAAACACAGCCUCAUAUCUGGUUUGGACAGUCUUCCACAUGCAAAUAUAAACACUGUCUGGCCUAUAUUGCCAGAAAUUGCACAGAGAUGAUAAGUUACUGAGAGACAACAACACCUUACCUUAAAGCUGUAGUGAGGAACUUUUAGUUUGUGUUGAUUUUAGUGCCUCUCCGGAUAGGUGAUGGUCCGUAGGUGAUGUGUAGUUUUUUUCAACAAAGAAUCAUAAUCUAACACUUAUUGGAAACUAUCACCAUUAAAAAUGUAAGAAUAAAUAAAAAUAAAAAAGCGGUCAGUAAAAACAUCAGUCUGUUUGUUAACAGGCCGCAAACUUCUCACAGUAGCUUUAACCCUAUAAUGCCUGAAACCACAAAUUAUGGCCUGAAAAUUCAAAUUUUUUGGAGCUGAAAUGUUUAUUUUACUUACUUACAAAAUGUCCUUAAAAUUUUACAAAUAUGUUUAUUUAUCUCGUUUGAUACAUCAGAUGUUUUUGGAAACUGAUAAACCCCAAGAGGACAUUUUUUAUCAUUUAUCAAACUGUGUUAAGGUGUUUUUUUUAGUAAUUUGUUGAUCAUAUUGAUUAAAAGGAGUAUUAUAAAAGUGUGUAUCAAAUAUGAUACAAAAGGCAAUAAAGGGUUAAAGACAAACAACCGUAUGCUAUCACAUUAUUUUAUUACACUCAAUCUAAAUGUCCCUACAGUCUUCUUAUAUUCAAAGACAAUGAAGUAGUAAUUGAAACCAUAUUCUUACAAAUGCAACAAAUAGAUGUUUUUUUAUGCAACUGUUAUAAUUUAGGGUUCAGUUUUUUCUGCAGCUUUACCAGGCGACAGUUAUUCUUUUGUAAAAACUCCAGAAUCACUUACAUGGCAUUUUAAGUUUCUCAACAAAAACCUCUUACAGCAUUAAAAUGUUUCAGAUGACACCGUGACCCUUCCUAAGUUUUGUUUAUGGAUGCCAGUAUUUUGUGUAUUUUGCAUACUGACAAAAAUCUCCUUAAACUACAUUUACUGCUUUCCUCCUCGUUGAAUUUCACCCUUUUGUCAGCUCCUGAGCAGCGAGCGUCUCGGCUUGCUAACGAGGUUCUAGUGGCUGUUGACUUGAAUAACAACAUGUUAGUUACUGAUGGAGAGAAGAACAAAGAGCUUCUCCUCGUUACGGCUGCCGCCUGAUUGUUCUCAGACUUUUCUCUGAAGACGGCUCCUAAUAUCAUCUCAUAAUCUGCCAUCCUCUCCUCCAGAUGCCCCCGCCGCCACUCGCUUUCAUGUCUGACUGUCGUUCAAAGCCUAAUCAUUAAUGUGAUUUAUUUCUCGCUGUGUAUUAUUUUGUUCCUCUAAUUUGUUUGGGUUUUUUCAGCGCGGGUGUAAAUCAGAAUCAAAGCCAUUGCCACUGCUUUUCCCUGUCACCUCUGUUAAUGGCCUGUCUACUGGAGGUUUGCACUGAGAAGAAGCAGACCUGCUGUCUACCUAAAUCACCUCUCCAUCCUCUCCCCUCAUCAAAAACACAAAGAGCCCAUUGGCUACCAGCACAAACACCUUCUCUGACUGACCCGGGGCUAUAAAUCAGCAGCUCUGUGCAGUCGCAGGCCCAAAAAGUGAAAAUUGGCAAAGCUGGAAAACAAAAUAGGAUCAUUAAUCACCAUUAAGUUUGAGAAAGUUUUGAUUCUGAAAAUAUUAUGGCUUGACACCUUUCCCUGCAAUAUAGUUUGACACUUUUGAGAUAUAAACGGGAACAAAAUCGCAUUAAUACAUAAAUCCCAGAGAUGAGGAGACAAUAGAGCGGGGAUGAUUGUCAUCUGUCCGUCAUGUGAAGAAGGCGCGUAGCUCCUCAGACGGCGUGAUGUGUAAUGUGAUUGGACAGAGCUGUGACAGCGAGCUGUGACCUUCAGCUGCCUGCUGACUCCAACCCCCACCUAACCGGGUGUGUGGGAGGGGAGCCGAUGCUGCUGAUCAAUGGGGGCAUUGGCACUCAUCAUGUCAAAUCUACUCAAGUCUCUUUUGUCAUCCGGCCGGCGCUUUUCCUUCCGCUAGUCAAUCAAUCAGAGCGCUGCACCGAGAUGUUCAGAGGAAGAAGUGGUGAUGUUGCAUAAAUUCACCCUCAUUUUUGUGGGCUUACAUGUUCUUCUUUUGGCUUUAAAAGCUGCCGUUUUUCAUCAUCAUCUAAAGCGCUCUGUAAACUAUAUACACAUAAAGUCUGGUCUGUGUAUUGUAUAGCACAUUUGAAUACAAAAGGAGUUGACCCUAUAGAGCUCUGAUAGAAAUGCAUCAACUUCAGUCUGCCUCCGCUCAGGUCAAACGGCAAUCUUCAGUGUUGAAAAAUGAAGCCAAUGCAAAGAGUUAGAGCGAAAAACUCACUGUAAGGGAACAUGAACUUGUUUUUCAACUCGGUGGUUUUGAAGGUGGCAAAAGAAAAAAAAUGCACACAGUUUUGUAAAGACAGGUGUAGCUGAUUGGACGUAUUUUAGCUGUCUGCUAGACGGUUAAAGCUCCGCCUCAACUCCACCUCUGUGCCAACUGAACGAGGGUUUCCAGUUUGAUGACCACCUCCGUCAGACUUCAAAUAUCAGCCAGACUAUAAUUCUUCUAAUACUGUUGGGAUGCUUACUGAAACGCUUUGACAAAAUUAUGGGUUAGUUCAGCCAGCACAUGACCAAAUCAAGCAUUUUGGGUACUUGUAUGUCUAUAGUUGGCCCAAGGGAAUUGAGGCCAGUGAGAAAUACACAAACAAAAACCAGGAGAGAGUUUUAAAGGGAUAUUUCGGCUAAAAAUUGAUUUAGGGUCAAACACACCGUAACACCGAGUUAGACACCCCAUCGAGAGAUGAAUGUUGCCGACCGCUUGCUUCCUAGUUCUACCAACUUUAUUAACUACCGUACAACAGCAAUACACAGUGGUCUGAGGAGCCAUAGACAAACCUCAACCAAAAAGCCACUCUAAAGCCACAAAUAAUGCUCAGAACAGCACCUAACUUCAUCAACAGUACAUAUAGGGUCCCAGCCACAGCACGAGCCACCAAAUAUCUUUUUAGCUUUGCCUGAUUUCUUUAGCAAAGAGACUAAACACAACUCACCUACUCUCUUCCAGCAGACGCUUGUUUGUAGGAAGAGCUUGGGCGAGUCCAUCACUGACUCCAGGGGGGUGACUCAGCUCAAGGAAGAACAUUUAUGACCAUUACUUUAUCAUUUCCUUGAAGUAAUAAUCACCGUAGUUCUUCUGCCUUAGCGUCUCUGUCUGAUUGCAUUUCCAUGGAGAAAAGUCGGUAUAACUAGAGGAGCAAGCGGUCGGCAACAUUCAUGUCUCGAGGGGGUGACUAACUUGGUAUUAUGGUGUGUUUGACCCUAAAUUAAUCUACACCAGAAUAUCCCUUUAAGUUUGAUGAUAUCAGCACAUUUUUCAAGUCUUCAAGUAUUCAAGUCUCGAAAAAGUUAUACGAUCAUAAAAUCACUCCUCCUACAACUUAUGCAGGUCUGCCAGAACAGGAGCGAUACGGUGUCUCUUUUGUGUUCCAGUUAAAAGUUCUCGCAUCUGCAUUUGGAGCUGUAAAAGAGAAGAAUGGAUAAACCCCAUAAACAGCAGCGAGUAGCGCACAAACAAAACGCCAGCAGAGAGUUAUUCGUGUCGGCACACAGCCACAGCAGCCCUAAAUGAGAAUUUCACCAAACAAACACAAUCAGAGCCCUAUUACAUUUCUCUUUCAUGAUGCUGAAAGGAAAUGCAAACGAGAUUAGAUAACACAAAGGCCACAAGGCUCAUUUCUCUCCUGUGUCUGGAGAUGGCUAAAUGCUCUAAUUCCCCUCUCCGCUCAGCUCCUCAGGCCAAGUCCCGCUUUUGUUGAACCCAAACCAACUGCAUUAAUGUAAUGUAAAAUUGCCUCUCUCAGGAACGUUUUUUUUCUCUUUAUUUCUCGCACUUUUUUCUCCUAAUCCCCGGCCCUCUUAUUCGUUUCUGUUUGACUCUAAAUUAACUGAGCACAAACCACUCUGGCUUUAAGUGGGCAUGGCUUUGUUUUGAACUUUGCAAUUACACAGAGAUCUGUCCGUCUGCCAAGGGUUUUUGAUUCACGGUGCAGUCUUGGCAGUCGGAACAAUCGGAGGAGCCUGAACAGGAUCUAAAUGGAUAAGUUUGGACUGAGAACAGGCAGCGAGAGAAAAAAGGGAGCUCAGCUGAGGGCCUGAACGUCACAGCUGCUUGCCUGUUCACAACAGCAGCGAUAAAUGGCAGCUACAUAACUUCCCUUAAUCAGAUCGGAGCAAUCAGCCUGUAAAAGUUUCCCAUAUGUUGUUGUAGCUCAGCUUUUAGGGGGGUGAAGGAUGCUAAGAGAAAGAAAGGGGAAUAACAGGAGAGGGAUAAUUUGGAAAAAAGCUGAUAAAAAUGCAAGAGAGAAGGAAAAAGAGAGGCUGCGUUCAAGAAAGAGAAGUGCCAGGGUUACAGCCAGGACACAGGCCACAGGGAGGUUAGUGUGUCUGGCUACAAUUAGCCGCUCACAGGAGAGAUUGAGACGAUGCUUUGGGGAGCUAUUGGUCCUCAGUCAUUAGUGAUUAUUCAGUCAGAAAUUACUGACUCUGAAGGCAACGUGUGGCUGCGUCUGCGAGUUUACUAACACAUGUUUCCUUCCUUCACAUGCAGCCGUUCAGCAAGUUGGAAAUCUGAAAGUGCUUCAUGCAGGACGUGUUUUGAUGAUGUGGUUUUGAUUCCCUUCCUUUGCAGAUUUUAAUACGAUAUCCCAAAAUAAAGUGUGAUAUCACCAACACUUUUUUUGUUUUUAUAUAUAAUGACAAAGUGCUUCUAUAAAAUAUGACUUUGCAGCAGAAUGUACACAGAUUUCAUCCUUAGUUUGCCAAAUGUCUUGAAUGCCUGAUUCCAACAGCAUGGCAGCAGCAGUCUGUGUUAAUGUGAGUUUGCUCAGGGAAUCUUAUUAACUCUGAGCACUUUAUGAGAUGUGGUUACGAUUGUUUAAUUAAAUAAGCAUUAGGGGGUGUUUUUAAACUCAUAAAGAAGUUAUUCCAUUUCCUCUGCCUUCAACAAUCCACCAAAAUUGUGUGAUAAUUAAAACCCUCUAAGUGUUUCAUAACAGAGAGCACAUUUAAUGCCUGACACUUGGGCUCAUUUUGCACAAACACACACAGUUUACGGAGGAUAAAAUCUGACCGCAGGAAAAAUCUGUAAAUCUGCAGUUUUCUUAAAAUUAAGAUGUGACCAAAGCAAACUUUUAUUGACUUCAAGUAGAACAGAAAAAAAUAAGACACGAAAGAAAGAAGAAGAAAAAAAAAAACUCAGUAUACACAAGUCUGGUAAUAAUCUCAGUGUACGUUACGAUGCAGUGAAAACAAACAAAACCAAGAGAAUAACUUUUAAUAUAAAUCAGGAUCUGCUCAGUGCUUGGUUUUGUCAACCCUGUAUUUAUCCGCUGCUUAUUUGUUUUUUAUCGCAGCUGAAGUGCAGCGUGGUGAACAAACACACAUCUGCAACUUGGCACACAGUGUGAGGCACCUUCAAAGACUCAUUCAGGCUGUAUCAAGGGAUUACAGACUGACGCUCAAACCCAGGCAGCACACAGACGGUCCUCCAGCACAUAUUUAGUAAGUUUUUAUAAAGUCAGGCUGAGUUGAAUAUGAGUGUCAGCACUGAUGAUCAUACUUUUACCUUAGCAUCAUGACAGCUUUAGCUCAAAUUUAAGGAGUUUUGGACUUUGGACAAUUAUUAUUACAAGUUAAGAAAGAGUAGGAUUUUUGUUGUGUCUUCAUGGAUUUGUUUAAAAGAAAAAAAAAGUUAUCAGGGCUCUAAAAUAAUUGAUAACAAAUAAUCACUAAAUUUUAGCUGUUAAAAUCAUGUCUUUGAUAAUGAUGGAAUUUCCAUUAUUUUGUAUUUCAAAACAGUAUCUAAGUCCUUAUUAACAAGGGAAAUCAAAUCUUACAGGUGACUUGAUGGACAGAUUUUGUACUGACAGUGUGUUUCAACACAGAGUUCUGGUUUGGUUCAGUACAGCCCUGCUCUUGCGUAAUUUUCUGCAGCAGACUAUACCCUACCCUGGUGAUUUUUUUGGCAUGGAUUUUUAUAGAUUAGACCAUUCAGACUACAUGAAUCAUGGCCAAAAUUCACAGAAAAACAAUGAACUUCAGGCUCUUUUUACACAUCUUAAGGUGAACUUUCACUGGAAAAAAGCUCCAUUAUUAAAUAGCUGAAUGCCAUAUACAGACCAGAAUCAUUUCACGAUUAGCAUGUUAUCACAGACAGCCCUUUAUAUUAGAUAACACUAGCUUUGUUAGUUACAUCACUUCAAUAUGCUUUGUGAAGGACAAACUUAUGUUUAUGUGUAUUAUAACUAAUUUGAUAAUUACCUUAAAGCUCCUUUAACACACUUAAGGUUUAUGUUGAUCUUGACGCCCACAGUGACCAAAGCCUAAUCUCUCCGUCUUUACUGAUCGUAUCCCAUCCAGAUGUAAUCUAAUCGAUCAUGUCUUUUGUUUUUGAAGGACGAACAUUAGCUAACAUUAUUUUCAAUUUGUUUCAUAAACAUCUAAAAACUCCUCACUGGAGCUUUAACUGAAAGUUAUCAAAUAACUUAAGAUGGAAGUUAACUCCUUUUAAAAAAAAAACAACCCUUAACACAUAACCAAAUUUUAACAUGCUGCCAGGAGAUACUCACAUCAUAAUUUUAUGGCAUAAUGAAUGUACGCUGCAGGUUCGAAGUUUGUGAUUUACCUCAAAUGUAUUCAUGAAAAACUGUUAGAAGUGUGUGUACUGUUUGUUUUUAAUGGAUGUCAAACCAAGUCUCUGUUUUGACCCAUUCACACAAAGCAGACUUUUUGGGUCACCUGAAUUUAUCACCAAAAAGAAACAAUCUGGGACAAUCAAUGUCCAGAAAUAGUUCUAGGAUUGUACAUACAGCAUUAUAUUUUGAUCUUUUGGGACACUGACCAAGCGGCUGUGUUUUGAAACUGGGUACACACACACACAGACUCCUGCACCCCUGCAUUAGUACACGCAUACACACUCAGAGGCACUCACAAAUAAAAAACAAGAAAUCAAUGUAACCUGUAAUUUUUACAGGGCUGAUCUGAGUGUGUGUGACAGGCCAAAUCCAAUAGCUGCAGCAGGGCUGACAGGCCUGACAUGAGUCUUGCCUUGCUGGCCCCUCAAUUAUGCAUGGCCCAAUGUUUCCCCGGAUCUUAAUUGAAUCACACUGUCUCAAACUUGUUAUUUCUAAUUUGUUGCAUUUGAUUUCUGACAUCAGCGCUGCCGUGUCAUGAAUUAUGCAAGCGGGAGGACCUUUAAUUGUGAGUGUUAUUAAAACAAAACUAAUUGCGGAUGAUUAAAAUGUGACUGGGAAGCAGGAUGUUGAGGGCUUCACCCUGACACGGUUUCGCUACUUCUGCCAAAUAAUGAUUAGGUCUCAUGGCUGUCGGAGCUGUUGUUGUUUUGCGGUUGUGACUGUAACCUUGGGUGGAACAUGUCUUAUGGUUUAAUGGAGGGACAUUGAUACACACAUGCACAGGCUGGGAUGCAGAAACACAUUAAAAAAUCCUCACAACAGGAGAGAGCAGAAUUGGUGUAAUUCAUCAUUUCACUUCAAAACUUCGUUCACUUUUUAUUGAUUGUUCCUCAUGCAUUUUUAUUAGUUCUUCUACCAGAAAUUGUUUGAGCGUCCUUUAAAUACAGAGAAAAUUACUUUCAAUAUUGGCUUCUAUGAGACUGACAAUACACAGACAUUGACAUAAAUUGAGAACUCGUUGGAAUUCAUUCUGCUGAAGUGUAUCGUCAGGCAAAAGUAAUAUGGCAUUUUGAUUAAAUACAUGAGAGAGAAAUAGAGAAAGGCACGUAAAAGUAGAAAAAGUCAAUAAAGUAUAUGCCUUUAACAUUCCUAUAAGAUUGCCAGAUAAUGAGGACCAAAGAGUAUAAAUAGUGUGUUAGAUUUUCUCUUUUCUAAGGUGGUUUAUUACCUUUUUGUUCCUCACCGUGAAUUACACUUUCUCUUUUAGUCCCUAUUUAUGCAACUAAGAGCAGAACAUGAUUACAAAAUUAGAUACCGUGUAAAAUAAUUGCGCAAUUAUUCCAAUAAAGUCAAAAGCGUGCAUGUGUAAGGUUGCAAGAGGCAAAAUGAACGUUCCUGUUCUUCUCAUAAGAGAUUUAACAAUUGAAUCGUGCCUGCAGGGCAACAGCUCUGCACCUGACUGAAGGUGGGGAUCCUCGCGGCUGUGUUCCAUACGGGGCGUUGGAGAUGUCUGGAAGUCAUUUCCACAUGUGAGGUGGGGGGAUGGGGAGGGAAGGAGGUAGAGAGGGGGAAAGGGAGGGGGGGGGGGGGCACACUUUAGUUUCAUGAAUGUUCAAUCAAUUCAAUAGGACAGCUUAACUUUCUCUUUCCCUCUCAGAGCGCAUUUACGGGCCCACAGGCGUUCAUUCGCAGGCUACAUUCAAAGGAUGACUGUGCCUCAUGCAAAAGUGGGUAAUUUUACAUCUUGGGGGUGUGGGGGGGGUACAGCUGAAAUCUGUUAUAGAGAGGGGAAAAAAGGGGAAAAAAGUGAGACAAAGGGUGUUAUAGGUGUGAGAAUUAAAGAAAAGACAACAGAGUCUGGAAGGUAAAACCAGGGAUGAAGCACCUAACACAUGCAUUUUCCUCAAAAAGCCAGCAGGGGAAGCCAUCACUGGUUUCAGGAGGAGGUCAGAUUGCACUGAAGUGUGAGGAAAUAACAUUUUUCAUCUCACCUAAUUUAUCACCAUCUUACCUUUUACUAAAACUUAUAAAAUGUGAAAACUAAUAAAGUUUGUACAUAUAAAUAUAAUUCACAUAAGUUUAUUAUGUACAGUGUGUCUCGUUCACCUGUUGAAACAUUCAGUGCAUCAUGACAAAGAAUACAACAAAUCCACACUGCUGAGAGGCUGAAAUCCUAAUUUUGAAUACAUUUUAAAACUAAAGAAAUUAUUCCCAGAGAUGCAACACACCCUGAAAAAUGUGUGUCAAGAGUGGUAGGGGACACUGAAACACUCUCACUUCAUAUAUAACAUGAAAAAACUGUUUUAAAUCACCCCAGUUCCCCUUAUUUUUUAAUAGUGAUGGGCACGGCAGUUCUUUUAGAUGUACUGAAUCACUAGAAUUAGUUCACUAAAAAGAUUCGUUCAAAAGAUUUGUUCACCGAGUCACCGAAUCAUUCAGGGCUUGGCGGGAGGGGCCUGUGACUCUGACCUCCUUAACUGAUUCACAGCUAAACAGUUCAGGAUUCAUUUCAAUUCAAAGCUUCUGGGACCGAUAGACAAGAGUGUUUGGCUGUGUUGCUUUGGCAAACAGGUUUGUAAAAAUGAACUUGUAUAUAAGUCGUGAUAUUUUAAGUGUACUGUCCUAUUGUAUACAAUUUAUCAGGUCUGCUCAGUUAUUUGGGCUCAGAGAGUGAUUCGUUCACUGAAUAUUUAGAAGAAUUCACACUGAACAUACAACGUUCCCUCGCAAACCGCUGCAAUGAAAGGAUGCUGCAGGUUUUAUGCACUACUUGUUACAUGCUAUGUCCUGUUGUAUGCAAGUUGUUGUGGUGGCAAUUUAGCAGUAAAAAGAAGUUUGUUUUGUCCGACAAAAUUGAUUCCAGAGAGUGUAGUUCAAUGCAUGAUUCGUUUACUAAGUGAUUCAGGCAUCGGUGCAUGCGGUCCCUUGUUCGCCGGCUACUCGUCUGGCAAUGCUGUGUGCUAUAGCAGACAGCUCAACUUAAGUGAGAAACGAACGAAUCACUUUAGGAAGUGAUUCGGUUCGGUACAUUCACCUAAAAGAUUUGGUUCUUUUGAACAAAUCGUUCGCGAAUGACACAACACUAUUUUUAACACAUAUUCAUGGUACCCAGAGGGUGAACCCUGCUUACUCUUACUGCCAGAUCACUAACCAGUAAAGUUCGGAACUUGUACAAUAAUUUGUUAGUGACCAAAUAUGAAAAAUAAAAAAUAAUGACAUUCACAGAGAGCGUACCUCCAAUUACCUUUAAGUUCAGACCACCAUCAGCAACUUUAGCAUGCUAGCUAGCAUAUCAGCAACAGUCAGCCUAAUUGCAGUGUCAUUGUUGGAUGUUUUAUUUUCACACAUCUUCCGACAGUUUGCUCGAAAAGUCUCUUCUUUCCGAGAGUUAAACAAACAUUCAGCUCUGAUAGCUUCCAUUAGGAGAGAGAUGUGUACGCUACAGUUGAAAUGACACAGCAUCGGCCUCAAACUAAUGCUAUCGAACACUGAACAUUUGGUAAAAUGCUCUACUCUGAGCUAACACAAUCAUCUAUAAGCAGCCUCGGUCUAGGAGAUGAGGCAGGAAAUAUAUACAUUUCCUUGAACUCCCCAAACCUUACCUGUCAGAUGCUUGUGUCUCAGCCAGGACCUAAAAAGCUUUACCCUCAUUACGUAUGCAUACGCAGCAGUGGGUGACGUGACCUGCCAAUUCAAAAAGUCUAUCUUUGCAUAAAAGUCGACGUCAAUAAGGUGCCUUGGUGGUCGGGUUUCUGUCUAUAUGAUAAAGUAGCUAAGUAUAUUUUGCCCGUGCUUCCUGGAUGGCUGCAGAACCUUGUCUGCGGAGAUGACAAUUAGAGUCACUUUCCACCCAGGUUAGGCCAGACAGGCCCUGUCAACCACCGGCAGAGGAGAAUGGAGGCAGACAGAGAGUAAUAUGUGUACCACUCUGAUUCUGCUUCACCUCCUGAUCCUUGCACUGACCACUGAGGGGAGGGAGGGGAGGAGGGUGAGGCGGAGAGACAAAAGAAAGGAGCCAAAUACACCUCAGCAGUUACUGCGGAUCUAUUUCGAGGUUUUAAAAUUGUUAUGAGCUGUCAGUGAGUCAUUCUUGUAUUUUCCAGGUACUGUGUUUCUCAUAUCAGCUUUCAUGGACUCUCAAUGUUCUCAGACUAAUAAAAGUGCCAAAGGAAUCGUCUCGGAGACUGUAAAGACGCAAAAUAUAUGAUAGAAAAGGAAAUGAUCUGGUGCAGGGUGUAGAGACACACAAGCACGUGCACCGUGCAAACUAAGCAUCCAGUUUCAGAAGAGCUUUACCGUGUUAUAUUACUGUGCAGUCCAGCCAAGCAGAUACUUUAGGAAAUACAAACCAAAUUUAACAGGUGUGUAAUAAAAUGUUGUUUUUAGUCAAAAGAGUGCGUGAAAAGAAGAGUUAAGUUAUUCAAACACUGCAAAAAUACCUUUAAAGUAAAACCAUCAUCAGUCUAACAUGAACAUGUUGACAUUAUAUUUCUGCACUAAAGGAUAAGAUAUGAUUUAGUUGUAGUAAUAUAUUGUGUUGAAGCUGUAGCAUAGCCUCAGUUGUGUUCUUUUCAAUUGUUUCUGUCAUAAUUAUACAAUGCUCUGCUAGUCAGAUGUAAACAAGUACACAUGCAGAUAGCUUUUUACAGUGUAGCACCGUAUGGCGAUGGUUACAUAGAAUAUAAGACAAAUGGAGAUAAGCUGUAUGUUUGCUGUUGCUGGUUAAUCUAGCAUCAUAGCUACUCAACUCGAGCAAUUCACAGCCAGAACAGACAUGAGGCUUUGCUAACUUUAGCCUCAGUCUCCAAGUUGUUUUGGUGAAGACUUUUUGAUCCUCAAACUGUGAUUAAAGCUCCUGUGAGGAUUUUUUUUUUUUUUUUCCAGAAAUGAAAUAGAGUGAAAUUUAUACCGAUGCAUUUCAUGACAUGCUCAGAAAAACAAGACAAUUUCCAACAGAAACACUGAUUUUUAUCAUGUUAUUUUGAAUACCUGAAAAUAGUGUGAAGGGGGGUAGGUCCCAAUCAAGCAGCCGGAGAAACCGUCCUGUUUUUACAUCUUUGACAUUAAAUAUUUUGUGAAUUUGAUAACGUCCGGCUAAACAAAGUCUGCCCUGCCCACCAGGUGCCAAAAAUGACUCAAUAAGGAAAGUUCCUCACAGGAGCUUUAAAGUUGACUGAUUUUAAGGUUUUUCUUACCUUUAGAGUGGUAAAGUAAAAUUCAACUUCCCAUCAAAACAACUUUUAUCAUUUUGAAACUUGGUUCUAUGAUCAAGUACCAAAUGGAGGAAAUCAACUAACGUUUUAAUAUAGUUCUUAUUACUACAAGUCAUUUCUGAUUCUGUGGCUGUAAAUACAUUUAGUUCAUGAUAGGAAAUGAUAAAGUUUCCACGCACUAAAUCCAUGUUGUGUGAGUUAGCAAUCCAAUUGGCCAUACAAUUUUAACACUAUGCAGUCCAGCACAGCAGACAUUACAGUGUACUGGAAAAACUAAUAGUGAGCCAAGUCUGCAGCACUUCAGUCACUUUCUUACUUAAUUUGUGGUUCGAAAUACAGAUAGGAUGCUGGAAAAUAUGUCAGACACUUUCCACAAGCUGCACUUUUAUUGAAGAAUUUUAAUUUUGUUUUUGUUUUUUUCACUCUAGGAAUUGCUAUCUGUCCUACAGGAAUUUCUGUUUUCUUUUUACAAAAUAUCAGCAUGCUAACAGUGUCACCAAUGCCAGCACGUUUAGCUGUUGGCUUUAUGUCCUUUGAGACUAUUGACACGUAAUAUGCAGUAGGAUAGGAUAUUAUCCGGUGCAGUUUGUAGAGACACAUUUUGACAUAUUCAAUAUUUUAUGGGGCUUUAUGCGUUUAAUACUGCAUAGUCCAGCCAAGCAGCCAUUACAGUUGACGUGCAAAAGACGUAGCAAUGAUCUCAGAUCAGCUUUUUGAAUCUGACUCACACUCAGCCCCACUGUCUCCCUAACAAAUCCAAAGUAGAGCAGGCUGUCAAACGUUUUGGCACAGCAGUACAUGCUGUCAGGUCGGAGUGUGUAAGAAAUGUGCUGCAUGCUUUCUGUGUUGCAACUUCCCCGUGAAAGGAUUAAUAAUUUACAUGGGAUUACUCUGAAAUUCCAGCAUUCGCCACAAACCCGUGUAACAUUGAUUUGUUGAACUGUCAUAAUGGCACAUCACUCAAAGUAAACAAUCAUCACUUCACCAAGAGCUGGAGAUAGAUGUCUCUUUCUGAGAAGGUGGAAGACGGGAGAGGAGGAGGAGGAGGAGGAGGGGGUCUUUUUGCUCCAUUCUCGUGGUUUCCCAUCGAGUGGCUCGCUUCGAGCUGAGCGAGAGAGAGAGAGAGGGAGAGAGGAAAAGAAAGAGAGAGCUGUAAUUGCUGUCAGUCUCUCCUGAGCGCAGCCUUAAAGGCAGCUGCCGUUUCACAACUGAGGAGUGAAAAGAGUUUGGGCUGUGUGGCUUCCCCUCCAGGCCUCUGGAGGAUUUGGUGAGUUCUCUCUACACCCCCCCCUUCUUGUUUACCUCUCAUUGUCAACAGCGGCACACUUUUAGGGGAAUCAGAAGGCUAAGAGCCUAUCACACUCAGAAACAGAGACACAGGUAAUUGAAAAGAUUAUCCUCAACACGUCAUCUCUGAUUUGGGAGGUUUUCAAGUGGUGAAAGUUUCCCUCGGAAAUGUUGCGCGCAAAUAUCACAUCACAAAAGGCCUUCCAGAAAACAUCAAUGCUCAGGUUUUGACAUAUUUGUGUUUACUCUGGAUGCCUUGUCAACCACAUUGGCAGAUGUAUAUUCAUCAGAGCUCUUCUAUUUCUCCAUAAAGCGGCUUCUAACCUGACAGACUCAUUUUAUGUGCAUUUAUAACAUGCUUCAUAUACUUGCCCAAUCCCUCCACUCCAAGAACAGGCAUGUCAAAAGUAAAGAUCCACCAUAAAUGCAUAUUUUAUGUGCAUAUGUGUUUAUGUGGGCAUGAAUAAUGUACUUUUACAAAACCUACAUGUAUGCGUACAUUUCUAAAUGCACAUAUUUUCAGCUUUUAAUUGCUAAAGAGCACAUUCACAUUCUUAACCCACACUUUUCAGGCCGACUUAAUCCCUCCUUAUUGGCAAACAUUAGAAUUCGCUUAAAGUGUAGCCCACAGAGGUCAAAUUCCCUCUUAGGGUGAAAAGCUGCAGGAAAUUGCCUGCAUUAGGGAGAUGUAUUGGUGUGAAAAGAUCUCAUGACACACCGCUGAACAGGUCAGUUCUCUGCUGUUUGUUCCUCCUUGAGUUCCCUCGCUUUCUGUCUGCUUUAGAAGGAAAGGUAAUAAGAUUGUCUAAUUGGACGAUUUCCAUGAUUCAGGUCUUACAUUCAAACUUUAAGGAAUCAUCUGAAGCGUUAAAUGUAUUGAUUUAAUAUUUACUGAAUGCAUAUUUUAAAAACCUUGGUUUAUGCCAACUUAAAGUGUUGUAAUAAUUAGCACUGCCAUGAUCUUUUAGCUGACCGAACGGUUUUACAGAUACUGCACACAGAAAAUCUUGUCUACCCUUAUCUGUAUGUUGAAGCAAAGUACCAUUUGCUUCAUAUGUAACCUUUUUUUCAGUAGAUCUUAAGCAUUCAUAUUUGACACACCUCACUCCAGAAAAGCUGAGACACUGUGUAAAAUGUUGUAAAAACAGGAUUUGACUAAAAUUGAUUUAAUUUACGAAAAUACACUAAUUGGAAAUUUCAUGCCAGCAAUUUGUUUUGAAACAUUAAAGCCAUGUUGUUUGACCACCUCUCCUUUCAACAACACUUGAAAACGUUUGGAAACCAAGAAGAGCAGUUUUUGAAAAUGACAUGUUUCUAUAGGAUUUCAGAUACUCAACAGUUUGGGGUCUCCUGGGUUGUAUAUUUUCUUUGAUGGUGUGUCAAAUAGGUGACUGUAGGCUGGACUGAUUUGCACAAGGGCUCUUCUACAAUGGAGCCAUGCCAUGUACAUGAGCAGAACGUGGUUUGUUGUCAUCCUGCUGAAAUACACCAGGCAAUAUGUUGUUCCAAGAACUUUAUACCCAUGCUUGUGGGCACUUGCACGUUCUCAUACCAUCAUAGAUGUUUGUUUUUGAAUAGCGAGCUGAUAGCACGCCGGUUGGUCUUUCCUGUCUUAAGAAUGGAGGAUGCAGUGUCCAGACCUUGGCUUUAACCACAAGAUGCUUUCCCACUUCAUCUCAGUCCAUCUUAAAGGGGCCCGGAGAAGUCACUGUCACUUCUUGAAUAUGUUUAUAAAUGGUUUCUUCUUUGCUCAGUACAGUUUUAACCUUCAUUUGUGGAUUCAGUGACAAACUGUGGUCACUGACGAUGUCUUUGGAAGUGUUUGAGCCAAUGCAGUGAUUUCCACCACAGAGUUAUGUCUGUUUUUAAUGUCGUGUAACCUGAGGGAUUGAAAAUCAUGGCCAUUUAGCUGCCUUGUCCCUUUUGUACAGAGAGUUUCCAGCAGUUUCUUUCCUUUUACAUUACAUUGAUUAAAUUACCUUGGAUUUGUUGAACUGGUUGCUCACACGGUCUCUCACAAAGUCUGAUCCAUCUUCAGAUUAAGUUCAAGCUUAAUGAAGAAGACAUGAUUUACUUUGCUGCUCUGGUUGAAUUGUAGGUCAGUGUUGACUUGAGGUUUAUAUGGAAUGGGAGCUUGGUGUCCCUGCUGAAAGCCCAGUAUUUGUUUGAUAAAUCCUUCCUCCCUAUAGACUUCACCUCUGUAUGCUACAUCACCCAACAUCCUAUAGGCUUUUGUAUUGUAGGCAUAAUAUAAACAUAUAUCCAGCUGAAAAACAGCUGACACUUGCUAACUCCAAAAAGAAAGUAAAAUGUGAGUCUUUGCACACGGAUCUUUAUUUAGUAAAAUGUUUUCUUACAAGUGAGACCAUCUUACAGGUAAGUUGUUUUGGUCUCUUUAAACAGGAUUGUGUUGAGUUUCUGUGAUAUUCUCAGUAUCUUGACUUAUUGAAAACCUUAUAGGUUUAAUUUCUCUGUAAACAAGCUUCCAGAAACUACAAUGUAGUUUAACAAAAUCCUAUGUCAAUAAACUUCUGUAUCCAGGUCAAACUGAACACUUCUGUUUCAUCUGUAAGAUCCCAAAACACUGACCCUGAAAAUGUUCCUCCUACUAUAGGAAAAACCUCAGAUGUUAAUCAACACAUUUGAAUUAGUUUUGAGAGUUAAUGAGUUUUAAAGCUGCCUCUGGGACUCCCCGUCAAUAAAACUACAAACUCAUUUUAUUUUCUCUUUCAAAUUCCCAUAAAGGGUGCUUCCCAUGCAAUGCCGCGGAGCUUUACUUUGAAAUGCCUUCACUUUGAUAAGAAAUGAAUUAACGCUUUGGAGAAAGGCAGUGAAGGCAGCUCUUCUGCUUCUAUCUGAUACAUAUUCUAAUUGCUGAGUGCUGACCCUUUACUCCCGCUGAUGAGCAGCCGGAGAGAUUUUGACCUUGUGGUGUGUGUGAAUCGAUGGGAAGUUGAUAAAGCCAAGUUCAUUGCUGCCUAACAUAAAACAAAGCUGAUUUGUUUACCUAGCUAAGCCCGCGCGUGUCAAUCCCAUUACGGGAUGAUUUAUAGACCAGCACCCAAUGAAAUUGUUUAAAGCAGAUUAGGUAGAGCCAACGAUCACCACUAAUAUGACAAGCUGAUAUGCUGUGACAGGUAACCAAGCAAACAAGUUCCUGAAAUUCAGAUUGAAUUAGAAUCCUAAUAAUCCUACAGGGAGCUGCAGAUUUAAUCAGGAGAGGAGAGGAGGAAGAGGGGAGAAGAAAAGGGGAUGAAGGAUGCGUGUUCUUAGGCCGCAUGGGGGGGACGCCACCUCUUUUGUGAUUUACUUGUCAGGGAGCAUCACUCAGCUUGUGUGAAAAGGAGAAAGUGAGAAGAAGAGAGCCUCCAUACUAAUACACAUCCAAUAAUUUCAAGGACGCUCCGAUAAAAGAGAUUAUUCUUUGAAUCUUCUGUCCUAACAUACACCCCUGCGUCUAUCUGUGUGUCUGCAGCUGGAGUCCAGAAAUUAAUUCGGUUAAAAAUGGUAUUACAAGAUCAAAUAUCCCAAGAGAAAGUAUUUGUUUUUUAACGUUAUACAAUAUGCAUGUGGUGUAUUGUGUUACAUACAAAUGUGGCGCCACAAAUAGAAAUAUUAAUGUAAUUUAAUGUGCAAAGACUCCACUAAAGGAUACAAGGAGCCGAUGUCCCCUCAGAAUGAUAAAAGACUCCCUUAAUGGUAUGGAUAUUGUGUUGCAAUAAAAUCUAGUUUAAGGUCAUAGUACAACUGGAACAUCAAGUAUUUAAAAGUGGAAAAGUAAUCAGAGGAUGUAGUUUAAAGCUCACUAAUAUCUCUGCGAGUUUCUGCAUAUUCAUCAUUCGUCCUAUCAGCCUCUUUUUUCUUGUUUAUUUGAAAAUAAUGAGAACAAAAUGAGGAAUAAUACUUCUUUUCUUGGACACUGAUUGCAUCUAAAUUAUGGUAUUAAUGUUUAACUAAGGUGUAUUGUUUGGACAUUUGAAUAUGCAUGAAAGUCAUCAUUACAUUUCCAGGACAGAAAUUUGCCAGAUUCUUACAGCACACAUAUAAUAUGCAUGUUUAAUAUAUCUGCUUCUCUCAGAACACAAUUAAAAACUUUUGAUAGAUAUUAUUCUCUCGGUUGAAGAUUGGUCGGUCACUGCAAUGCAAGCAAAUGAAUCUGCUACAUUUGUGUGCUUUAUGGCCGUGUUUUUGUAUUUUAAUGCGUGAUUAUACAUGAAAAAAAAAUAAGCCGCAAAGAGAGACGAGGGAGGAAAAUGUGAUAUUUUGCAGCUUAGUUGUGGAUAAAAGUAUAAAACAAAGAUGCAUUUGUACCAGACUUUUUAUACAUCACAAAAUCUUGACAACAGAGAAACAGCAAAGGAACGCGUUUCCUUUGCAUGCGCAUAUCAGAGACACAAACUGUUAUCAAAACUUUCCUUUAUAUCUCGUCUACAUUCGGCUGAUUAAACUUCCCUCCAUGAAUGUCAGCAUUCUUUCUCCCUGUGAUGAAGGGACAAGGAGGGAGGGGAGAGGAGGGGAGGACAGGAGGGGGAGAGAGAGAGAGGGGAAGACAGAAAGUUUCAGAUGGGGACCUAAUUAGGGAGUGCACAGCCCAGUUCUCUCCCCACUCCUAAUGAGGGGUUUGUUAUGGCGCGGGCGAGCGGCAGCGGCGGCGUGUGUCAUGGCGAGGCCGAAGUGGAAGAGUGUAGAGCGUGGCGGGACCGGCGGAGCAGAUCCCCCUGCGCAGUGUGAUUCUACACCUGCAAAUCCCCAACACAUUGAAACCAGGCCUCGUUUGAUGUGCUAUUCUUUUCAUGUUGAGAAACGGGAGGGACCGAAGGAGCAGGGACCUAGUUGAAAAGAGGCAGGGGGGCUUGGGAGGAGUGCCGCGGUCUAUUAGACGUUUUAAUAAUGUUAAUUAAUGAAUAAUAGGGUUUGUAAUGAGCUACCGGCUGCAUUUUAUUCAUGUGAUUAUCUCAGACGCUCUCUAAUUCUCUCUAUGAGCACUGUCAGGGGAAGGCUGAGAUCAAGUGCAACACAAACAGACAGACACACAUACUCACUCUCACACACACACAUGAAAUCUAACCCCCACUAUAAAGCAAUACAGCAAAAGAGAGGUUUGGUACAGAUUAGGACGCAGUCAGAGGUUUGGUCGAGCAGCCCAGAGGGACCCAGCAGGCCUCCAAUGACUUAUAGCCCUCCUCCACAGGAAAUGAGAGCAUUAUCAGCCACCAAUUAGACCAAAGGGGUGAUUUAUACGCGCACACAUGUGCAUGCACAGAUACUCACAAAUACAUGCAGAUGCUCAAAACACCCACACACAUGCACACGUGAUUUAUAGUCCUUAAACAGGUGGGUCUGUCUCCCUGUGCAACACGUUGGAGCAUGUGGAUCUGCUCUUUCCGAUCACUCCGUCUCUCUCUGCUAGUCUUUAAUCUUUCUCUCUCUCUCCUUGAGCCUGUCAUCUGCUUCAUCCCUCAUUCAAAAGAGACUGAAGAGGCGCAGAGCAGCCACUAGUGGGCCCUAGGAAGACGUCCUCACUUCUCCCAAUGAUUUCUCCCCCCUCUGUCUCAACAACAGUCUCUGUGGGCACUGGAAGGUGCAGAGAGGCCUGUUUCCAGAUAAACCUACAACUGUGACAAGUUCAAAGAUAAUACUUAAGUUUUUUUUUUUGUUUGUUUUUUUACUUAAAGAGACUGCCCUUUUGGGAUAUGCUAAGAGCUAAAGAGAAAAGUCAAGUCAUUGUCUUAGUAGGUUUUAAAAUCAGUUCUGAGAUUAAAAUGCUCAUACGUUAAUUAGGAGUAAUCAGAACCUUAAAAGUUUCAAAACUGUUAAAUCCUUGAAUGACAGAAAAUGUUUCAAAUGCUUUAAGGUGCUUUAAGUUGGUUUUUAUUUAAUUAUUUCCUUAAAGUCGCAUCGUCUUGUAUCACAGAAAAAAUCUCACAAAGCCUUUACAGAAACAAGCGAUGCAUUGUUAUCCAGAAAAGAAAAACAAAACCCAAGCAUCAGUUUGAGUGUCAAAAAAGUGAGGAGGAAAUGUAUUUAUACAGAGUUUUACCUUCUGGCAGAUCUAUCCAAACUGUCCAGCAAGUGUGUUAUAAUGAUAUCAGUUAGAUUUGCAAAUAUUAUGCUUACAACUCAAGAACACACCGUGUAAAGGGGAGGCCAUGGACCCCCUGGAUGAGAGCAAGUGAUUUAGAGUGAUCAUAAAAAACACUGAUUUCAACGAAAACCUCAUUACCUGAUCUGAAGGAUCUGCUGGGUAAUGCCACAUUAUUCAACUAUACUAGUAACAUUGUCAAUUAACAGCGCAUUAUGGAUUGACAACAGAUAAAACAUGGACUCACUCUCAAGUGAUUCUUGCAAACUGCUGGUUCAAGGCAGGAUAUUUGCAGCCCACUUACACGCCUCCUAAAAUGCGUAGCACAUGUAGGCAUAAAUGCUGAGGCAAGGUCAUUCUGCCUCAGACCGUCCCUUAGACGUCAUAGAAGAGCGACAGUGACGAUGAGUAGCAUUUGAGCUAGCAGAGCAGAACAGGGCUGUGUUAUCGGUACUUUUGGUGUCCGUUUACGAGCCAUUCCUCUCAGGACUCCUCAUGCAAAAUCACUCACAGCUACACCAAUGUUAUGCCCAAAGAUGUUUGAAAAAAGCUAACUUCAAAUAACAAUCAACAACUCUAAAAACCAUCAACUAUUAGGGACACAAUCCCAACAGCAUGCACACUCAUCCUCUGCUCUUUAAACCCUCAAAUGUGUUACUCAUUUUGAACAUUUGCCCAACAUGCAGUUGAUCACUUGGACUGACACCUACCUCCUUUUGAACAAACAACACAAAACCAACAUAGCAACAUGAAAACAAGUGUCAAAUAUGGUCCUAAACUGAGUCAUUUUGCUUUUGAAGCAAGCCUCCAGUGGACAUUCAGGGAACUGCAGUCUUUUUUUUUUUUACUUGUGGGAUGGCUGGGACCCUAUUUGUACUGUUGAUGAAGUUAGGUGCUGUUCUGAGCAUUAUUUGUGGCUUUAGAGUGGCGUUUGGUUGAGGUUUGUUUAUGGCUCCUCAGACCGCUGUGUAUUGCUAUCAUGAGGUCGUUACUAAAGUCGGUAUAAAUAGAGAAGCAAGCGGUUGGCAACAUUCAUCUCUCAAGGAGGUGUCUAACUUGGUGUUACGGUGAGUUUGACCCUGAAUUAAUUUUAUGCUGGACUAUCCUUUUAAAGUUGCUGCUUGAUACUGACAGUCGUUUCAUCAUAUGUAACUAUUUUUAGAGGCACAACACAAUCAUAAACUUAAAAUUACAACAUUAGGUUUGAUCUUAUUUAUUCCUGCACUCAUUAUAACUUCUUACAAGUCCAAUCCAAACAAUUUGAUUCAGAAGUCCGGAUUGUGGGAUAGUUCAAAGUAUCUUUAAAAAUUUAACUCAGUAAAAAAGGUUAUGAUCAUAAGACUCUGACAUUGACAUUUGGCACACACCGAGAACUAUAUGCUUCACACACCUGCAACACCUGACACUUCCCCGCUCGCCCAAUUCCAAGCCAUUUCCACCCCAGCUCCCUUCACUUUCUAUUGAUUGUAAAAUCAAUAGCAGCUCCAAAAGAGCUGUCCGUGUGAAAUAGUCUUACACAGAACCUGCUUUUUUUUUUUUUUUUUUGAGGGAAGAAUUUCAAACUAAACUGGGGAUAAAUCUCCUGACUUCAAGCUUUAUAAUAAUGAAAAUAAAUUAAUGAGGUCAGGCUGGAAACAUUAUCUCACGGUGACUAAGAGAAAAAAAAAGAACUAAAAGCAAUCAUAGCCUUCCUUUAAACAUGGAAACCUGAAAGAUUCCCAAAGCUGGUUCCAUCUGUCUGCUCUGUGGUUGUAAUGAAGUUAUCAGUGGGCGUCGGACUUCUAUAAACCCCCAUCCAGGUCUGUAAAGAUUCUCAUUAAGCUCCAUCCUCAUUGUCAGCUGCAACACAAAAUCGGCCAACAUUGUUCCCGUCUUUUCUUCCUCUGCUCCUCCAUCCCUCUCUCCUCUUUGGGGGAGCAGGAAAACAAAAGGCAGCCCGGGUCCCAAUCAGCGCCUCAUGAAGGGGGAUCCCACUCAGGUCUUAAUCAGUGCUCUGCUUAAUAGAGCAACACUUCCCAAAUAUUAUUAACCUCAUCUGUCUGCAUUAGGCCCUAAUGGCCUCCCUCUCUGUGUAUUGUCUUUGCAGCAGCUGGUAAUGUACAUAUAUAUUAAUCCACUCUCUCUUCCCCUCUGCAGAGAGAUUGCACGGCGCUCUCAGAACAAACGGUGCCCUUCAGAGAGCGAGGCAGACACAGGUUAGGAAGCCACUAAUUAAAUGUCAGACUUGACAGAUUAAAAUUAUGAAAUUUAAAAUCUGCAAGUGGCUCUUUGUCAUUGUCAAAUUAAGGGCUGCACUGUGUGAUGAAGGGGAAGGGGACGGCGGGCUCUAAUGGAUUGAAAGGGAAUGUGCUUUAGCAGCAAGCAGCUCCCAGUGAAUAAAGAUUUGACACUCCCGCCUAAGGUAGCAUGGCUGCAUGUUGAAUUCCUCCAUAUUCUCCCAAGUCUGGAGGUUGAGAGGUCGCUCCAAUGCAGCCGAGCCCAUCCUGACCACUUCAUUUAGAUUUCUCAUUCCUCUGGCAACACAAAUACCUGGCCACGAAACCAGCGCUCUAGGAAAAGCUAUUCCACCUUUGGCUUCCCCGUACCUCCGCGUUUGAGCACAACCCACGGAGACGGAGAUCAGCAGUCAUUGUUAUCUCCUUCAUGACCCAUCAAAUCAGUGAGCUUUUGAGGAGGAGGAAAAAAAAAACAAGUGGGAGUGUUUUCUCUGAAAACGCGCAGAAAAAGUCAUGAGGUUUGGUGUGCAAGAGGCAAUUUAUCUUCAAAAACAAGCAUUACCUUUAAGAAAUGCCCUCAAACACCAGCAUGAAAUCAAGAUCAUAUCAAUGAGGAUCAGCAGGUGGAGUAAGCUGGUGUGUCUGUAAUUAAAUCUCUCCAUGAAGAAACAUUUGACUUUCUGCAUUUUUAAAAAUAGAGUUUUUUUAUUUGUGUCAACUCUGCAGGCCUUCCACAGGGAAGUCAGGAGUAUUUCCAGAUAUAAUCAAGAAAUACAGAGAAUCUUAAACCAAACCAGGGCUGUUUCUUUACACGCACACGAUGAACAGAGUUCAAAGCAUUCUCAACUUCAACCGGGUCUAAAUUCAUCUGGCCCCGGCGAGGUCGAGGGCACAUGUUGUAAUAAAGUUCAGUGUGGAGCUGAGGCAGCAAACAUUCAACGAGGAUCAAAACACCGGCAGCACAAGAAGUGACAAGAUCCAAUUAAAUUUAAUUACUCGAGCUGUAGUUUCAUUUUAACUGACAAUUUAGAUUAAAGUAUCCACACACUCUUGAAGCUAAAAGCAAAGAGGCCAAACUGUAUCAGAGUAACCCUGUUAGCGCUGGUGCAACCUUGACUGGCUAAUUGGCUUUAAUUAAAGCUGAGCCAAGAGGACUACAACAAGUUCAAUAAGACACAGGGACAGGUUUGACUCGGCGAUCGGUUCUUUUUUUGUGUUGCUGAGUGUGUCAGCAUGCAUGUGAUGUCUGGUCGAAUUAAAACCACAGCUCAACAACCUUUAAUCAAUAUUUAUUGGUUGGCCUCCUAUUGAUUCUUAUCUUUCCAUUACUCUUUUAACCUGUCGGCUCGUAGGUGACAUGUUGCCAUUAUAAUUGUUUUAAGCUAUUUCAACAAAGGCUAAACAUCACUAUGAAUAAACAGAUUUUGAUUUAUCCAAUAAUGUGUAAGAUAAUACUCAGCCUAGUCUCAUCAUAUGGCGCAUGAAUGACUUGACUUUUCACUUUAAGAUUGCACCGAUACGUCCCAAAGACUUGGCAUGUCAGGUGGUGCAGUUUAACGGGCAAGAAGUUCAUGAUUGGUAUGUUCAGAGUUAAGGUGACCUACAGUUUGAGCUUGAUUAGGGGAUUUAACUGGACUGCUGUCCUUGUCCAAGUUUACAUGCUCUUGGGUGCGUGUUUAUGCUUUCAACCGUUUAUUGCAACAGCUGCAGAACAUUGUUUUUGGCAUCAAGACUCCAACCUCAUGACAUCUCCCAGUUUUCUUCUUACAAGCAGAAAAUGAGGAGCGAUAAGAUGAUAUCUUAAACUUCCCCUGGUCCAAACCUGCAGGUGGACAAGCAGAAGAUAAGCAGAGAAAUAAAAGCCAUCAUUUUGUCCAUUGGGGGUGCCAAAAGUGGUUUAAACAGAAAGCUCAUAGGGGGAGCUUGUUUUACAUGUGGUUGAAUCAAAACAACUUGGACUCCAGAUUGGAUCUACCUGGCUUCACUCUCCUAAUAUAAGACAGAGAAAUGCACACUGAAGAAGGUAGAGGCCUUUCUAAAAAUCAUGGAUCGUCCACUUCAUAACACCUUGAUGGACCAAAAAAACAACAUUGGUGGACUGUUCCUUUCUCUUCGCUGCAGGACGAAGAGAUUCAGAAGAUCUUUUGUACCAACAGCCAUCAAACUUAGUAGUUCUUCUAUGAAUAGUAGAUAAGAUGGGUUUCCAGACAAACAAUUUCCCUUUGGGGAUCAAUAAAGUUUUUGCAUUGCUGUAUUGCACGAGCACCGCUGUCUCCUGAUUUAAAACCACAGACUCAAAACUUUGGGACUUUAGAUUGGGAAGUCUUUGCACAGCAGUGACAAAGAAGGUAGCGUUAGCAUCGGGAUGACCACAUAACUAGCAACAUGGCUAAACACUUGAUCAAGAUUAAAAAUGGCCCUGAAACAUACCUUUCCAACAGAAAGUAAGCAACCAUGGGAUCACUUUUAAAGCCCUUGAACUCUUUCAGUUCUCUCUAUCGCUGAAAAGCUGUCCCAGUGUUGACUUUCGUUUUUGCCCUUGCUUUCUCCAAACUCUGUCUUGCUUCGGCCUUCUCUGCCUCCGUCUUUUUUUUUGCUCUUUUUUGCAGGAGAAGCAGUCACCAUUAAUCUGGGGAUAAGUAGUUUCUCUGCCAUUCUCCAGCGUAGCUGUAUCCCUCUCAGCUCGGCUAUGCACAUUGAAUCAGGGCCAGUGCGCACCGCCAACAUUUACGUGCAGGAGGCGAGGAUUUGAUUGGUUUAAAAAUAUGGGACCCACACGAUGUGAUUGGUUGGUGUUUUCCCAGUUUUACUCCUGCUGUAGAUAGCUGCUAUGUUUAGCUCUUUUUUAAAAACACAUCAUGUAUUGAUUGCCAUCAGAACAUCAAGAUCAUUCCAACCAGAAUAACAAAAAGUGUAUCUAAAUCAGAUUACCAACCCUACCUUUAAGGUCUGCCAAAAGAGACAAUCAUUAUGCAUCUCAAGAAAACAGUAUCAAUUCAACUCAUCAAUUCAAAGCACUUACAGACCGGUGGAGGUGAUAUAAGUUCAUCCAAAUUGAUCAGGCAGUUGGUCCAGCAGACCAAACAGGUAGCAACCAGGAUGGCAAAAACAGAUGGUACUACAAAAUGCUUCACAGUUGCACAUUGUGGACUGUGUUCAAGUCAGUGCAAGUUUCCAGGCAGAAAGACAGUAAAAGCUGUUACCCCCUGAGAUAUUUCACAAUAUAAAGUAUUACAACUACAUAGUAGGUGCACUAUAAUGUAACUAUUUAGCACUUUUCUUAGGAUACUAUAAUCUUGUGAAAUAUAUAAUCUGUUAUCUUAAUUUAAAGAAGCCUUUGACAUGAAAUAUCUGAAAGCAGAGAACAAACCUGUUCAUGAUAAAGUUGACAAAUAGGCUGCAGCGUGUUUCAUUGACAGACGCUCAGAGAGAAAACAAAUGCUGCAGGUGCUUUGAAAGCUGUGUGUAGCACCAGAGGGCAGGCAGAUGAGCCUCAUCCCUGAGGAAGGUGUGUGUGUCUCUUUGUUUGUGUGUGUGUGUGUGUGUGUGUGUGUGUGUGUGUGUGUGUGUGUGUGUGUGUGUGUGUGUGUGUGUGUGUGUGUGUGUGUGUGUGUGUGUGUGUGUGUGUGUGUGUGUGUGUGUGUGUGUGUGCUCACUUACAGCAGAGCAUGCGACUAUGAAAGUGAAGCACCUUAGGCUAACUGCUGUUCCUGCCACUCACACUCCACACUAACCUCUCCGACACACACUUUUCAGUCUUAAAGGUGUCAGCUCACAUUUGGGGGUAAUUCUGUGGAACCUUGAUGGUGUUGCACUACAAAUCUUAAUUCAGAUUUCUAACUCUAGCUCUGUUUAUGAUCACAGAGGUAUAAACAGAGCCAGUUAUCAGACUUAUAGGGCUGUGUGCUGGUCUGCAUACAGUAAAUGUAAAUGAUUCCAGUGAGGAUCAGUGACAAAAUACAGGGAAAAAAACUUUAAAAAGUUAAAACCGUCCUUCAAGGAGGUAACUUAUUGUAAGUGAGUACUCUGUAAAAGUCAUGCAGGCAGUGCAAACUGAAAAAUCUGCUCAUAUUAUAAAGCUAGCCCUUUCAGUUUGUUACUAUUGGGCCAAAACAGGUUAGUCAACGAACAAGUUAGCAAGAGGCUAAAUGGUUGCAUUUCAAAAUGGGAAAAAAAGCCUACUUCACAGCUCUGUACCUUUCAUCAAAUGACAGUUUUGUCUUCUUUACUUUCCUCUGCUAAAGCUCAGUGUGCAAACUGUGCAGGAUGCAUAAAACAGCCAGUAUGAGUCAGAUUGAAGUGUAGACAUGCAAGACGAAUUGAUCUCCAACUGCAUUAUCUAAGGAUGGUAAUCUGACCUCAAGAAAUUUGACUUGGUGUGAUUUUGGUGUUGGCCAAACAUGUUUCCAUGCAUUUCCUAAAUCCUAAUUCAUUAGGGCCAAUACAACAACUGGAGUGAAGCCGGCAAGCCAGUUCAAGCAGUCAACUUGAGUUGUAGACUCAUUUAAGCUGCAAGACUUUCUGUCUCUGCUUUGCCAGGGGACAAGAGGACUCUGUAUCUUCCAUGAGUGGUGGUGUGAAGAAAACUGGGAGAUGUCAUGAGGUUGGAGUCUUGAUGCCAAAAACAAUGUUCUGCAGCUGUUGCAUUGAAGAGUUGAAAGCAUAGACGUGCUCCCCAGAGUUUGUAAACUUGGACAAGGACAGCAGUCCAGUUAAAUCCCUUAAUCAAAUUAAAAACUUUAGGUCACCUUCACUGUAAAUGUACUGAGUGUGAACCUCUGUCUUUUAAAUUACAUCACCAGGUCUUUGGACGUGUUGGUGCAAUCUUAAAGGGAUACAAGACCUCAGGCUAGUCCAUUACGGACUGCUGCGGGGUGAUGCAGCUCAAGAAGGAACAUUUAUGAUAAUUUCUUCAUCAUUUCCUUGAAGUAUUAAUUACCAUAUAAAUCAUUUUGCACUGGAGACGCGGUAGUUCUUCUGCCUUAGCGUCUCGGUCUGAUUGCAUUUCCAUGAAGACAUUAUCAUAAAUGUUCUUCCUUGAGCUGCGUCACCCCGCAGCAGUUGGUCAUAGACUAGCCUGAGGUCUUGCUACAAACAAGGGGCUGCUGGAAGAGAGUAGGUGAGUUGUGUUAAGUCUCUUCGUUAAAGAAAUUAGGCAAAGUUAAAAAGAUGUCGACUAGUGCUGUGGCUGGGACCCUAUAUAUACUGUUGAUGAAGUUAGGUGCUGUUCUGAGCAUUAUUUAUGGCUAUAGAGUGGCGCUUUGGUUGUGGUUUGUGUGUGGCUCCUCAGACCGCUGUGUAUUGCUAUCGUGCAGUCGUCACUAGAAUUGGUAUAACUAGAGAAGCAAGCAGUCAGCAGCAUUCAUCUCUCAAGGGGGUGUCUAACUCGGUGUUAUGGUGUGUUUGACCCUAAAUUAAUUUGACGCCAGAAUAUCCCUUUAAAGUGAAAAGUCAAGUCAUUCAUGUGCCAAUAUGAUGAGACUAGGUUGAGGGACAAAUCCUUUUGAUAAAUCAAAGUCUGUUCAUUCUGUGCUCAUCUGUCCAUCUUAUGUAUUAGUGAAUAUUUACCAGUUAAAAAAAGCCUUUUCUCUUGCAUGCUGUCAAUCAUCUUAGGUGGCUCCUCCCACAUCUCAGAAGUUACAGGCAUUAAAAUGUUCACUGUAGAAGAAGUCAGGUGUGUUCCUGAUGGUCUUUUUUGCUUUUGGAGGUGGUUAAAAGCAUCAGUUUUAGUUUCAGCUUGUUUUAUAAUGAGCCAAAAACUCUCCACAGGAGCUUUAAAUGAUCUACCUUCAAAUAUACUGAAUAGAACUUUUUCUCCACUUAAGAGAAAUUACACACUGAGAUUUUAAAGGAGGUUAAAGAUCCACAGAGAGUGAUGUUUUUAGUUUUUGUGAGUCUAAGUGUGUGAGACGGUGACGCUUUCUUGGGUGUUUGAAUGUAAAUGUUGUUAAUCUUUGUGUUAAUCCCUUCCCAUCUGUGCUGUUUCACUGCUGCUCUAUUGCAUUUGUGUGUGAGUGUGUUUGUGUGUGUGUGUGUGUGUUAGUGUGUGUGUGUAUGGGGGGGGGGGGGUCAGCCGGGUCAGGCCUGACACCAUCUUUAACUGUUAUUUACUGUGAUUCCACGACAAGACAGAUACCAGCUCCUGCGACUCCACUGAUGUAUGUUAAGCGCGCUCCAAAUUACCAGCCUGAUGGAUCUAUUGAUGGCCCAUUCCAACCUGUCACCUAGUCUCCAUCAGCCUCUCAGUUAUCCCCCUCUGUUCCUCCUCCCCCUCUCCCCCUCCCCUCCCCCCUCCUCGCCCUCCGUCCCUGUGGGUCUGAAUAAGAAAUGAGGAAGCAGGCAGAUAGAGACCUUUUGUAACCCUGUGUCCCGCCUGCUGGAAGACAAUGGCCGGCACUGACGCUGCUGCAAAAGUUAAGCAGGUCUGUAUAGGAGCACAGCUGGAGAACACACACACACAUAGACACACAUUCAUGCAUGCACAAAGACACGCAUGCAUGCACUUGUCCCUGGAGAGACAAGAAGGGCAAUGUAGACCAUGACCGUUCCUGCUAACAGCCUUGUCUUAUCACAUCCUGUCAUUUAUUAUUCUCCAUACAAGCUCCAGAUAGCAGACCCUGUCAUAGGGGAAAUGAAGAUCCCAGCGGUAUCUGUUACAGGUCUUGUAAUACGCUGUCACCUGUGUGCUACACUGAUAAUAUCCUACACGCAUUGAUUGAGGAGAAUCCAGGUUAAUACACUCAUGAAAUGAUCUAGGGAGGGGAAAAAAUCAACUCUUAAAAGACUUGUUAGAGCUGCAAAUCAACAGCUACUCAAUUUCAAAAACCUCCCCACAGGCUUUUCAAAAAACCUAACGCUGUGUUUUGGAGCUGAGCUGAUGAUGGGCCCUGUGGUCCCAUUAGCCGAAAGAUAAGAUGAAGAUGGUCAAUACAGCGUGUGCGUGAGAGAGUGUGUGAGUGCGCGUUCUGGUGUGUGUAGUUGCCAGGCUCUGCUCUAUCAGAUAAAUACUGCACUGAAUCUCGUCGCGCUAAUUGACUCUCGCAGGCAUUACUGGGAUUAAGUUAGCAAGCGUCCAAAGUUCAUUACGCAGAUAAAUGCAUCUCUUAGCCUGCUAAAGACCCCUCGCGCAAACUCAACUCCCACACAAAGCACCAAACAAAGAAAAGGCUUCUUAUGGAGUUAAAAAGGUGAGAUCAUUUUAUUUGUUCGCACUUUAUCAGAGGGCAAAUACUUAUUUACAUUUAUGGCCCAAGUGCUCUAUUUUUAGUGUUUGAGUUUGUACUGCUAUGUUGGAAAUAUUGAGCUUUUUUCAUUUCACUACAUUUAUGUGACAGAUGCAGUUACGGGGUCCUCUGCUGAUCAGGAAAACAUAUAAAUAAAUGAAGACGUUCAUUGAUUCAGAUGUAAAAGCAAACUGUAAAGCAGAGAGACUUUGUUUCCAAAGACUCAGAGCAACUUUUAGAACAAGUACAGAGGUUAGCAAAUCAGAAAUAUCUAUAAGGAAAACAGGGCUUUCAGUGUUUACUCUCGGUUGAGAUGUAAUAAAGGUUAAAAUUUAUAAUUGUGUACUUUAGGCAUGUUACAGGUUAUUGUGGCAUUGUCUUCCUGCUUCCUGCUGAACAAAUAAAUUAUGAAGGUAAAGUAAAAUAAUGACCUCACUGCACUUUUGAGUUGCGUAUUUUGCUCCACAAAUUUCUCGGUUGACAAGUCAAAAGCAGUGUGCGCUUUGUGUCAAACAGAAUUAAAAUAUCCCCACAGGAGCGAGAGUUUGAGUGCCCACCCCACAAGCAUCCAGGUGCAGUUGAUCAGACUGAUGUCUGCACAAAACCGCAUCACAAAAGUCUGCAGAGCAACAUUUGAGAGUGUGCACAUCUCUAAUGACCAAAGGUCAUGGUUACAGAGGACAGUGGUGUAGAAGUUCUGCAUUUAUUUGGGUGAUAAAUCUAAAAGUCAGGAUCCUAAAGACCAUUUAACUGCAUAUAUUUGGUCCUCUAAUCAAGACACUAUUAAGACUUCUCUGAUAUUGUUAAUAUUGACUUGCAGUUUGAGCACAUGAUUAAAAAAGCAAUUAAUCACAAUGAACUAUUAAAAUAAUAAUUUAACAGCCUGAAGACAAAUAUGUAAUAAGUCUGAAUGUAACCAUUUUCUAAUACUUUUUCAUCAACUCUGGAUGCUUGAACAUUUUCAAAAGUAAUGCUUUCAUCAUCUGUCAGCACAAUAAACCACAACAGCUCUCUAUAUACUCUUAUUUUAAAGGAAGGGAAACUAGGGUGCAAGAUAUGUUUUAAGUGAAGCACUUAUGAGCAUGAAAAGUAAGCACAGUAAUGGACAAUGAUCAUCUUUAAGUACAAUUAUGUUAAAUUAGACAAUCACAUUUCUCUGGACUUUAAAACCUGAAUAUUGUAAUCAGAAACUCAUUUAACUGCCAAACCUGCCAUAUUAGACUGUUAAUUUUCAUUCAUAAUCAGGGCAGUCUCUGUCUCUCUUGAUACAAUAGAUUGUUUUGGUGAUUAUCCUGUUUGUUUUACAUCAUGUACUACAAUGCCGUUCUUUUGCAAAUAUAUCUUUUUCAUUUUAUUUUAAAGCUUCUACAUCUGGAAAAGUCUAAAAUUGAUACUGACGUCUUUUUAUGACCAUAAGCAAACAAGAAUGAUGCUUAAAAUUCAGUGUCGAAAAAUGCGGCAACUUUUAAAACUCGUAUAUAUUUGCGGGUAAAUCUAGCCCAUUUGGUUGUGUGAUCUUGCGUUCCCUUUUUUAACAACAGCUUUUAUAGCAACUUAAUUUUGGUAGUACCUUUUGUAAAACAAAGCUUACACAGUGCCCUAACCCUAAAUCAGCAGUACUAUGAUAGUUAAAAAAAGUUAAUGGGUUAUAUGUUGGAGAGGCAGAGUCAACUUAAUCCACAUCUACUCCUAAAAAAAGGAUAACUAUGACUUCCUGUUUUUAGUCAAGGUCAGAGGUUAAGAAAGAAGUGGAACUCUGAGUGCACAGUAUGUAGUGGGAAAAGCAGCACAUGCAUACUACACAUGCAUUACAACAAAUCUUUCAAAGUGACCUAGCGCCCCGUCACAGCUGCUGCUCAUUUUGACGUCAUUAUAACUCUGACAAAAAGCCUGCGAUGACAUCUGAGUUGAUUACGCUGAAGCGGUUUAACGUGUGAUCUUUGAUAGCCUUUGAAACACUUGCUCUCUCUCCUUCACCCUCUCUGUCGCUGCAGCGAUGAGUGACACAACAGCAGGUGCUCGGAGAACCGUGGAGAGUGCUUUCAUUUUGCCACUUAUACGACAAAUUACCCAGACAAUGGACCUGGCGAGCCGGGACAAUAAUUCAAUUCCAACUGUUGACUCUGGGCAUUCGCCUGCAUGCAUGCACCGGCCUCAAGGAAAGGAGAGCCCUCGCUGCAAAGAAGAGAGAAAAAAAAGAUAAUCUGAACACAGUCAAACAAAAUGAAAGGUAAUAUUCUUUAUCUGGCCGAAGAUAGCAGCAGAUGAACUGCCCUAAUAUGAGCACAAAUAUGAUUUAGGGAUUCCAUGCGUCAGUCGGCCCUCUUCUCAAAGUGAUUUGGAUCAAUAGUGUUUGCUAGGCACAGCAGAAACAGAGAGGAAAGAGCGAAGGAGGAAAGUCAAGAAGGAGAGGAAACACAUAGAUUUCACUAUGGGGGAGCGCAGCACCAGAGCAGUAGUCAAAUUUCACUGGUGUCAAAUUAAUUUCCGUGUUAUCUGGAAAUUCAAUUAGAAAGGCCCCCCCUCCCUCGCGCUCCUCCCUCUUCUCCUCUUUUGUGAGUAAGAGAGUGUCGGACAUCCCGGCGUGACAGAUUACACUGCUCAGAGUGCAUAUCAGGCCGAAGUGUUGAGGCCCACUAAUCCGCCCUCUAAUUCUCAAUUAGUGUAAAAUGAGGCCAUAAAUCACGCAGACAGGCCGAUCGAUGGAAACGUUGUUUUAGGAGUGAUUGGCAGCCUCCCCAAAGGUUACUGUUUAAGUUGGUUUAAGGUUACAGCUCCGUGCAGGCUGGAGGCAGGCUGAGAGUGUGUGCGCGCGUGUGUAAAUGUGUGUGUGUUGGCUUGGCUUGUGGUUGGGAGGGCUGGGGGGGUCGAACUCAAUCUAUAUGAUGCAGGGCCUUGCUCCUUUGGGGAUACAGCAGAGGGACAGCACCAAUUUUUAGCCCAUCAGCCGUCCAAUUUUUCUCCUUUUCAUACCUGCUGUAGUAAAUGAGAAACAAAUUAAAUUUCACCCCACUAUCUCCACAGAAACCAUUUAAAUCCUUUAUGGAAACCAAAUUGUCCCCAGACAAAUCGCCCCUGGUUCUGUGGAAAUACACUAUGGCGCUGCAACCGAAAUAAAUUUGUGUCACUCUGGAUAUGGCAUUGUCUGUAAUGCCAUUCAUUGGAGGAUCCUGGUGAAAGAGAGAGGGGAAUAAAAUAAGGGGCACUUUUGGAGGAACAAAAGGGGUGAAAAAGACCCCAGCUCCACAUUCUCUUCCUCACCCUCCUCUCCAUCUCUCUCUGUCUUUCCUCCCUUCUCCUUUGCGCCCACUUUUCCCCUGUGUGGUGUUAUUAAUUUUCGGCCAGAGUUUUUGCAUUCAUGAGGUUGAGAUUGAAAUGGAAAUGAGGGCUGGCUGAGCUGAGCAAAAGCGAGCAGCCUCAGCAGUGGCCGCAGCCAAACGGGGGCCCCCAGCGCGGCGCGGCGCUCCAACACUCAACCCGACACGUGUCAGAGACAGAGGGGGACGCGGCAGCCACCAUCCAGCCUCUCAUUCCCCCAGAUUACCAGCCCCUGACAUCAAUCACUGCAUCAGGGAAACAAUGCAUAAAACGGCCCCAACAAGGGCGAUGAAAAAUUACUGACAGUGCAGGAGUGGAGCGUGUGAAGGGAGGGAGGGAGGGAGACCUGGUGCCAUUCUACCUUCAGCCAAGCUAAACGAUUAGUAGCACUCACAAGGGACAAGGAAAGAGGUAGAUGAGGAGAAAACAACAGAAAGAAAUGACACAAGGCAAAUUAAAUGAAAAAAAAACAAGUAAAAAAAGAAGAAAAGUGGAAAAUAGGAGGCCGUAUUGACAAGCUAACAGAUGAAAUUGCUCUAAUGAGGCGACGAGACUUGUUCCCCUGAAUGCAACUUUUCUUAUUGAGCUUAUUUAUAUAACAGAAGCAUCUAAAAGGGAGAAAUUAGUCUUUGAACCGAGUUCUUUUUGGACCAUAUAAGCUCCACUACAACUAUAAACAGAAAAUGAUGAAAGCCAAGAAGUUCAUCUGAAAAACUAAAUCGACUUAUUUGUCAUCCAAAUUUUUCUGCUCCGAUACACUUUGGACUCCCCGUUUCACCUCAGAACCACAUGAUAGAAAAAUCUUACACACUAAGCAAACAGAAACAGAUGUAACAACAUUAUUUGGAAUAGGGCUAACUAAUACAAACUCAAUAAUGACUCUUUUAGCUCUGUUUUGUUCUCCACCUGUUCUGGCUUCUCCUCAUCCUCUUCUUCGGUAGAUUGUUGCUGACUCUGUCGACUGUUUGGUGAAAAUCCAGAAGACAAACUUUUUGCAAACUUUUUGCUGCAAACAGACACUGACUGUGGAGUAAAAACAUGUUGAUAAGAGCUGUGAGAAUAGAAUAGAAUAGAAUAGAAUUUGCAGUUACAGGACCGAUGUAAUUAACAAUUCAUGACUCAGCAAAAACAUUAGUUCCAAGCCAAAACAAUGGGCUGAAAGAAACUAGGAUCAAGUCGUAGGAUCAAGUCCUGAUGAUCUGGUUUAUGUGCCUGUUCUCCUGAUAUUAAAAAAGCCCCAAAAUAAUAACCUGAGAAAUCAUCGUCAGCCUGUCUCACCAUGUGGUUGAAAAGUAUGGGUAGAGAAAUUGAUCAAGGAUUGUUAAGAUAGCUUGAUAACAGUGCAAUAUCAGUAACAAAUCUCAUCUCUCCUCACUUGAAGCAUAAGUGCAUUGUCCAGUUUAGAGAUAGUAUAAGCAGUGAGGAAACCUUUUUGUUUAUGGUGCUUGUAAACAAGUGCUCACAAGAGACCUUUAACACAUUUGGACUUCCUGCAGGUUUAACCUCUCAGUUCCUGUUUGAAAGCCAGCAGCUCUGACUUUGCCACAGGGGCGUGCCCAGAUGGUUGUUAGGGGUGGUAUGAGCCCACUUAAAAAUGCCUGGCCACCCCAAAAUCUUAAAUCAUUAUUUUUGUUUUUGUUUGUUUUCUUUUUGGAAGGUGGAAUCAGUGUGUCAAUGAAGUGUUUCAGCAGCUGCUUUUUUUGAACAUUUGAACUUUUCUUGGUUGAUUAAAGUACAAAAAAAUACUGAACACUUCUAUUUCAUAAAACUGGUGCAUUUGAAAAGGAGUCAUCCCUACAAAAUGUUCAAGAAAACUUCAUAUUGUCUUCUUGCUAAAAUAUUUUGAAUUAUUGGAAGGAUUGAUAUGCUAAUAUGACACCCAUGAAUGUAUUAAAAUGUAUUUAAGGACCUAAGACCUGAUGAAGGUCCUGAUGGAGAGAAGGCUGUAAUGUAUCGGCUAUUUAGAGAUAUUUACCAUGGAAGACAUUUUAUUUCAUUUCUUGACUCAAAUUUCUUUCAACUCUUUUCUGGGAAAAAAAAAAAGUUUGACAUUAGGCUAUCACUUUUUAAGUGUUACAAAAAUUAAGAUUCACAUGUUGCUAAACAACGUUUAAAAAUAUACACAGAAUAAUAUACUUUAUGUGUGAUUCUUAAAUAUUAGCAUUUUAAUAAGAUAUAUCGAGUUAUAAAUCAGUGCUUUUCAUUCACUGGUGUCAUGUGUACUUAUUACUCCCUUGAAUAAGUCAAUGUCCUGGUCGGACCACCCCCAGUCAGAAAAGUCUGGACUUGGCCCUUUACGACAGUGUCUCCUCAGGUUCAUGUUGGGCCAUUAUUGAUGAGUUCAGCACACAGGGGGACGUGUUUUAGGGGUCUGUGGAAUUCCAUUUCAGCGGUGCCAGACUGGUCUAUUAUUAUGAUCAUUAUUAACUGUGUGUUCUUUUCCCUUCUUUCUUCCCCCUGCAGUUGCCGGGUGUCUGCUUUGUGUCCUCCGCUGCUAAAAGCUAAUGUGCUGAAAGGCUGGUUCUUGUCUCCCUGAGCUUAUUGAAAUCAUGUGAAUGCCAUUUGUGCUUAAUCCUUCUGGGUGUGCCAUAAAGAGAAGAGAGUCGGCAGCUCCUGAAGAGAGAUGAGAGGACCUCAGGGGAUUCACUUUGCUUUGCCCCGUCUGCUGAGAAAGAGAGAGAGAGAGAGAGGAGACUUAGACAACUGACAACCUAACCAAAAUACGUCUCAUAAUUUGAUUAGGUUACAAUGACAAUCUUUAUUUAUAGUCGGUCUCAGAUGCGAGAAGGGAGGGUGGAUUUUUUUGUGGCAUCAGAUUCACAUUAACUGGUUUCACGGCUGGCAUCUAAAUAAAAAUAAGUGAUGCUCAUGUAGCUAGAGGCUAAUUGCAGACAGCAGCGUGUCCAUCUGACGCCUGGCCCCAACCGCUACAAACACCCACAUGCCUCAUUAGCUUUGUGAUCACUCAUUUUAUUUAGUGAGGGGUCGCCUCCUCCUCAAAAACCGAGAAAUCAAGUCACUGGAACACCUUCCAUAUGCAUGAGAAUUACAUCAGCGACAGCACUGUUGUCGAGGCUUUUGAAAUAAUAAUGCAGCAAAUGAUAACGCCUCGGGACGCUACAACACCUCAUUACAGCUCAGAGUAGUUCUUGUGAAGGAAAAAAACAGGCUGGAAUGAAUAGGAAACAUGGCGGCGCUUGAACGACAGUGGUAUUUAUAUUCAUCCGUUUACAUCAAAUUGUUGCUUCCCCACAAAGAGCCUGAAACAGCAGCAGGGUUUGAACUCAGGGUUAAUGAAAAAGUCCCUGGCGUCAAGUUACCUGCUCGUCUGCAGGCGAACCCCCGUCUGUCGAAACAAACAUUUCAUUUGUGCGCCACAUGUUUCUCAGACGAGACCCUAGUAAAAGUUGUUCAAUAAAUUUUACCGUCUGUUUUACAGACCUCCCCUUUCCCCCCUGUGUCAUUUUUUUAAUUGAAAGUGGAUUCUAACUCGGCUAUAAACAUCAUUCCACCCAAUCAGAGCUGGUUUAGAUCAAAUGGUUGUUUCAAUGGGCCGCGCGCUUUACAGAUGCCUUCAACCUCGCCUUGUCUCCCAGGCGCUCGCACUGUUAAACACUCUGGCACUCUUUUAAGGCUGGGAGAUGGCUGUCACUGUAUUUUGUCAGCAAAGCAUAAUAUUUCUUCAGGAGUUCUGAACCUGGCACUCAGCGGGGUGGAAAUGAAAAUAAGGCAGUACAUAAACGGAGAGAGUCAGCCGUAAAUCACCUAACACGCACGGGAGGCAGCAGGUAGACACGCUGCUGGCUGUCACAGCGCUCCCCUGGAAAGCAGAUUGGACACCAGCCAUCAUGCUUUAAUCAAACUGCACAUAAUAGACAUGUCCCUGCUCUUUAUGACACACACAUACAGUACGACACACACACUCACACACCAAAGAAAUGAGCUUUCAGACUUUUCCAACUUGUGCUAUUUAAAUGUGGCUUAUGUUUGUUUGUUUGGGUGUCAGAGGUUAUUCUUUUGUGGUUUCCUAAAAGCGAUCUUUGAAGCUUAAUUCAGCGGUUCACACACGCUUUCUUCAAAGGUCGGCUCUCUUUACUGUGAUAUGAAGCUUUUUUUUUUUUUUUUUCUCUGACAUGCCGCAUGUCAAACGAUAACGUUAUUGUUGGCAAGACUCUUUUAUAGCGGUAUAAUUUUAUUCUGACUUUUCCUUUCUUUUUUUAAUUAAACAGUCAAAGUCUCGCAGGGCUGUGGCUUUGCAUUCUGAGUGCGGUUUUGAAAGCUAACAGCAAACAGAUGGGGAAGUAUUCAUAAUGUUAUGAGAGCAGGAUUAGGCAGGCCAUUGAAACAAUAGAGAACCUUAUCAUACCCUGAAUGAUAAAUCGUCCCUGCAUUUGGCUGCAUUCUGGUUAAAAUGUUCUUUUUUUAGUUACAUGACAGAUUGUGUCUCACAAACAUCUCUCAUGUGCACUUUUAUUAUAGAAUCUGCUUCAGCUUAUAAACCAGGAUUCAUGUUCAGGAUCCUCUCUAUUUCCUUCUUAAUGUCACAACAUUAGACGUGUCAAAAAAUUACAAACAGCCUGUUAAAAAAGAGUGACAUCCCCCUUAUAAACUUGAACCAUGUAAUGUGUCAUUUAAGUCAAAAAUAGGAUUUGAAAAAUAAUAGUAACAACAUCCCUGACACCUCCUGAGUUGUUAGACUUCAACAAAUCAAGCAGGGGUUUGACUAAUGAUGCUCUCAUUAUGUGGGGUGUGCGUUCAAAGGCACUCGAAGGUUGUCUACCAAAUGAUUACCGUAUUCAGCUCAAAAGCAGCUCUGAUUGUGUAGAGGCUCUUCCAGCACGAGGACCCUCAGAGUCUCUACAGGUCAAAUGAUCAAAUUUGGCUUUGAGUUGUCCUUUAGAUUCACCAGCUGCCACCAAUUUAAACUGAACCUAUCUGGAUGGAAGAGUUUGACGGUGUAACACAACUAAAACGAGGUUUUUGGAGGUCAAACAACACAAUAAGAUUAAUCGGACUAAUCUGUCUUCCUGGUGAAGCAGCAUGUUCUCGCUUAAAGAAUACAGGGAAGUACUGUUUUCUUUAGCUUUAAACCAUGACUGUAGAGAUAGAAACAGAGCACAUAAACUAGUUAACAAGAGUUUGAGAAUAGAGCUGUCCAGACGGUUAUUAUUAACAACUAAUAUCAGGUUAGUUUAUUAUCAUUUUACAUUUAAUGACUUUUUGAUGUGCAGCAAUCAUUAGCACAUGGUUCACAAUGGGGUAGUAAUGAGUUGCGUUCAUAAAACAGUGCCAAAGUCAUUGUCUGGAGGACAAGUUAAGGUCUGAAUAUUUUCUAAAAACGUCACAGACUUUCAUCAACAUUAGUGUCUGGAUUAAAUUUAUUAAAACCAGCUAAAAUAAACCGUAAAAUUGAAUCCUUGAUUGUCUAACUUCUGUGCCAGUUUUCCAGCCAGUCUCUUAAACAAAGAGACUGACCUGACCUUUGUUCCUGUCAGUAAUGCACAUUACUGAUAGGGACAAAAAAGUUACCUUUUGACAGAUUCAAAAACCAAACUACAACUUAGUUAAAUUAAACUGGGUUUAAAAAUUUAUAAGCUAGCCUUAUGUGACAAAAAUGCUGGGAAACUAAUGCAGAAAAAGGCUCUGCUGCCAGUGUGUCUUCCCUUCUCAGUCUAUUUUAUUGCACUCCUUUUUCUCACCUAAUGUCCCGCCCACAGUACUAUCUGAUUGGGUCUAGACAUCACCUUACUGUGUGAGAGAACUGUACUCUAAGUGUCAGUGGUUACCUGUUCACCCCGUGUAUUCAUCAUUUUUUUAUUUUACUUUCUGCUAAAAGCAUUAAAGCAACAUUUUGUGUUUGAAUUUCAAAUAUUCUGAAGUUUUUCGUAAUUGUAGUCAAUGCAUAUCGUUUCAAUAUAUUGAUUAAAUGUCUCAUGCACAGUAGAGACGGGUUUCUUGUGUACAAACAAUACUAGGUGCGCGUGCAACCAUGGGGCAAAAGCCUGCUUCGGAGUGAACUGAUAUCAAUGAAGAUGCGGUAUUCUUUGCAAGUUCUCCCUGACACAAUUGCAAUAAAAUGUUGUUUCAUUGAAAAAUCACUUAGCCUUUCAUUGCUUCAAAAUCAGAGAAACACUUGCUGAAAUGUCCAUGAAUUUUACUCAAUUUACCAGGUUGUGACGUUGUUUUAGAUGCUUUUAAUAUCAGGAGCAGGGUUGUAAUGUUUGCGGAUUGAUUGUUUCGCUGAUGCUGAAACGCCAAAGAUUUAUCUCCUUGUUUGUGAAACCUAGCUACUGAAGUUCAGUUCAUCUAAAUGCUCCACAGCGCUCAUUUUAACAACUAAUAACAGGUCAGAAUAGCUAUUAGCAACAACUUUAUUACGUAACUAAUGAUUUUAUUAAAUUGAAAUGUCAAUUUACCAGGUUGUGAUGUUGUUUUAGAUGUUUCUGAUAUCAGGAACAGGGUCGUAAUGUUUGUGGAUUGAUUGUUUUGCCGAUUUGUGUAGUUUACAGCACAACAGCUCCUUGUCAUUUUCUUUCUCUGUUGACUCCGCUAGUAAACAAAUGAGAAAUGUCCCGCUUUCUGCCCCCUGGCUGCGCAUGCAUACCUGCGAUGACAUUACACAGAAACCCGUCUAUUGGCCCUGAAACACCAAUAUCAGGUGACCCCCAGUAUUUUGCUGGGCUGGCCUUGUUACUGUUGGUUACACUGCUCGGCAUUGCAAUGAACUCAAAGCACAGGCUCUGUCUGCACCAAUGUGUAUCUCAGAUGUACAACAUAAAUGGGCCUUUAGCAGAAAUAGACAUUGUGUAUGUGUUUUAGACAGUUCCCAGUUUGGUUUGGUGUGGGCAUCACAACUACUUACUUAUACUAAUACAAGAGAUCACGGUUCAGGCUGAAAAAUAGUGGUAACCUUGGAAAACUAAUUAUGUCAAUUACUGCACUAAGACUGACAUUACUUACAUAUGCAUGCUGUGAUUCCACCAUAUGGUUUAAAGUAAAUAAAACAUGUCUUCUUAAAAAAUUCAACAUGUGCUUUUUUUCAGAUGGGAGUUGAUCCCUGUUCUCCUGGAUUUGGACUUGUUUAAACUACCCGUCCUCCAAAAUGACACCACAAAUAAUCUUCGAAGUUCUUCACAUGUUAUCACUGGAUCGAAAUGUUGUUUUAAAGUGGUAACCUCAAGGUAAGUGUCCAGUCAUCUAAUUUUGAUAUAUUAGGCCACUGCACAGGCUACCAAAUCUGCCCAAGCUUACACAUUUGAUGAUUUUGGAGUGUGAAUAAACCGUGUGUAUGUGUAGUUUGUUAAUGAAGAUGUCGUACCACCUGAAAAGUGACAACAGCUCUACAGUGAUGCGUCGGUCCCAGAGGGGAGGGAGACAGAUGCAAGCCGAUUUGAGGGCAGUCACCAGGGAUAGUAAACCAAAACCAAUCGAGUUACGGCUUCAUUACAUAAAGCCAGAGAAGGUGUCUUAAACUUUAUGAAUGAUAACCCAAUAUAUUGAGCAUUAGCAGCACAGAUUGACAUGUGACAGGGGGGGAAGAGUGGCGAAGAAAGGAACAGAUGGUUCACCCUCUCCCUCUGCGUCCCGGCUGUAACACGGUAUAUCUUGUCGAGGGGCGAGUUUUAUUGAUUGAAUUCCUGCCCUCAGACACAGGUCCUAUGGCUACAUGUGUCAGGGCUGCUCCUGACUGUCGGAAACCCAACACCAGAGCACAGGUUGUGCGGCGGGUCGAGGAUUGGCCUUUUAUGAUAGUGGCGCAGCUAGUCCCAUCUGUCAUCUAGAAUAGUCCCUUCCUGUUGUCAGGGUCUUGCAGAAAAGAGCCUCAUUAUCACUUACAAAUGUGAGCAGCAAAAACACGUCCCUAAAUCAUCUUUGUUUGUGUUUUCAUAUUGCAUCUUUCAUCAAAUUAGGCAAAAAGAAAACAAAUUCAAAGCCUCAUUUUGCAGAGGAUGAGGAGGUUAUCUCAGAAUAAAAGAAAAGAGAAGAAAAAAAACUUCGAUGUGAUCAUGUUGUUUGUGUUCGUGUUUUGUUAUCCUGUCAGAAGGGUAAUUGCUGCGGUUGCCAAAGAUUAAGGUCUUGCGAGAAAAACACAAGUAUUGAGUGGACGCAGUUAUGCCGCCAACCACAGUUUAAUCACGGGAGCACAGUAUGACCCUGUGCUCCCCGCAAACAGACCACUUAAUUGCAUACAGAAGGCUGCAGAAAUGUCUCCCCUUCAACAAACAGUCCAUCAUUUGGUGUAAACUAUGAAAUGAUGUUAUAUAAUGAUAACCAUCAAGAGUGAUCCAGUGCACCCAAAGACCUUUCUCAUCAAUUAUCUGUUAUUGGAGCCUCUGUAUCCUGUGUAUUGUGAUAUUCGUUUACGUUUGAUGAAUGCUGCACUCAGCGGGUGUUUCGGUCCCCAGGAUAUCUUUCUCCCACUGAUGUACUUAUUAAUAAUAAAUUGAGCGAGGAAUGUGUGAGCUCUGCCUCCCUCCACUGUGAUUAUAGAGACAAAAGAGUGUUUGAAGUAUCCAUCUUAAUACAAAGACACUUUAUUAGAUAAAACUAACUUGCCCAAGACAAAUAGUGACGCAGAGGCACUGGAGGAACAGCAGUAUUCACGUUCUCUCUCUGUCUCUUUUUCUUCCUGCCAAAUUUUUCAACAAAUGAUUUCUUCUAAACCAAUAAUCGGAGGAGUAAGACCCCCGCUCAGUCAGGUGAGGUGACACCACAGGUAAGGAUGUGGUUUGUGGUGAUCUUUAUCCGUUUUCUGGCUUUGUAAACCACCAGAGUCAUGUGUCAUUCAUUCACAUUACCACAUUUACAACCACCCGCCUCUAAUUUCCCAACCCCCCCUGCUGCUCUUACACUAACAAUACAUAAUCUUCAUGUGUCAGUGUGUCAGACACUCAAAAUGAAAAUACAGAGGGUGGUAUUUAUGCCUUCAUCACACCUCUUGGAUAUGUUUUUUUCUCAGGCUCUAUCAAAGAGCAGCCAGUCACCUCAGCCGUAUAAAUCACCCUCAAGCUGCACUUUGUGAAAACAUGCCGAUUAAGUUUGUGCAGCACAGUUGGCCGUGAAGGCAGUAAAUUUCCCUGGUAACAGAGUUAACAUUGAUUCAGAUAUAAGCACUUGUCCGUGUGUAACAACGAUAACCUUUUAGUAGAUUUGGAAAACAUAUUUGACACCCAUUAAAAUAACGAAUGAUUUCCCUCCUCCCCAGAGGAAGGCUGAGAAGGUGUGUUUAGACAGGAGGGGGGUUAACACGCUGUGACUCUAUGGCAGCCCGGAGUCCAGCUGCAGCCCUGGAUAGAAAGCACAGAGCAAACUGCACAUUAAAUCACGAAUUUGAAAAAUGAUGUUGGUAUUAGACAGCAUUAGGAAGCAAUAAACUGGACGACAUUGAACAAAUACGAACCAAUGUUUUCAUAUAAAACAUAUUAUGUUAACACACAUCUGCUUCUCUGUUUUUGAUUGAUGGAGCCCAAAAAUGAUUUAACAUUUAGUCACCCCAACCCUACAUUUCUUGAUUUUUCCUCUGCGUUUCAUACAACUUGUCUGAAAUAAACUAAAAAUAAAACAUUUCUAUAAAAUUGAUAGCAACCUACAAACAAAGAACAAAUCAAGGACUCAAAGUAUGUGCUGACAACACACAUGAAGCAAGUGUUCAGUAAAAAAAAGCAAAGCAACCUCUUAACAUUAUUUCUUCAAAACCCACAAGUUGCCCCUUGAAAAUUGAGGCCUUGACACUUGUCUAUCACAACAUCUGUGUCUCAGUCAAGGUAAUGAAAAAAUGAUUCUAAUAUUCUUUUGUAUUCACAAACCAAUAACAGCUAGCUUUCUAUGAGCAUGACAUUAAUCUCAUGAAAAGAAAUAAAAUGUUACUUUUAGUUGUCAGCUCAUGCUAGCUCACUUUAGCUAGCAGGUUAGCAUCCUCUCCUUUUGUAGCUAGAAUGAGUCAAAUUACCUUUGUACAGUUUUACAACUAACGGCAGGUCUUUUGACGUUACCAUGUAAUAUCUAUUAGGUCAUGAAGACAAUAACAUACAGAUAGUGUGAUACUUUUUUAAUAUUCUGAGGUAUGAACUAACUCACAGCAGCUAACUAGCUAGCUACCUGUUAGCAUUCACCUCACAAACCUUGUUAGCUUAUGUUUGGAACUAGCUUAUUCGUGACUAACACCAGCUAGUUUUAUCCUGGUGGGCAUUAUACACUCUUUUAGACAUUAAAGGUGGGGUAGGCAGGAUCUGAAAAAGUGCCAGUUUUUGGGUGAAGUCUUUAAUGUAAACUCUACCCCUCCCAACCAGUUCUCCCUUUAGCUCCUCCUCUCCCCUCCCUUUCUGUUCCAGCAAGCCCCGCCCACAAACAGACGCCCCCGCUGGCUCGUAUCGUUUCAGUUAAAUUCAGAUAUAAUGCAGAUAAAUACUUAGAAUAAUUACCAAUGGGGCCCAGUCAACAUUAAAGUAAAAAGCAUUCGUGCUACUGUAGAUGCCAACAGACUACCAGCAAACACAAUGUUUGCAGGACUUCUAAAACUAGGAUAAAGUUACAUACUCCAGGACCCGAGAUGAACAGUUUAGCGGCACUACAACACGCAGCAGGUCCCGUUUGAUGAGAAACACUUCUGUUACAGACACUUGGCUUACUUUGUUAAAGCGGUUUACCUGUCCAGCAGAAAGGUUACAGGGUCCUGAAGUGUCCCCCAUCGUUUAUGUUGACCCGGCUUUUUAGCUCUUGUCCAGUCUACCUUCUUUUUGAGCGCCCGUUAUUCCACUAGAGUCUCCAGUAUUUACUUUGUUUUCUUGCUUGUGUUGGCAGUCAUGGGCAAAGAAGGAUUCAGACAAUUUUCUGUACUUUCUGGUUGGUUUCUACUGUCCGAUAUUGUAGCAUGCUAACUUUGUUUAGUCUCAUGAACGACAUGGGGAGCAGCAUCAGCCCCACAACCAACCAGCUUGGGGAAGGCGGAGAAUGGCUUUGUUUACAGUCAGAAAGAGCGGGCCACUCAAAAAAUUUAAAAUGCUGACUACACAGAUAUGACAGAACACAGCAACUUAAUUAUAUUACCAAAUGUCAUCAAUAACUAAUAGCUAUUGACUGAUAUUAAAAGCUUUUUUGUGUAUACACCACAAAAAAUGAUACAUCUUUAACAGAAUCCUGUCUACCCCACCUUUAAAUCAUUGACAAUAAGGCCUAGCUACAUUUAUGUAGAAUACCACUUUACAAUAAAAUAGGAAAAAAUCCAAUCUUGCCACUUCCGCUCACAAACUUUCUCUCUACAUCAUAAAUAGGGUAAUUUUUUUUUUUUACUUAAAAUACAAAAAUCAAUCAAAUAUAUUUUCAUUUAACAUAUUUUAAAAAGGCUAUUUUUAGCAGGAUUCAAAAUGUGCAGAGAGUUACUCAAGGCUGUUUUUAUACAUGCUGUUUCUACAGUUCUGGUAAUUACCUUUGAAAAAACAUUAAAAACACCCACCCACAGCUUUAAAUUAAACUGUGUCUGCUUAAAUAAACCCCUGAUUAACAGGAUAAAUCACCGGAACAAUUUACACUUCAUGGGUUAAAUUAGAUACACCUGAGUUUCAUGUCUCUACUUGGCAGAGCUUUUAUGUGUUGGGUAUGUACAGACUGUGAAUACUGUGUCGAAGCUGACGUGUUCAAAUGUCUUUAAAUAAUUUCUAAGCAGAGAAAUCAUUGAAACUUUAGCGUCAGAUAGUUUCCAUUUUAAGUGCAUACAUAAGAGAGUAUGUACGCGUGUCCGUUCUUUUAGAGCCGAUUUAUUCAGGAAUGUAUUUUCAUAAUGCCACGUUCAGGUUAGAUUCGACUUCAAUGGGUUUUGACAAGAAAAGCUCAUAGUCUUGAAUUUGUAAAAGUAUCAAAGAACAAAAGAAAGAACAAGUAUGCCUCUCUUAUUUUUUCUCUCCCAAAAAGCAGGAACACAUGUCAGUCGGUUGUGUGUUCUUCCCGAGGUAAAAUAUUUUUCCUAGCAAAAGCACCAAAGUGACAACUCCAUCACUGAAAGUAGUUUGUCCUCUGCAGUUCAGUGAAAAUAUUAUGAGAAGCCAGAAGAAGCAGAAAUAAGAAGGAGGGGGCUGGGAUGAGUGACGGACAGCUUUGACACACCGGAGUACUUAGACAAUUACUAACAGUUUCUGCCAGUCACCACAUCUGACACAACACAAACACGGCGAGGAUAAUUUUACAUUACACUGCCGGGCACGGGUCACUUUAAAGGAACACAGGGAAGCCCGUUUCAGCUUGCAUUUCAAGGCCAAUCAUCUAAAUUGGCCCCACAACACAACCGGCUGCCUGAGACCGGUUCUCUCUCUCCCUCUCUGCCGACCAUACAACUCCCAGAGCAGAUGAUAACCAUGAAAACAAGAGCAGAUCUUUGAAGUGCAGCUGUCAGUCAACAUGCUUCCAGAGUGGGAACUGUGGGGGUAAAAUGGUGUACAGGUGUGGGAGCAGACGCAGUUGGACCCCACCAGGUCAAGCAGAUACAGAGAGGAGGAGGAGGAGGGUGGAGGCUGUUCUGGUGAGAACUAGCCUUGUUGAGAAAAGAGUAGCCCAGAAAUGAAAAAAAACUGAACUUUUUUAGUUAAUUGAAGCUGCAUAUCCACAAAAAUCGUCAGUUGACUUUUUCAGAAAGCUUUGAGUUCACAAGUUGAGUCGGUCUGAUGACGCUUGAUCACAGGGGGCGCCAAAAUCCAACUAUCUAAGAAGCCCUUACAGGAGCUUUGAGAGAACCAGAGUAUAAUGUGAUGAGAAUAUGAUGUGUUGGUUUGACCCCGUCCACAUCAUUGUAUUAUUGAUGUAUCAUCAUUUUAUGCAUUGUUAUACAUUCAUGUUUAUAUAUACCUCUUGAAGUUCUGCUGACAAACUCGGCUGACUAACUGGAUGAAGUGAGGUGGAUAAGUCACAUAUGCUAAUUCUAAUAUUAAGGUUUGGAUGAGCUUAAAAGAAAAUACUGACAUAUUUUCAUCUCUCAUUAAUUCACUGCCUCGCAUCCACCGAUGAAUACAACAUGUCAUAAAAUAACGCACUUCAAAGAGUGUUUGCUUUCCACUGCUAACGGCCCCUCAUUCAGUUUGAGCCUACAUCAAACGUCCAAUUGACAGACAUCCUUGUCAUUUCAUCAUUGGCAAUUCACCAGUGUCCACUUUCUGCUGGGAAACGAUUUCCUUUUAUUUUCAGACAACAGCUUUAAUAACAGGCUGCCAGCCUUCAAAAAGUCGACUUUGAAUUAAUCAGUGCAACAGAAAAACUAUCAUUUUUCUGAGGUACGUUUUUACCUGUUACAAGCAGAUGAGAUGCUCAGUCUAUACUCAAAAAUGGUACCUAUAGUUUUACAAACAUAUGGUGCAAGAUAUAGAUUCAGAAUGAUGGACAUGUGAGGCUGGUGCAUAUUGAGCAGCCUGAAAAUUAAAGAUAUCAAGAGGUCAAGUUGGGUGGUCCUGCAAAUGUGUUCACAUACUGAGCUGUUAGCCUCUAGUUAAUGACUGUUUUAAAAAGAAGAAGAGGGGAAGGGUCUGGAGGAAAAGAAACAAAUGCAGAUGGUAAUGGUUGUCUGACUUCCAGGUAACAUUAUGCCAAAAGUCUGCGUAUUAUGCUACACUGAAAGCCAUACAAACUUGAUGUUGGAGCUAGCUAAGGGGCCUAGACUAGCAACCUGAUGCUACACCCUUUGUUGUUCUAGUAGAUUAAACUAUGUCAGUCUGUGCCUGUUGAUAAUUUUUUUUGGAGAAUAAAUGAAAUUAGUUAAAGGUGAGGUAGGUAGGAUCUGAGGACGUGCCAGUUUUUGGGAGAAAUCUUGAUUGUAAACACUACCCCUCCCAACCAGUUUUCCCCUCAGCUCCUCCUCUCCCCUCCCUCUCUGUUCCAGGAAGCCCCACCCAUAAAACAAACGCUCCUGCUCACUCGUAUCGUUCCAAUUAAAUUCAGAUAUAAUGCAGAUAAAUACUUCAGAUAAUUACAAAUGGAGUCCAGUCAACAUGAAAGUAAAAAGCAUUGGUGCCACUGUAGAUGCCAACAGACUACCAGCAAACACAAUGUUUGCAGGACUUCUACAACUAGGAUAAAGUGUCAUACUCUAGGACCCGAGAUAAACAGUUUAGCAGCGCUACAACACACAGCAGGUCCUAUUUGACAAGAAACACUUCUGUUACACUUGGCUUACUUUAUUAAAGCGGUUUACCUGUCCAGCAGAAAGGUAACAGGGUUUGUAAGAUCCCAAAGCGUCUCCCUACAUUGUUGACCUGGCUUGUCCGGGUGGUCUACCAACUUUUUAAGCGCCCGUUAUUCAGGCAAAGUCUCUGGUAUUUACUUUGUUUUCUUGCUUGUUUUGGCAGUUUUGGCCAAAGGAGGAUUUAGACAAUUUUCUGUAUUUUCUGGUUGGUUUCUACUGUUCGAUAUUGUACCACGCUAACUUUGUUUGAGCUCGUGAACAACACAGGGGAGCAGCGUCUGCCUCACAACCAAUCAGUUUGGGGAAGGCGGGUAAUGGCUUUGUUUACAGUCAGAAAGAGCGGAGCACUCAAAAAAUGUUAAAUGUUGACUACACAGAUAUGACAGAACACAGCGAUAUCAUUAUAUUACCAAAUGUCAUCAAUAACUAAUCGCUAUUGACUGAUAUUAAAAGCUUUUUUGUAUAUACACCACAAAAAAAGAUGCUUCUUUAAUGGAUUCCUGCCUACCCCACCUCUAAGCAAUGCCAGAACUCAGUACACAACAGUAAAUUAAACUGAAGUAUUUUAGCUGAUAAAGCACAUUGGCAGUGAGGGUUCACAGUGGCUAACUGCUACAAAACAAAAGUGAUUUUUUUUUGUGCUUAAAAAAACACACACAAAAAAAAAACAGUAUUGUGUAGGAAUCAUUUUACUGAUAUCAUGAUAAGAUUUAUCAGGCUGUAGAUGCUUUAAUGAUGAAUUUAGUUAUCUGACCCAGGAUAUGUUACUAAAAGUUUUUAAACUAUGUGUUUGUAUGUCUGUAACGUUGUUGAAACCUGCUGCUGCUGUCUUGGCCAGCAGAUUUGUAAUCUCAAGGAGGUGUUCCUGGUUAAAUAGAAUUAAAUAAAUAAAAAGUAGUGUGAUCCAUUUUGAUCAAGCAGUAUUGUCGAACUGUAUUCAUUGAGGAAAGAUUUUCACAUUAGCAGCUUUACCGUAACACAAAGUUACUUAUUUUGUUUAUAAUAAUCAACAGAUGGAGAGGCCUCAUGCUAAAGGCAGCCUUGAGCACUCAUUUAUACUUUACAAAACUUUUUCUACCUGAUUCAGUUCUCUUUGUAUGAAGGUGGUCACUUCAAAAAUAAAAAAUAAAAUACGAGAAUCUGUAAGUGGACACAUUUGCAUACAAAAAUAAUGUAAUUUAUCAAAAACCUAGCAUUAGAAUUGAAUGAAAAAAAAAUAGAUAGGCAGAACUAAAUCAGUGGCACAUUUUUCAGUGUCAUGUUAUUAUUUUGUCUGGGUGUUUUCUCUAAUGUCUGGCACCCAACGCAAAAUCAAAAAAUCACUUUAACAUUUUAUACCGUUUUGUUUUUUUUUACAUUCCCUUGUGAGGAGCGAGUGGUUCCCAAGACAAAGUGACCCCUUUUCAUGACGCAUGUCUUUGACCUUAUUUCACCCUCAUGUGACUUCAAUGGCUCUAAAUUUGGAACAGCUCAAGUCACUUGUCAAACCUGACAAUACUGUCACUUUUGUUCACUCCAGCUUGGCCGUGCAUCCGGGCUAAUUGUUCCCCAGAUGUGAACAUCCACAGCCAUCUAAUCACACUCCAUUGUGAUGUCUGUGUCGGAGUCCAGGUUAAUCUGAACUGAGCGCAGAUUUCAAGAAAAAUCAAAAACAUCCUGAUUGGCUGACAGUCCUGGUUAGCUGUGUGAUUUCAGAGUGACUACGCCAUCUCCAAUGGACCUGGACCUCCUACUGAUGAGUGCUCGAUGGAAUUUUGUUUGAAAGACACUCCUUAGAGAUCUUACUCACAUGCACAGACACACACACAAACACACACACACACAUGCAAACACACAGACUAUCAGAGAGAGAAAAAGAGUCCAAACUCAUAACUGUCAGUGAUGGACAGGUUGAUGCAGCGACUUUUUGAAGUGACAGAAUGGACCAGGUUUCCGCUGCAGACCCCUUCUGAUUGUUUUGCAUUUUCUUCUUCUUGGCUGCGCUUAGAUGUUGGCUGGGAAAUCACAAUAUUUCUAUUGUUGAUAUUUUUACACAGUGUCUGUCUGGAUUGUUUGACUGGGCAAAUUAAUAGGUCUAAUGGUUUUAAUAAUUAGGAAAGCAGUGUUUUGUUUCAACAAGAGCUCUGCCAAACAGCUGAAAGCAGAGGUAAGAAGCAAUUCCCUCUCUGCGUAUACAUGCCAACACAUGAAAGUCAUUUAGCUGCACUUAACUGUCGAAAAACAAUUAGGGCAAAGCAUAACAACAUCUGCAUGCAGCACUUCUGUUACAUGUCUUCUGAAUCCUGCCUCUUGCCAGCAGAGCAAGUAUUGGCAAUCCUCAAAUGCAAGGUACACUUCAUGAAUUUUACAUUAUGCCUGAUCAUUACCAUAACGAUGCUAUCAAAGAUAUUAGGAGCCUUCAACGCUGUUUUCUCCUACACAGGGCGCUCUCUUAGAUCUGUUGUCAAGAAGGUGGGUAUUAUCUACCAUCAUCUAGCAUAUAGCAUGCAUGAGCCCCCACUCUUAAUGAGUGUGUAUGCAUGUCUGGGUGUACAAUAUGUAAAUCCUUGUGUUGAGUGAUCGAGAGGGGGGGGCGGGUGUGACACUGUCUGUGGGUGUGGGUACGUGAGCAAGCGUGUCAUAAAUUCUUAUAAAAGAGGCGGCAUUGUCUCCGCCGCCGUGUUGUCUGAUUUAUCUUCAUAUCAGUAAAUCCUUUGCUUGCUAAUACCAUGUUUCUUCUUCUGCUGUUUUGUCUACCAAAUGUGAGCCGCUUUUCUCUAUAUUUUACAUAGUAAAGAAAUAACUGUAUUUUUAAAAAGAUGUUACUAUAGAUUUGAUCCUACUUUGGUUGUAGGCUGAUCACUAAGUGCCCUCUCAAUGCCUGUGCAAUAAAAAAUAAGCAUAAAAUUAAUUUUGUAGAGGCCACACACUAAAAAACUUUGAGCGUGUGACAUGUUGGUUAGCUUAGAACUCUAUACACUGAAAAAAAAAAUCGAAGAUACAAACAGGCUAACCAUAAAACUAGAAACUGUAUGUUAACAUAAGGUGACCUGAUUUCUGUAAUGAAAUCUGGGGACAUCCUGAAACAUAUUUCUCAAGAGCCAUGACAGACAACAGACAACAUCUCGGUACUUCUUCCUAGCAGCACACGCACUCCAUUAAAAACUGUUGUGCUGGACUGCGCGCAACAUGCUUACUCGCGCCUCCUACCUACUCCGGUACCUUAAUAACCGUUGAUCUUGUCUACAUGCAACAUUUUUUUUUCACAAUCAUGAAACGCUUAAGUCAGGGACAUUUCGGGGAGAGCUUUAGCCAUAAAUCGGGGACGUCUGGUCACCUUAUGUUAACAUCGACAGACUACUCCUGGAUCCUUGUGGAGUCGCAGGAUCAGCAUCACACUUACACCACCUACAAAAACAAACCUUGAACUCAUGUUGAGGUCAGACAACAUGAUUAUAGCUCGAUUCAGGACUUACAGUUUUGGGACCUUUAAACCCAGACUAUAGCUGUGUGUUCUGUAAUGUCGGUGGCAUUGUCCAACGAAAACACGGAGCGCUAUGGGUGCGCAACAAACAACUGAAACGGCAAAGCAAGAAAGGAAUACUACACUUGGUGCUGGGAGAUUAAACCACGAGACACAGGAAACUUGUAUUAUUCCUUCCAAAACUAUAAGAUAUGUUUUGAUAGCAUUUACUCCUCCCGUAUAUUGGCCCAUACAGGACUUCACCAGUAUACAACACUUAGCUAACGCCACUCUUGACUUACUCUGAUUGCUACAGAUAACACGUAGCUUAACUAAUAUCUCUAAACCUUUGUAAUUAAUGUUUUCUUGGAUUUAAAUAAUCAUUACAGAAUUUUUUAAAAAUGUCUUAAAAUGCACGGUAUGUUGGAAACCAUGGAUAGCUGACAUUUAGCUCCGCUCUUUGCUAGCUCCACACUGUUGUUGUUCACUGUCAUUGCUUUGUUAUGUACCUGAAAUCAGAACUUCAUAACAGUCUGAAUCAGCAGUUACCAACAACAGCUAUGAUACUAAACGUUGUGUGGACUACAUUUUGAGAGAAGAAACAAGUCGGUUUAUUGAAUUGUGGUUGAGUAGCCCACUCCCUGUACUGCAAGUAGGCAAUAUCAGAGGCCUUUCAAUACUGUCAGAUUUGCAACGGCUCUAAGGUAAAAUGUAUUUCUGUCUGCUCACAUUUGAAGUGUGUGUAGGCAUAAAACAUUUAAAUUUAAUAUGAGAAGUGGGUGGUUUGACAGACGUCCAAUACGAGGUGGAGUAAUUAGCAUUCUCAUCUUGUGGUCCCAUCUCUCUCCUGCUAUUGUCUCUCCCUCUCUCCAUCAGCCCCUCUCCUCUUCCCUUUUCUUCCUGGGCGAUGUGACGUCCUCUGAAGCAGUAAAAUGAAGCCAGAUUCUGUGUUGUCCUUCCUCUGUCGCAGUGGCUCACAAACAGACUGUAAUUAUUUUCUGGCAGGGACAGGAUCAGUGUGGAGAACAAAGUGCACACAAAACACCCUUGUGACGACCGGAUUGGUUGUACAAAAUAUGCUCUGCUUGCACAAACACACACAGACAGGCACACAUAUGAUUACAAGCGGACAGGCAUGUUUCCACAGACACACAAAAAACAAAUUGGAGACAAACACAGGCGCAGAAAAAAACCCAACUUUUUCCCCUGGUUGUCUUGUUACACUGUGAAAGACAUUGAUUUGCUUAUUAAUGCAACAAAUGUUGUCUGCUUCCUGGCCAUUUUAAAAUAUGAUGUUUACAUGGGAUUUCACAUGUUGUUCCGCCGCUAUUAACAACUGCAGGACAAGAUAUGCCCAUACAGAGUCAUGCAUACGCUGUAUGUAUGCACAGCAACCAGCCAUCUAACAAUCACUCAGCACACUGCGGGUUUCUUCCUCCUAUUUGCUGCCAGCAAAUUGGAAGGUCUCCCAUACAUAUUUUCAUAUGCUGAUGGCCACAUUACUGGUGCAGGCAUCCCGCUGAAGUGAUUUGUGAUGCUCAUUUGAAAGUGAUAGGACGCAGGCAGCCACUGAACUCCUACUCAGCUGUGGCUGGAAUCAGGCUGUCUUUAUUGCUUUACAGCUAGCGCAGUAACCUGGGCACAUUGAUAAUGGGCUGUUGUGCUAACAGGCAGAUAACACAUCCAAUUCAUCAUGGACUUUGCAGGAUGUGUGUAUUGCUUGCUUUUAAGUAACAAAUACAGGACUGAAAUAAAGCCGGCUAUUUGUAAAGAGCCGUCCAUAAACGAACAAUGAAACCAUUAGAUGGUGCCGAGUUCGUUUUAACUACGGGUAACAGGCAUUUAAAAGCAACACACACACAGCUGUUACUGACAAAUGAUGUAGCACAUAAAGUCAUAAGUACUAUGUACAAAGUUGCUCAUUAUUCACUCUGAACUCUUUUUCUUAUCAAACUGUCACACUGUGUGGUUGUUAUACAAUGUGAUUACCUCCCUCUCUCUCUCUCCCCUCACCCCUGUAUCCCCCAUUCUCCAUGUCCCGCUCUCCUCCAUGAUUACCACACCGCCUCGAGCUAGUGAAUUUGAAUUGGGGCCGCCUAUUAUUUUCCCCCCAUGUGAUAGUAAUUAUUUACAAAUUUGUGAGUGUUCAUGUGAAAUACAGGAUGUUCUAUUAGAGGUUAUGUGUACCAGUGGGGGAAGGUGGCAAGGUCUUGAUUCUGAAUAUGCUAUUAGUGCAAUAAGAUUAAAACACGGCCACAGGUAGUUCAGCAGUCAGGCCGGACGAGCCCUUGAGACACAGUUAACCCAAUCAGAUUAAUAUUACAGAUUGUCAUGACCGCCUUUGUUUUCCAUUUGGGAGAGGUUGCAGCUCUCAGGGUUUGGACUUGGUGAAAGUGAUUACCCAGUGAAAACAAUAGGGUAGAAAGGGAGCGUUGCUUUUGGCGCUGCUGUAUUCAAUAACCAGGAGAACAGACCGGAUUCCCGCCCAUUAUAUUUCUUAAUUUGGCGAAUCUUCACGCAAAUUACUCAGGCUGGCCUCAUUUGGGUGGAAGUACAGAUUACAGAGAGAGGAUAUAAUUGCAGGAGACGUGGGGCCGCUCACUUGGAAAGUAGUCAGGUUGAUUGCACAGGAAGUAGUAUUAUUAACCAUGCAAAAGGGAGCUGCUGGUAUAUAGCACAAGUGCUUCUGCAGAAAUAAAACUAUCAAUCUCUGAUGAGGUGAUUUGGAAAAAUGUACUCUUCUCAGAAUACAGCUCGUCAAUAAUACUAUCACUUGAGUGUGCUAUCAUGAUCAGCACACAACUGAGAUUAGUGUUGAAUUACCACCCAAAUGCAGCUUGUGGCACCCAGCAGUUUAGCUCAUGGCCUGAAGCACGCCACAAGGCGUAUACAAACACGCACUCAAAGCUCGCUCAUCCUCUCAGUAUGAAAAACACACAAGGCGCAGGUACCCUGCAGAGACAACAUUUUAGUACAAAAGCCUUUGUUCUCAUCAAAUACUACAGAACGGGACAUUUUACAACAAAACAGUCUGUGGAAAAGAUUUCCUUCUGAGUUAGUCCCACUCUCAAUUUGUUAUUUUUAUCUACCUUGAACCAAAUUAGUUGUAUUAGUUGUACUUGUACCAGUUUUUAAUGUUGACCAAGUUCCUCCAAACUCAGUGUUUCUUAUUGACAGGAGCACCUGUUUAUACAUGUUGAUCAUACGCUUUUUAGCUGUUCAAACUUUUCUGAUGGGUGACGUGUGGAAAAAUGAGCAUUAAGCGAGAACAGGAGACAUUGUAAUCUAGUGGUAGUCAAUAAAAGCCAUUAUGUUUUAGUCAUUGUUUUUGGUUUUAACAUUUUCUGUGUUCAAACUAAUUAAAUCAGUCAAUCAGACAUUGGUAUCAAGGUUGAACUAGUGUUCAAAUCUGUAAUGAUUCACUCUAUGAACAUUUAGACUUGUGCGAUAUCUGGAUUCCUUACCUCAGUUAGAUGAUUUAACUCGGACUCUCCUGCCAGUUCAACGCUGCUGUGUUGUCCCUGCUAACAUGUAACAUAAAGGAUUGAUUCUCACUUCGCAUAAAACAUACUUUCUGUGGCUUUAAUGUAUUUAUUUGUUUUCUUUGACUUCCUCUUAUUUUUUGGGCCGGGCCCCUUAUGUCCUUUGGUCUAAGAAACGCCCCUGUCUCAGCCACUUUUUCAUCUUCAGUGAUUUGUUACUCAUCAUCAAGCUAGCUCUUCAUCAACAGGCAGCUUGAAAAGUUAAUAAAAUUAAGAAAGAAGUAUAAAGGCAGCAAGGAUUAGAGUGUACUUAUUGCAGACAAGUGACAAAUCAAACACUGCACCCCUCCACUAACUCACCGGCAAUUUCCACCGCAUCCAAAAUGGCGACGAAAAGGCUGCAUCCACCGAUUGUAGCUGAUCGUAACCAUUUAAGUUAAUGUGUCAAUUUCCACCGGCUUCGUUCUAUUCCGCUGCGGAUUGCCGGACUCCACAGCUGAUUGCAUGAGUUCCUUUUUUUCCGGACACCGGAGCAUGCUUGAUAAAUUCAGCACAGAUAAACCUGUGCUGGAAAGGAAGUCACGCACAGACAGAAAAUAAAACAUCCGACUUCUUUUCAAAAUAAAACACUCUGUGUAUUUCACACCAUGCAAACGGGCGGAGAUGAACAAGUGCAAGGUUUUCAGACAGCAUUUCACCCCAAUGACACCAUGAAUGAGGAGAUGCUGAUUUUUUAAGUCUUGAAGUAGAUUUCCUCCUCUGGAAGGACACAGUCUACUGCUUAAAUGGUUAGCCUAUGUAGCUAAAGACAACUUGGUUUUCACGUGAUUGCACGUGAAUCCACGGGAGCCAUUCGGAUGCGGUGGAAAUCCCAGGUCAGCUUGCUACAGGAAUAAAGUGCUCGUAUUUUAGAUGACAUAUUAGAUGCACAGUAAAAAAAAAACAAUGGAUUUUCAAUGCCAAAGUGUCCACCUUAGAGUUGUCUGCCUCUUCGCCUCUUACCAGGUAACUGAGUUAGGUAGCCAAGAUUGAGUCAGCGUUUUCAGACUACGAUUGCCUUUUUCUGGGCUUCAAAACUCCACUUCAGUAGCUGCUGAGUAAUGUUACCAUGUUUUACUCGACUAUGAUCUGAAGCAGGCUCCUUGACACUUGGACAAAUAAACAGCCUUUGAAAAUCAAAAAGCCCUAAAAAAAAAGGGGGGGAAAAAAAACACUUUUUACCCAAACAGAAGUUGUGAUUUCAUGCAGCGUACCCUCCUCUACUUUAACACCAUCUCUUUUACCGUCUGUGUUUCUCUGGUGUAUGUGUGCUGUGGCCAACACGCUGAAGGGUGUAGAAAGGGCCUACGUGAAGUCGAUUCAAUAUCAAACGUACUACACCUUGAAACAAAACAAAAAAGCACAGUGUUAUUGCCUGAAAACAUCCAAUAAUAGCCAAUUAGAUCAUCAAAAAGCCUAUUCCCCGCAAUACACCCUCGCACAAAUACACACAGCCAGGGCUCAGGGAAAAAAGGCAAAAGGAACCCUAGGGCUGUUAAACUUUAAAGCUCCUGCUUCAAAAACUACAUAAAAUAAAUGAUCUGACUAAAACCAUAACCCUGGGAGACCUCGCUCACUGCCUGAUAAUUGUCUUCUUUCAUGACACCAUCCAUCCAGAACAUUAGGCCCUGUGUUCUCAGGCCUGCUGGGUGCUGUUGCAAAUGAGGGAGGGGGGGGGGCUUCAGAAAGGCUGACCUCCACAGGGACCUCUACAGCCCCCUGCUUAUCGGGCCGUAGGGAUCUGAGCCUACAUAAACAAUUUCAAAGACAAGGCUAGAUUGCUGCAAACAGCCCAGUUACAAUGUUCGGGCCGGGAAAACACACAAAUUCUACCCAUACAUGAUUCAUCCGCACAUAAACACACAGACAAAUGCACACACACACGCUGGCUUUGGUUCUUACUCUUUUGGUUCCUCACUCUGUCUUUCUUUGAGGCAAUUGCUGCUUUCAAACAGGAUCCAUAAAAGAUGAAACAACCUUUGCACUCGUCUCCCUCUGAAGUUUAGAGACAUACCUGCAGCCAGUGUUAUUAGCUGCUGCUUGUAUUGAUAUGCACCAUGCCCAGUGCAGCGUGUUGGCGGGUGAAAACCACUAUGUGUUUCUCCCACGCCUCUUCCCUUUGGACAAACAUGCGCACUCUGGCCUCCAACCGCAGGAUUGUGUGGGAUAUGUACAUCUAAUUGGGUCUCAGAAUAACAGCGGAGAGGAGGAAGGGUUCAUCAAGUUCUAAAUCCAAGCUAAGCAGUCAAAGAAUUCAAAGAAACACACGUUUGAUUGAAUACACGUACAUAACAGAGAAGUGUUUGCAUCCACAGAGGGAUUUUAUAGAUAAAUAUAUACUCUGGAGUCCCUGUAUGAUGAUAAAUUCAAUCCAAACUGAUAUUCCACUGAGCAUUCAUCACAACAAGCACAACUCAAUUUGAGCAUGAGCCAAUUUCCUGCCUCCCAUUCAGAGCAAUGUGCUGUGGGGUUGUGCUAUUCAAAUCACAAUUGAAUUCAUCUUUCACAGCUUCAUCUAAUAGAGGCUUCUCUAGUCAAAUCCAACCCUGUUAAUUCGCUCAUCAAUACAGCAUAAGCACGCCUGCAGGGACAGACAGUGCAGUAACUUAACAGGGCCGAUUCUUUUUCAUCAGCGUGUCCCACAUUAUGUACCUGCGACGUUUAUUUGCUGUGCGGAUAGAAACAGUCAUCAAGCACAGCCAGGCAAAAAUAAAACACUCUCAGUUCUCCUUCUGAGGCCGAUUAUGCACCACAUUCAUUUUUGUUAGUGUGUCAGUGUGUGUGCGUGUCUGUGAGAGAGUGUCAUCCCUGCGGGUUUGCAGGCGUCAAUAACACUCUAUAAAUUCCUCCAACAUGCCCAUAAUAACUCACGAUAGGGUUCUCUGCCCUUUACUUCAAAGAUGUAUUUUUGUAUGUGAUUGCCGUCAGGAAGCAGUAAUAUCCAUGAGGCGUAGCUGCAGAAGUGAACAUCCUAAUGAUCUUGUUUAUUAGGCAAGUGAAUCUGUCACUGCAAAAUAAUAUGAUGCUUUACUCACAAGCGUCCUGUAAAUAAGGGUAAUUAGGUACUCUGUUCUCUUCAAAGCAAACAGCAGCCUUGCUGGAUUUACUGAUGUAUCUUUCACUGGCGGGUAAUCAUCACGGCAGAGUCUGGGAUCCGGGUGUCCGUGUAAAUGCCUGUAAACACCUGAGUAAACAAGAUUUAUAAAAGAGGACAGCUGGUGUGGUUUUUAUUCUCCACUGUGUCUCUACAUGUCGUUUAAUUAACUGAUUUAGAGGUACUUCUUUCAAAUAUGAGGUGCUUUUUAAAAAUGUACAACAGAAUAAGUGUUAUGUGAUUGACUAAACAAUUACAGUACGAUGUGGGAUGUAAGUAGUGCUACAGUAGACAAGACAACUGGGGAUUGGGGGGAUUUGUCCCUCUGUAUAUGACCGGGUACAGAGACCGGGUGGCCUGACUGCUGUUUGGUCUGCCAUGAGAGGUCAGAGUAAGCAGCAAGAAUGAAAGGGCAUCUGAAAGAAAUUCUUUAAGUUGGUUUAGUUGCAGUCUGCAAAAUAUAACAUUAUUGCAUCCCUCGCAAUGCGUAUAAAGCACCUGUCCUCUCAACUGAAAUUUGGUAUAAUUGCAGGGACAAUGGAAAGUAAGAAAAGGAAAGUUGGAGUGGAGAAAGACAUGAAUAGAAAGAGGAUAGCUCUUGUCAAAGCCAAUAUGAAAUAUAACAAAAUAGAUGACAGUAUUUGCCAGCUGAACUUAGCACAUAUCCGCCACGCUGUCGAUUAUCAAGGUUAAUUUUCCUAAAACUUUUAAGGCAGGGGUAGUCUCUUGAAGUUUCAACAGGUUUUUAACAUUAACGUAUAUUUUGUAAUUCGAUCUGAAAUAAAAGCUACAGGCGUGAAAGCAGCAACAGUUUCUAGGCUAUCUUUUUAUACUUAAACUACCUUUUAAGUGUUCGGUGUUGAGAUGCAGUUGUAGUAUGUAUUUUCUAUCAUUUCUUCAAAGUUACAGAUCAGAUUUAUUUUUAUAUUUAGAUCUUAAACCUUUUCGGCUAACAAAACAUAGAUACAUUACAUAUGAAAUGCGAAGGAAGCGGGUCGUAACAUAGCCCAAAUAGUUCAUUGUAACGUAAACACUGCCUCUGAUUGGGCAAUUAGCCAGGCACUGUUUGGGAAUAUAACCAAUCAGAGUCUAAGGGAGGACUGACCACUCCUGGUCAUCUCUUGGAUCCAAUGAGUUUCGGUUUCUGUCUCAAAUGAUCUUGGGUCUUUCAGUAGUAGUGAUAGUCAUGGUGGUGGGUCCUGAGACCAGACUAGAAGAGUCUCUAAUCUACAAAGCAGAGAGUGCUUUAGAGUGUUACUGUCUGUGAUUGAUAGGACGCUUCCACUGCCUCCUUACUGUACAACCUGAAAACAGAUGAAACAAAGUGCCAACCCUUUGUCCAUGUCUGGCUUUGACUGAAUAACAAAAUGGUGCAAUUUCCCAUGUAUGUAUUCAACUUAAGUACAUUUUUGUGACAAGGGGAACUCUCCUCGGUUAUCUUCUACUUUCUCCUGCUGAGGAAACAUUUCUGUGAAACAUUCCUCGAUCUAUGUUUUCUAGAGUUGCAUGCAUGUUGAACCUUUUGAACCAGUUUCUGUGUUUAAGGUUGAAAUGGCAGAAGAGUCAGAGAACUUUUUUUUCCCUUCGUAUCUUGUCUUUGACUUUUACAUCUUUCAAAGUCCUGAAAGUCCCGACAUUGAAGGAUAAAGCAGAACAUUUUCAGAGCAUUUAAGCCUCCGACAUUAAGUCAACUUGGGUCAUCAAUUCUGAAGUUAAGCAUGUUUACUGGAACUUUCUCACUCUAUCGAUCCAGAGCCAAAAGGGAAGUCUGCUUUCAGUUUAGUUAGAUCAAAUGUUUGUCCAAUAGAGUUGUGGAGGCCACGGGUUUUCCAAAGAGCAACAGAGAGGCUUGGUCUUGGUUUGUCUUUGAGAAGUGUCUUCCAACAAACCAUUUGACCCUGCAGAGGACGGCCACAGAGCAUCCAAACCCAACCGUUUUGUACACGUUAUAACUCAUUUAGAAAACAUAAAUAAAUGACAAAGCAUUUGUUACAGCUCAUAAAUCUUAAUGAAGGUGAUGGAUAACAAAGUGACUCCUAAAUUAACUAUAUUCAAUGUUUGCAAAGAGAUUCUGUUUACAAUUCGUGGCAGAUUUCCACCAUAUAAACACAAUACAAAAGCCUCCUGUGAAAAAAACUGAACAAGCUGAGGGUUUUGGACUGUGGCAUUGCCCAAUUGACAGGGAAAGCAUCCAUCUGUCCACAUGCAGCCUCAGUCUAUUUAUAAGGCUGCCAUUGACUGACAACUGCUCCUUGGGCGAACUAUGAAAGACCAGCGCAGGCUGCGAGGCUGCAUGUGUAGCUAUUGAUUAGCAGUCAGGAGAGUAUAAAACAUCUGGGAAACAGCGAGAUGAGGAGCAAUCAGGAAAGCUAGCUUUCCCUCAGGCCAUUUAUAGACCCAUUUGCCUUUAUCGCAAGAAAUAUUCGCCUCUUCUUCACCUUCAGGGGGAACUAUAAGUAACCCAUUGUGCAGAGAAGAUCUUCUGGAAGUCUGGGUGCACCCCUGGAGGCAUUGCUCCUCUUAGCGAGUAAAAUCCUUCCAGGGUCAAAGGUCAGAUGUGUGUAUAUGACAUGUUGUUAUUUUACAUGGCUGGAGAUGACCCCAGUGGGCCGUCAUGGGGAUUGUUGAGUUUUCCUGAAUGCAUUUUGUCCCAUUUAUAUUCAUAUUUAUCCCGUAACGCUACACUGCGCUCGGUAUUAGACUGAAGAUAAGACUGUAACGCUGAAUUAAAGGCUGUGAUUCAUCUGGAAAGUCAAGAGGUCACACAGAAACAUGUCAUAUACAUGCAGCAUGAUACACAUACAUAUGCAUACACAUCUGAAUUAAAAUGUAUUGAUUUUUGAUUGGAAGUGUUUAACUUUUAAUUAUGCUAGAUCAUUCCAGUGUGCAUAUUCAGCCAAAGAUCAUUCCACGGAUCAUUUUGUAAUUUUGUGCAAUCAACACAAUUGUGUUGUCAGAUUUGUGGAGAUUGAUCCAAAUCUGCAUAAAAUCAUUAUGUAACAUCAAACCAUUUACUUUAAUUCUGUGCCCAUGUGUUUGCUAUUAAGAGGAAAAAUAUGCGUUAUUCUUGGAUUAUUCUGUUUCUAAACCUGCAGCCCUCAUGUCUCACGCCUUAGCUGUGCUCAUGUUGGUGCAGGACUGGACAGUGCAGUUGCAGUUUCUUAUUUUGAGUGAUUUUACUCCACUCUGCUCUGGACCUCGCCUAAAUAAUUUGAUACACAUUGUGUUUGCUUUUUGUUGCAUAACUACUCAAUCUUGGUUCACAGUGAUGUACCUCCACUGAACCGUUUCAGACAAACAAAACAGAGGAGGGUUCUUUCUUGUACUUUUUCAGAGAAGGAAUGUUCACCAAAUGAUCUAUUUGUGAGGGUGGGGUCAGGGUUCACACUUUGCUUUUUCAAAAACAAAUGGGAAAUAUUUUCCCUAAAAGAUUUGGAUUUCGCACAUCCUGAAGAUACACUAAAGUAAAGAAUUGAAGCACCACGUUGGGGAAUAUAGAGGGUGACUGAUAGUAUCAUGUAGGUCAUAUUAUGGUCAAACAAAAACUAAGUAUAAAUCCAUUAAUCUCUUGAGGCUCUUUAUUUCACUUUCAGUUGUCCUUAUUUUGAAGCCAGUCAUUGUACUCUUUACAGUCAGCACUUGUAGUUCAUAAAGACACAAAUAAUAAAUAAUGACAGUAAACCAAAUUUAAAAAGCAACAUGUUUCCAAUCACAUAAGAAAACUCUUGAGUGAUAAAAAUAAACACUGUAUUCUUUUCCUGUUUUGCACAUAAAUCAUUGCAAAUUGUAAUUGCAUGACACAUUAGCAUAAAUGUAAUUUCAUAUUUAAAUUUGCAAAUAUUGUUAUUGCUGAUGGAAAUGUUCUUAUAUUCUUUCGUUCAUGUAAAUUUGCACAUGAAAACUGAACAUACUUUUUCUUCCAUUAGAUUUUGCAUAAUUACUCUUUUGUGCACCCACACUAAGAGCAGAGUGAUCGCACCGAGAAAGUGAUACACAAAUUUUGAAAGAACCAUUAACACAAAUGCAAGUGCAUGCUGUGUGUUAUUUGCAAAUAUCAUUAUUACACAUGAGCACUCAUUGCUGCACAUGGACUCUCAUACAUUAUUGCAAACAUUUUCUCACAUGAGUUUUGUACACAUAUAUUGUAUUAUUUCACAAAGCAUUACCGUACCUAUCAAAAAGUCUGUUGCAGCUCCUGUCUCUACUUGCAGAGUCCUUUGAAUCAAUAAAGUAAAACCAGUCUGCAUCAUGUGUAUUUAAAAAAAAAAACAGUGAAUUGGUUGCAGUGAUAAAGUGGUCAGUGAAUAUUGUAUUACUUGAAAAUAGGAAACGUCCAUCUCUGCCCUAAGUCAAUAUUUAAGUGCUCUUUAGCCAUUUUGGCACAUGUUGAUGUUCAUUGCAGCUGAGCGUUGGUUAAACAUUAUUUUACUUGCUGCUAUUCGCUCACAAGGUCACAGUUUGUAAGGCGAUACAGUUAAUUCUGUCAGGGAGGCCCUCUGCACUGAUAAUAUUUAUCCAACUUUGAAUGAAUAACUGGUUAUUGACAAAGCACUCUGGAUUUCAGCAAUUUCUGUCAGAGAGAAAAUGACUGGAAAGUUUUAGAACAAAAAAAAAAACAAUCAGUUUGAGUCUUAAAGCUACAGCUAUAGAUCCAAAUCAGGCUCAAGUGCUGUCCUGAACUCUUCACUGAUUUUUUAUUACUGCACACAGAGAGCUGCUGACCAUAUUUUAUGUAAAUCACAUUUCCAACAACCAAAAUGUUCCCUGAGGACAAAAAUCUGAAUUCACUCAGUCAGGUCCGACCUUUUGGCCUGGAAAGUUUGGGUUCAGACCAGAGCCUUAAAUUGAAUCUGCGCACCCACACUGAAAUCUCUGUGGAUUUGCAUCGGAGUACUUGUGCUAACCAUGUCCAUGAUUGAGGAAAAUAGAAGAAGAAAUUUUGUAAACCCCCUUCUAAAGUUUUGCUUUGAGUUUGUUUCAUUAAACAGGUAACAAAAAUUGAGCCAACUCUCUCUUGAUCAUGUGAUCUCUGCAAAAACUUGGCAUGAAGCUGUCCUUUAGUUUCCCACACACAUCCUCAGUGCUUGGAUAGUUUUGAUCACACACAAAAAAGCAUUUACUGCACUGUAUCUGCAUUUUUCCUGAUAAUUACUAAGAUAUUUAAACCAGAAGUUGUUUUGUCCUUUCACUCUAGAAAUGACAGACAACUGUUCUUCCUGAAGUGUUCCCUGUUUGCAGGCUGAGCGGUGCAGAGCACAUCUCCGUGGUGAUACCUCAAACAUGCUUUCCAGCACAAAUUGCCGGGCUGUUUGCUUUUUCAUUAACAUUCACCCUCUGUCUGACUCUGUACAGCUCCUUCUUCCAAAUUCCAAAUUCUCCUCCCAGAGACCUGCAGAGGACGCACGUCAGCACAGGUUUGUCUCUUUCUCUGCUCACCGAGAUGAGGUGCAUUAUGGGGAGGUUUGCCGUUAAACAAGUGUUGGAAAGAGAAAAAACCCUGUGGUUCUGGUACUGGCUUCAUAUUGAUAAUCCGUUUCCCCUAUAAAACUAAUCACAGCUUGGAUGAGCUGCCAAAAUUUUACAAGUGAACUGAAAGCUACAAUAGUUUCAUGGUUAUAUUGUGGCUGUACAAAGAGACGGACCUAAAUGUGCAAAGUUCAACAUCUUAAGUCCGACAUGUGGUUAGAUUUAGGCAACAAAAGCCCUUUGGUUUUAGGUUUAGAGGGAAAAAGUGUUUUUGUUCAAUGCAAAUACGGUUAAGACGUCCUCUUUGUGCCACAGUAAUACCAAUCUUACCAAACGUAGGGUCUUAAGAACUUUGUUUCGAUGUUCCUCUACAAAAAGACAGGCAACGUAGGAGUUUUAUACUAGUUAGGAAACAGACUGAAUCUCAUUCUGAUGCCUCUUUCUGACCUUGGAAAACAAACUAGACCGUUAGCAAUAAGGCUGAUGAUUUCUCUGUUGUCAUUUUUACAGACCAGCAAAAAAUGUCUAAUCGUUGCAGUCCUCUGUGUAUACCUAAAAUCUCACCUGCAUGUGCGUCUUUGGUUGUAAAACAGAUGUUUGAAUAUCUGUGCUUUUUUCUAGAUAGUAUAUGUUUAUUUCUUUGGACACAGGUCUUCCCCUCAAAGAAAUCCUGAUAAUCCAGGCUGCAAAUAUGUUUUCCACAAACUACACCAUCUGUUGCGUAUUAGUUAAUUUGUUUGCAGAGUUGACAGUCAAAGAUUUCUGAGUAUCUUGAGACUAAAUUAAGCAAAGAGGAGAGAAUAAUAUGACAACAGAAAGUCAUAAAAUCUUCUGAGGACAUAAUAAGAUUCGUAUUUUGAUGAAUCAUCGGCCUUGGCAGCAGAAAUCUGAAACAUCCUCGUUGCAGAUGUUGCAGUCUCAACUCAUUUUAUUGAAAUAACGCUAACUUUAUGAGCAUGUGCAGAUAAAACGCUUCAUAAAAAUUCAGUCGAAAAUAUUUUUUUUACUUCAGAAAGAAUGGAAGAAAUUAUGUGACAGCGUUAGCCGCAGCUAGACCAGGAAAUUGUGCCUAGAAAGAGCGAGUGUGGUUGUUUUCUCCUUUAUGCGAACAUGCUGUUGACAAAAUCGGUAUUCCCGCCCCUUCUUGAUUCUGAUUGGUUGAUGAUCACACAUAACACUGAUGGCUGCUGAGGUGUUCCAAGAGCUGAACUAUUUCUGACAAAAAGACAGAAAUAGUUCAGUCUAGAUGGAGACCAACUAUCAAGGCUGAUAUUGGCAAAUAAUUGAUUAUCUGUAUCAGCAUUUCUUCUUACAUGAAACUAGUGAAUUAAAAAAGUGCGUUACUUUGGCUCUAAUACCCGUGUGUGUCUCUCUCUGGGUCUGUUUUCUUGCACCACUUUGUCCCAUCCAGUGCCCCGCCCACUACACUAUCUGAUUGGCUACCUGUAUGUGAAUUUGGAUAUAAUGUAGAACCUUUCAGUUUGGUUAAAUAUUAAAGAAUAAAAGUAUUCCAGAAAAAGUCAGAGUUUGAAAGUUUUUAGUAUUUUACUAUAAAUUCAUAUCAGUUUCAAAUAUUGGUUAUUAGAUCUACAAAUAUUCAGUAUUGGUAUCAGCCUUGAAAAACCAGUAUUGGUGGACUGUUUGGCAUCAUCAGUCUUUUGAGUUUUACUUUUACAUGAGGAAACUGAGGGUAGAUGGCAUAUUAUCUUAAACCCCCACUUGGAGCCUGCAGGUGGAUGCUUGGGUGGUGGUGGGGCUGAAAGUUUGAGUACACAGCAAUGGUGGGAGAAAAGAGGGAAAUCUUGCAGCUUGAAAAGACCGCCGAAUAAAGAGGAUGUAUUUGUCAUGUAACUGUGGAAACAGUCAAGUGUGGAAUCAGAGCAGCUUGAGCUCACAGGCCAUUCAGAUUUCAAGAAGGCCCCCCGCCCCCCUUCUGGACACACCCUUAUCACACAGACACAUCCUUGGUCCUGAGUCAGUACAGACAUCACUCAACAAGGUGCAAAGUCUCUUCAAAAAUAUUGCAGAGCUAAUUCUCUGUCAGGCAGAUGUGUCUUUUUAUCCCUGAGCCACAUCAAAACAAAAUUCCUCUGAGUGAUCACCGAGGAGAGCGCUGAGAACGAGGACUCUUUGGUGACAUUUGCUCCAUAUUAGUUCAGAUAAGCAUAAAACCGCUCUGGGUGACUGUGUGUGACGGACAGAAUAAAGCUGCAAUGUUCUGAUGAUGAAGAUGAUGAUGAGAUUAAAGAGACAUCUGUCCAGUUCUGGUUGGGAAAUCCAUCAUAAUAUAAUGUUACUUUGGGGCACUUGUAUCACUGCAGACCACCUGCAAGCGUGUAUUUCAGGUGGAUUCUGCUGUGUUAAAGUUGUCUGUCUGCUGGAACGGUUUGCAAACACUAUGUGCUGACAUCUGUUUCAAUUUCUUGACAUAGUUAUAUUUGCCUUUUCAUUUAGACGACUAUCGGUGUAAAAAUGAACCCAAACUGUAUCAACCAUGUAGCAGGGUGCACGGAGAUGCCUGCAGCUCAGAUACACAAGAACUAAAACUGCUUUUUGCCUCAGAUUAUUGAUCACAUUAAUAUGCAAUGAUUAUUUACUCAGGGUGAAUUUGUUGUCUUAAUAGCGGUUUGAAGCCGUGUAAUUAAAAAACGCUUUGAAGAAGACUCCGGUAAAGAGAUUUGACGUUUUAAGGAACAGAUUUUUUGAAAACAGCUCUAAGUGAAGUGUUUGUUACUCCACACUUCAAUGGAGGACAUUUCACAUUGAAUUACGGUUUUAAGCAGCUGCUGGAUGUUUAUUUGUUCCAUAUUCACCAUGUUGUCACAGAGAAAAGAAUAAAGACAAUGAUGCAUCAUUUAUCAGGGAGUUUGUAUUUUCUAUAAAAGCGCGCAGUCUUGAGAUGAAGUCAUGUGACAGCAGACUUCUCAGAAACUUGGGGCAGUUCAAAGAGUGUUUGUGAACAUGAGCAGUGACAAUAAAAGGAAAGACUCUGAUGUCUAAUGUCAUCACAUUGUCUGAAGCACGUCCUUGAAUCCGCGUUAAAGAGAGACUUAGUAUGCUGAUCUGUAUUUCAAUACACAGAGAUAACUUUACAGUGUUGGAAGCCCUUACUAACCAUACACAAAUGUUCAAACAUGAGACACACAGAUGGUGGUGAAAUCCCCUCUUUCUCUGACCAGCUUGUUUUAAUAACUAAACAGGACUUGGACAGAACCCGACAUCAGGCCAAGAGUGUCCUGAAAAAUCACCCAUAAGUGUUUUUUUGGAAGAGAGUCACACCUUCUUUCUCUUCCCAAAGACAAAGUUUUUAAUUUUACUGAACAACAGCCACAACAUUGCUGUUUGUGUACGUCACCUUACUGACGACUCCCUUUGAUGCCAGAAGAGGCUGGAUUAGCAUCUUAACGGUGACAUCUAUAAAGACCUGCCUUAAAGGGAUAUUCCGGCGUAAAGUUAAUUUAGAGUCAAACACACCAUAACACCGAGUUAGAUACUCCCCCAAGAGAUGAAUGUUGCUAACCGCUUGCUUUUCUAGUUAUACCAACUUUGGUAACGACCACACAAUAGCACAAUAGCACAACUGUUAGAAUAAUGUGCAUAAAUGUAUAUAGAAGUUAUCAUUAUUCCUCAUAUUCUUAUGUAAGAGUUUACUACAAGUAUAAACUGUUUUGACCUCUUGUUACACAUCAUAUAAGAGUGUUUUCUAACUUCUCUCUCCAAUAGCUUAAUUACACAGCACAUGAAUGUUUCUUAACUUCUCUGUGAACUCGUUUCUCCUAUCAGCAGGUGUGUGUGUGUGUGGGUGAUGUAUCCUCCACUGUGAAUCGUGGGAAGUUUUGAGGAGGAUACGCUCUUAUCAGAAGGAGCUCGUUAGAUGCAACAAUUUGCCUUGACCUUCACAUAUUCACAGUUGUUCAUUAUUAUGUUUUAUGAGAGUGCUUACGUUGCUGCACAUAUUUUUCCCCCACCCUUUAGAAACAUUGUGUAACCAGGGACAACUCUAAAUAAAGAGACUGGGCGGAAAUACCUUUCAGAGUGGUUGCGAGAUGGUACCUGAUGCUAUCUCUGUCCAUUCUCCUCGAGUAUAUACCAUUGUCUUUCUCUUCUUUAUAUGUUAUCAGGUAAAUGUUGCAGGUUUAGACCCAACAACAACACAGCGGUCUGAGGAGCCACACACAAACCUCAGCCAAAACGCCACUCUAUAGCCACAAAUAAUGCUCAGAACAGCACCUAACUUCAUCAACAGUACAUAUAGGGUCCCAGCCAUGGCACUAGCCACCAAACAUCGUUUUAACUUUCCCUUAUUUCUUUAGCAAAGAGACUAAACACAACUCACCUACUGUCUUCCAGCAGCCGCUUGUUUGUAGCAAGACCUCUGGGUGAGUUCAUUACGGACUACAGCGGGGGGACGCAGCUCAAGGAGGAACAUUUAUGAUCAUUACUUUAUCAUUUAAAGUAAUAAUCAUCAUAUUAAUCGUUUUUCUCUGCAGACGCGGUAGUUCUUCUGCCUUAGCAUCUCAGUCUGAUUGCAUUUCCAUAAAGAAAUGGAACCGUGUGUUUGACCCUAAAUUAACUUUAUGCUGGAAUAUCCCUUUAAAGGCUCAGAGCCACAAUCUAGAAGUAAAAUCAGGAUGUUUUGUCCGCACGUGAUGCAAAAGAGUUUUUUGUGCAGUUAAGUAUUCAGUCAACACUGAGGCAUGAUAAAAGGCAAGUUUUAGCGUCUUAUAUGUGUGAGUGAUACGUUCGACGUACUUCUCACUUUUAUUCACUUAUCGGCAAAAGUUGAAAAUUCUUAACUCCAUCGAUUCACUCACAAAUCAUCAUGGAGACAUAUGUCAAGAACUAAUUAGUGGAGGUUAAUUUAUCUGUAAAAUGGAGGACAAACUAACUGAAUUUAACUAUGUUCGACUAUAAUAACGUUUAAGAAAACCCUUCUUCCUCUGCAUAAAUUAAAAUCUUCCGGGGGUCACAUGGCAUGUACGGCACAAGUUAUUCAUGCAAAUUCAACAAGUUAACACUCCCCCUUGCAGGAGAUUAAAGUUAAUCUCUUACUCUUAUUGUUAAACUUGCUCACAAUUUAAAUAGCACAUCAUCAGCUACACUACAUUACAAUAAAGAAAGGGCAGCAUAUCAAGAACACACACAUUUAUUUAUCUCAGUGAAUUUGAUCUUUUGUUUCUGUUUAAACUAAGCGUAAAGUUGACUUUACCACUCCUACACAUCUUCUAUCUGUUCCUGUUCCUGACUCUUUAUCCUUCCUUUUAAUACAGAGAGAGGAAGAGGGAAAGCAACAGAAAGAGAGGGGGAAAAAAAGAGCAGAACCAGGAAGUGCUCGGGUCAGAAAUCCUCUGAGCCCACUGGAUGGAGCUGCAACGACACUCGACAGCAGCAGCAGCAGAACCCACUGACGCCAGAACUGAGCAGAAAAUUAAAUCACAGACCAUAAUAUUCAGGUCAAACAUGACCCCAACUCUGUAGAUAUCACAUAUCUUUUACUACAUCUGUCAUUAAAGUCACUGCAGCUUUAGUAAACGAGGACUGAAUCAUGCAUUUAUGUGAAAAAUAAGUGUGUGACUGGAAUUGAUUACAUCAAAAUAAACUUCAAUUACUCCUAAAUUUACGUUUUAUGUUUAUUCUGAGGCAAUGUUUUCAGAUGGAGCUGAUAAAUUAAGUAAUAGCCCCACAUUUGGGGCACAUUACACAGCAAAUAAGACAUAAAAUAUUGUGUUUUUACGAGAUAACUUACCCAGAUCUUAAAUAAACUUCUAAUGAUAGAAACAUAAACGGCUGAACGGAAUGUGAACUUAACGCUCUGCUUUCUUUUCCCAAUUUUCUAUGUUUAAAUUCUUGACACUUUCCACCUUAAGUGCUUAAAAAAAAAAGGAAAGAAAGACAAAGUGUUGACCCAGACUUAAAAUGUUAGUUUUAAUAUAGUCCUGCACUGCUGAUGACUCCAGAUACAUUUAUGAGCGUUAGCCAACAAAGCGAACUCGAGUCUAGCCCAAACAAACGCAGGGAUGAAAGGCGGCCUUUGAUCCUCAGCCGACCGGAGUGACUUCAGCACUCUGGGCUCGAUUGUUUUCAGCUGAGGUUUCUCUGGGUGGCUUCACUUCAAGCUACAACUGAAACUGCCGGAACAGGAUUUACUCUGGAUUUAAGAACCACAAAGUUGGCUCACUAGAAAAAAAAACUCUCUCAGUUUAACCAAACAGGCGCUUACUUUCAGAGCAGGCCCUCCAGUUAUUGUGAUACAAAUCGACUGAAAAAACUCCACAUCUCUGUGCUAAAUAUUCCUCUUCUCAGGCCAUGUGGUUUUUUCACACCAGCACAGCUCACGACAGCUCACAUUCCGUCUGAUCAUAGUUGUGUGUGACAUUUCAAAGCGGAUUACAAGAAUGAAAUGUGAUAAAAACUAUUUCCACGUGACCCCUGAGCACUUAACCUCUGAAAGGCUAGUGCAGAGUAGCACCAGGGCAUAGACUUCUUUCUGGGAGUCCAGAGUCGUGCAGAGAUCGGUGUAGGGAUUAUUAGCAGACAUGUUCAUCACACCACACAGAGAGAAAGAUCUAAUGUGCUGCAUUUUCCAAGGAGUACAAUCUUUACUUAAGAGGAUGAAAGUGUGCCGGCACCUCAAGUUAAUACAAGUAAAAGCUGUUGUGUUGCGGAGACAGUUUUAAGGAAAUCAGAAAAAUUUACAACUUCAAGUGAACAAGUCAAAAAACAGGCAGGAACUUCACUUCACAGGUCAAGAGGGUCACAAAACUGUAAGUAGGUGAAAUAUAGGAGCUCAGGUGGAUAAAAACUGAAAGCUAAUGGGUUAAUAUGACACAAAAGCAGACAUAUCUGGAGUUUUAGAGAAAAGGGAAGAUUGAAAAACUCCAAGCAAGAAAACAUAUUUUAAAUUUGGAGCAUCUCAAAGCUCUCUAAUAACUUGAUUUAAAACUUUAAACUUAUCAAUCGUGAAUCUGGAUUCAGAUCAAUUUUAGGAAUCAGACUGAAAGAAAAACUUGAAAACUAUCCAGUCAACUUUAAAUUCAGCCAUUCAUAGCUUCACAUUUAAGGAGCAGAAGGAAUCACAAAAAAUCAAGCUAAUUAUUUGAUAGGACAGAAAAAUAGAAUAAAUAAAGGUUAAGGAUUUGAAUGAAGCUGAUUGGCUAAUAAAACCAAGCAUAGUUUGAAUUAUGGAGAAUAAAGACAGUCCAAAAAAAUCUAAAUCAAAUCAAUCAGAUGACCUAACAUUAUUCAGUGUUUGGGGUUGUUUGUCAAGAAAUGGUUUAAAUUGAAGAGAAAUAGAGAAAUGGUUAUUUGUCCAUGAAAACAGACAUCAUGUGAGUUCAGCCCUUAAUUGGUUUUUAUAUCCUCAGGGAAACAAAAAGUUGACAAGCUGUGUGGUUGGAUCAAGUACUUAGGUCAUGUGACUUCUUGCCAAAAGUCAAAAAUUUACGCAAAGUUUGUCUUAAAACCAAAAAUGUUAGCAUGCAGGGUCAAAAAUAUGCAUUAUGAAGCAAUGUGUCAUCAUUUUGUUUUACAUUUUUCAUAUCUUGGGGAGAUUUUGUUUUUAAAAAUGUUUCUUCAGAGGUGAUUUUUUUUUGUUCUGGUUAAAAACAUCAAAUAUGACUUUUUAUAACUUUGAAAAUCAGGUGUUCAAUAUUUUUAUCCAGGGGGAUUCAUUGCCUAGAUAAAGAUAUAAAUCAAGGAAAUUUACCAACAAGAAUGAAUUUCUUUUUUAUUGCCUAUAAUCACUCAAUGACAUUAAGCUAUGAAAUACUGAUAACUUAAUUAUACUCUAAAAUAUGUGACUGAUAAAUGUAAAUACACACGUGCACAUACAGGAGGGUUAAUGUAAAAUUAUAGAACGUUGGGUGAAAUGUUAAAGUUAUAACCUAAAUAAACAACCUGGAAGAUAAAGAGCAACUUGUAUUUGGAAAACCAUCAUGAAAAUGUUCUUUUUUUUCAUCUGUGAAACAUGAGAAAAUAAGAGUUAAUACAUUUUCUGAAAUAGUCAUAUGUGCUUGUGUCAAAAAAUUUGACUUCAUAUAGAUUUUGGAGGAAUCAGGAAUAUACAAAGACUUUGUUAAGUUUGUCAGUUAUGAAAAAACUGUAAAAAUAAUUUAUCGUUAGGGAUGAAUGAAAAGAUAUCUAAAUCUGCACCUGAGAUUAAAAAACUCAAAAGCUAAUCCAUUUACCGGUCAAAAACAGGUGUCAUUUUCAUUUUGAGGGGAACCAGGUUUAAUCUGUUGUUAAGAUGUUUCAAUAAUUUCAAAGAAUCAGGAGAACGUCUUCUUAGAGGUAAAAACAAUGACUGAAAAUGCUAAUCCGCUAAUUGUCAGUAAAACCAGACGUAAUUUAAACUGUAUAAAAUUCAGAUCCAGGAGUGAGUAUUGAAAACAGGCUUUUCAAAAAAAGGAUAGAGAAUAUUCAGCCUAUCAGGUAUGAAUAAGGCUAAUAAAUCUAUUAACAUGAAAUACCUGAAUGAUAUUAAAUAUAAACUAAACUAUGUAUGUACAUGGACUGUCUCCACAUGCUGUUAAUAACAUGUGCAGGAGAUAACGUCACUUUAAAUCCACCCUGACCUUCUUCUUUUUCUUUGUCGGGCAUUCACAUAAAGUUUACGAUAAGGUGAACAUGUCUUAUUGUGCAGAGUUCCCACAGACCCAGAUAUAAUUCAAAGUUUUAGAGGAAAAACUGAUAAAGCUAAUCAAACACAAACCCGGCAUAACUUAACUUGGAGGGAAUUAGAACGAUGAAAAAAGGACAAAGCUUAUCAGCCAGUCAGUAAUAAAACCAGACACUAUUCCAUCCAAGAUCCUGAACCUUUAUUGUGCUUUUGUACGCAGUUUCCUGCAUGUUUUGUUUAGUCUGUUAUCUGAACCCUGAGUCUGUAAUAAAGUUUGAUUUGCACUGAAAAACAUCAAGCAUGGCCAUCCAUUAAACCUUAUAAUGUAUCA
rnacentral:lncRNA from 1 species